rnacentral:lncRNA from 1 species
UUUUUUUUUUUUUUUUUUUUUUGUUUCUCUCAAGUAUCUCACUCUCUUUAAUUUUGGAUAAUUCCAUUGCAUAUAUAUGCAUAUGUUGGAUUUUCUGGCGAGAAGUCUUGGGCUGAUGGUUUAAUUUCAGAGGCUAACUAAUGUACCAUCUUAGGAGACACUUGCAAUUAAUAAAGUCAAAUCAUAAGCCUUUGCUACAUGUCACUGUACAUGAAUUUGAAUCACAGUUACAUUAUUCUCGUGAAUUCAAUUUUAUUCUUUACCGAACAUACUGGAUGUAUGACAGUAUUAAACAAAGUGCAACUCCCAUUACCAAUUAUUUCUUUGUCAGGGAAAUGACCAUGAAAAAGUAUUUUCCCUUCUCCAUCAAAAGAUGCUUGGCCAGAUGAUCCGCAUACCUUCCAAAUAAAUUUCCAAUUACAGCGCCUCCAAAAUGACUCUUCAAGGUGGGCUCUGUAAUACUCCUUACAUAAUUUGCCACGUUUUGUGCUUCUCUAUACUUGUCGCUGUCAUCAAAGGGGUCCCAAUUGGCUUCAAAACUUUCAAUCUUAUCAAGAUUGAAGGACCCUUCUUCUUGAACCACAGCCCUGACUUCACCCUCAGAGGGAUAAUAUAUAGGAAUAUUGAACGAAUUCAAAUCAGCCUCUUCAAUCAGCCCCUACAUAAAAAUUAAAAAGGCCAUCAAAACCUCUCGAAACAAUACAAUAAAUUUUAGUAUACUUAGCAGAAGAGAGUAAGCUAACCUCCGCCAACAUGUCGGUGAGAGAUUCGGCUAGCAGCUCCCAAAGGUCACAACAUUCUCCGCCAGAGGGAUCUUCCAUACUCCUGCCUAUUAUCGUAAUAACCAUACGCCCUGCAAGUUUUAUUUCCUCGGAGCGCAAGCCUAAAAAUAAUGAGAAAUCCCUCUGAAAUUGGUUUGUGUAUGCUUGGAUGACGGUGGGAGGGCUUCCAUUGGCAAUGUAUAUAUGUCCCUUGUUCUUUUCUAGCCCAGCUGGAGCCUGACAUUUAUUGAAAUUGGCUAGACAAUUCAUACAUUCAUGACAUAAAAAAAGUGUUUUUGAAUGUCGAAGGGAAUAAGCUUAAGAAAAAGGCUUGUGUAGCUCCUUUCAAGUUAAAAAUUCUGAGUAAUUUAUUUUUAUAAAAAUUUUGUGUACUACUUUAUUUUAUUGAAUUGUUUUCAAAAGCUUUUAUAAUUUGUAAUUUGGACUUAAUCUUUUGGCAAUAUUGCUCCUUUCAAGGGAUGUGAUUCAUAAAUAGCAUGAAUCAUGAUGGACUGACUAAUCAUGCUCCUUUGACUUGAUUGAAAAUAAGGAUCUUCAUGAGUAGUACAGAGGGAAAUGGACUGUGGAAUUAAUUUGAAGUGCAUAGCUUAAUCACUCAAGUGGUUGGAUUCCUCUUUCAACUGGCCCCUUGAGAAUAUAUAUGGACGCAAAUAAAUCUAAACAAGCAAUUGUACCUGAGACAGCCAGUGAACGCUACAAGAAGAGUGAACAAAAUCUAGGCUCCUGCUCGGAAAAAUCCUGCUGUAGAAAGAACCUGGUACUCCCGUUAUGAAACAAUGCCCCAGUGUGUCGUCCUCCUCCUUUGUCAGCUUCUCAUUGAAAUCCGGCAGCAAACUGAAAAUGUUGUUGAAGUCAUUUCCCGGAAGAUCAUUCAGAAACACUUGGAACUCGGGCGACUUGCAAUUCAUUCUUUUUGACAUCCCAUGGAUGGUGUGUAUAAUUUCGGAAAUGGCUGAAAGAGCGUUGGGUCCUGAAGAGCAACCCAAGUCUGCUAGUUUAACACAACUGGGAAUACCUGAGCUGAAAGCAUCUUUGAUGGAAACCUCAAGAAAUGGCCUCACCUCCAAUAUCAUUUUUUUCUGAGACAUGAGGAUUAUCAAAUGAAUUAGAUACAAAUGACACAAGAAGGAAAAAAAAAAGGAGCAUUCAGAGCAAUAUGUGAGAGGGAGACCUGAAGGAGUGAAUUAUUGGCAUAGCUGCUUUUGCCAUUUCCACCAUUCAUGGGAAGAAUUUUGAGAAAUACCAUGGCUUCACGUGUUGGCAAUAACAUAUUCUCUGCUGUCCUAUUUAUAGAAACCUUUCUAAGAGUGGCGGUGGAAAUUGUUGGCGUGAGCUGUCAGUGAUUGAAAAAAUUAUAGGCCAGAUUUGUUAGAAUCCCUUCUGUUAAGGGUCAACUAUUAUAAUAGGCGUAAUUUGUAUAUAGCCUAAUUUAGCUUCUAAUUUUUCUCUUUGUAUUGAUAUAUAACCAUACUCGUCUCUGUACAGAAAUAUAUGCGGAAUUUUUUGACAGAAAUACCCCCAUACAUUUUCAAUAUUUUCAUGAAUAUUGUAAGACAAGAUUGAACCAUACGUGUACCUUUGUUUGGUAGGGUUGUUUACACAUACUACUCUUGAAUGUUCUACACAAACAUCCAUUCUUAUCUUUCAAGCAUAUAUAUUUGAAUCACCUUGUAUGAGAUGACUAUCUUAGGGAUUGUUUAUUUUAUCUUGUGGACCAGAUUUUUAGCUCCAUCCACCCUUUUAGCAAGGCCAUGUGUUUGCUCAUAAGGUACUUACAUACCUUGUUAGUUUCUAAGCUUAAGAAGAUUCCUAAUAGUUUGUUUGGCAUGCUUAAGGAGUUUUCUGUACGUUUACAUUUCUAUCAUGGUAUGACCAUUUGAAACAAAGAAGAUUUGACUAUUUGAAGACAACUACUCAAAAUGGAUAGAAGCUAAAUUCGAAAUUCAAGAGCAUUUCAAAUUAUGUUUUAAAUGGUAGGAGCUAAGUUCAAAAAUUUCAAAUUCAACAACUUGAUUUUGAACUUAGUUUCCCAAAUAUGAACCAAGCCCAUCUUGAUUUUGAACUCAGUUUCCCAAAUAUGAGGCAAGCCCCUCCAAGCUUUCUUUUCCUCAAUUUUUAGGCCUCCUAAGCCCCAGGAAGAGUCCAACAAGCCAAAGAUUUAAGAAUUUUAUGAUUUUUGAGAUAUCUUUAAUUGUUUUUUUUUAUAUUUCUAGCUAAAGAGGCUAUGCCAUGUGUCUAGGUUUAGCUUUUACUAUUUAAACUCAAUUCCUUUUAGGUUUAGGAGAGCAUGGAAUGGAGAAAGAGAGAUUGAUCUCUCCUCUUCAAAUUCUUCAAUUAAUAAAGUCUAAGGUUUUUAUUUUUUAUUUUUUAUUCUCUUCAUUAUAUUUUCUUGGAAACCAAACAUGGGUUGUAAGGAAAAAUCCGUCACCAUGUUUGGCUAAUUUUAUGAGUUCUAGAGAUGCUAAUAGGAAAGUGAAGAAUCUAAAAGAGGAAUGAAAAGAAACUAUAAUGUAUUGAAUGGUUUAAUAUGUUUUCAAAAAUACCCAUAUAAGGGAAAUCCAAAAUUUAUAUAUUAUGCUAUUUAUGUAUGGUAUCCAAUUUUAUAUAUAAUAUGGUAUUAUUAAUUGCUUUCCCAUUAUAUCUAAAAUAUGCUAUUGAAUUUUAUCAUGGGAAAGCAAUUAAUAAUAGCAUAUUAUAUAUAAAAUUGGAUACCAUACAUAAAUAGCAUUAUAUAUAAAUUUUGGAUUUCCUUUGAAUUGAUAGGAUUUCCUUUUGAAGAGCCAAGGGGUAUUUUAGUUUUUUUAUAUCAUUAGAGGAGCUGGCAGCACCCGAGAGGUGUGGGGGGACCCCUCUCCAUGCGUGGGACCAGCUGCAAGAGAUAGGGAAGCCAUGCUGCUGAUGUGAGGAACAGGGAAGAGAAGCCAUGCUGCUGAUGUGAUGAACAGCAAAGGGAAGUAAUGGCUUGCCCGGGAAGAUAGCACCUGCUACCACAGAAAAAAAAAAAAAAGGAGAAGAAAACGAGUGGUUUUUUUUCCGGGGGAGAGACGACGAGUUAUAGGGGAAGGGAGGACCAAUAGGGUAGAGAAUUCUUUUAUGCUGAUGAAGAUAGAGAUUGGCAAAGGGGGGACAUACCGUGAAAACGAGUAGAAAAAGGAGAUAACACAGGUAUGGAUUCUGAAAACCGGAUUCAUUCAUUCAUUUAUUUAUUUAUUUUGUUUGUUUUUUAUGCCAUGUUAUGAUAGUUUCUAGGCAUGAGGAUUUUCAUUUUUUGAUGUCUGAACAUGCAUAUUGUGGAUCCUUGUAAUUUAUUUAUUUUUUUUCUGGAAUCUGAGCUUACUUAUACCCGCCAUACUCAUUCUCUCUCUCUCUCUACCUUCAACCUCAUUCAUGCCUGCCUAACCAAACCCACUACUCAUUUCUCAUGCGGACGUGGGCACCAUGCAUGGGAAAUAAUUAACCCAUUCUCCAUGUGCUUCCAGGCCCUUCUCAUGCCCUACCCAUUGCACUUAGCAGACAUAUCCUCCUAGCCCCAUGCACAGGGGCACCUCUAUAUCCUUUCACCUUUCAUACCCAUCUCCUCAAGCUCGCUGCUCAUUCCUUCGCGUCCAUGGAGGACCUACCGAUCAUCUCCGAAACCCCAAUCUCAGAAUCAGACUCCGAUCCACGUCCGCGUGUCCCCAAGGUUCGCCGGAGCAUCCUGCUGCCCGCCGCGCUGAAUCGAAACCAACUGAGCUUCUUAGAGCUCUGCAUGUCGCGGAAAGAGACUCCGUAGCCAUCGCCGAGUGCUCCACUUCUCUCUUCGCUUUGCUGCGUUUGGCUCUCCCUGAAGUUACUAGCAGUCCUGUCGAUCAUAUGCGAUGCUUCAGUGAUGUUGCAGGCCGCCUCCAGGAAUCAGCGUUUGAUGUAGCUACAAAGGGUAGCCGGUGAGGAAGAUGGUCUUUUUUGAGCCCGCCCAUGUUAGUAUUGGAUUCACUACAAGAAAAAUGGGAAACAAUGACGUUUUUUAAGCGUCAAGAAAGGUAACAGAUGACGCUUCUCUAAAGCGUUCUCUUCGCCUCUGUCAUUGUAUGUCUUAGGCAACAAUGACACUUUCAGGAAGCAUCAUCUUUGAUAAAAUAAAGGUUUUGUUUUUGGCUGAAAGAUGACUUUCCAAAACUCUAAAUCCGAUCUUCACCGUUCAAAUUUAAGAUUAGUAACUUAUAAACCUCUCCUCCAAAUUUCAGCUCAAUCGGACCAUGAAAAAAGCGGCAUCGGACCUUUGAUGAAAUCUGGGCAUGAUGUAAAAAACCAUUGUUUUUCUCUCUUCUCCUCUUUCCCUCUAAUGACUGUCCGAAACUCCAAAUCCAAUCUCCACCGUUCAUAUUGAAGAUACAUGAGCCACGAACCUCUCCUUCAAAUUUCAACUCGAUCGGACCACGGACGAAACGGGAUCGGACAUUUGAUGAAAUCUGGGCAUGAUGAGAAAAACCUACAUUUUUCUCUCUUCUCCUCUUUCUCUCUAAUGACUGUCCGAAACUCCAAAUCCGAUCUCCACCGUUCAUAUUGAAGAUACAUGAGCCACGAACCUCUCCUUCAAAUUUCAACUCGAUCGGACCACGGACGAAGCGGGAUCGGACAUUUGAUGAAAUCUGGGCAUGAUGAGAAAAACCUACGUUUUUCUCUCUUCUCCUCUUUCUUUCUAAUGACUUUCCGAAACUCCAAAUCCGAUCUUCACCGUUCAGAUUGAAGAUAAAUGAGUCACGAAACUCUCCUCCAAAUUUCAGCUCGAUCGGACCACGGACGAAGUGGGAUCAAACCUUUGAUGAAAUCUGGGCAUGAUGAGAAAAACUUGCAUUUUUCUCUCUUCUCUUCUUUCUCACUAAAAACGGUGGCUCUCUCCCUUCUUUCUUGUCUUCCAAAAGUUAGGGUUUUCAAGGGAGACUUUAUAACAAAUUCUAAAAUACCAUACAUGUCCUUUUUCAAUAAAUUAAAAUAGUAUUCUUUAUUUCAUCUUCCAAUAAUAAUUUUUAUAUAUUGAACUCAUAAUGAAUUUAUAUUGUUUAAUUAUUUGAUAUUUUAGGUUGAUGUUGGUUUAAUUUGAAUAUUGAUAUUUAAAAAAAAAAACUAAUUUAAUAGAAUGAGCUUAAUUCCCAUAAAUAUUAGAAAGUUUUUAUAAAUAUUCUUAUUGCAUUUAGUUUUAUUGUGAGUCAAAUCAUCAUUAAAUUAAUUUAAAUAUUAAUUUAUUUCAUUUUAGUUAAAUAAUUUCAAAUUUAUAUUCAUUAACUAUAAAACCUUCUCAAAUAAAAGGGUUAAACCCAAUAAAUGUGGCCCAAGGCUCGAACAAGUGCUCAAAAUAGGCCACUUUUUUGUGGUCCACAAAUAAAUUAACAAAUUAUUUUUAAAUGAAAUAUAAGAUAAUUUCUAAUUUAAUAAAAAUGAAAAAUAGUUUAUGAAAAUAGAUUGUAUUGAUACAAACUAUAAAAAAAUUAAUAUCAAACAAUAAAAAAAUAAUUUAUUAGCAUUUUAUUUUAUUUAUAUCCAAUUUUAAAAAAAAAAACCUUAAUGUAGCAACUUUAUGUCAUUAAUAUUAAUGUCAAUUUACCAUAAUUAAUUUAUAGAAUAAAAUUCUAAUGUCAAAAUUUGUAUAAGUUAACUUAAAAACAAAAAUUUUAAGAGUCAAUACAACUAUGACACUUAUCAGGAGCGUCAUUACAUACCCAUCAAAUAAUGAUGCUUAUAAUAAGUAUCAAGGUAAAUAAUAAAACAAUGAUGCUUCUUAUAAGCGUCAUUAUAUACACAGUUAUAAGAAAAAAGAUGACAUCAAAUAAUGACACUUAUAAUAAGUAUCAAGAUAAAUAAUACAACUAUGACAUUUCUUAUAAGCAUUAUUGUAUACCCUCAAUAAUGACGCUUUUAGAAAGCGUCAUAAAAUAAAGCGUCAUUAAUUUCAAUUUUUGUAGUAGUGAUUUGGGCUUGGUUUGGAGCACCAAGCCCAAGCUUGUGAUGGAGUUAGAGUUAGAGGCCUGUCCAAGAUGAUGGAUAUGGGCCUGGUUGGAAGCCUAAGCCCAGUUGCAUUAAUGAAGGGCCUCAUGCCCCCUGUACUAUUCACUCUCAUGGCCCAUACCUAUUCCAGGAUAGCCCAUUUGGCCACUUCAUUCCUAAAUAAACCUUUUUUUAAAAAGAAAACAAAAUCUCUAAUAUCCAUAAUUAAUUAACCAAAUCAUUCCCUUUUAUUUAUUACCUUAUUUCUACCAAUUUAGUUAACUCAUACUUAAAUACAAAUUAUUAAUUAUGUUUUUAUCUCGAAAUUUAUACUACUCAACUUCACCAACUUAAACGUUAUGAUUAUUAAUUAUUAUUAUUAUUCCGUAUGUAUCUAUUUAUCACAUUUUAAAAUCUCAUUCGUUAAAACCAAAUUCUAAUUCUUCAAAAUAUUUGUUUAAAUCAUAUUUUCAUAAAUCAAAUCAUUAUCCCGUAUUAUUAUUUAUUCAAAGUCCAAUCUAUCGAAAAAUCACAUGUUUUAAAUUAAUUCCUCAAAUACUCUUUUAAAUCUCAUAUUUAUCAACUAGAAUUAUUAUCCUAUAUUCUCCUAUUUAUCUAUGCCAAUCCUUCAAAAAUUCUAAGUUUUAAUUUAAUUCUUAAAAUAUUUGUUUAAAUCAUAUUUUCAUAAAUCAAAUCAUUAUCCCGUAUUAUUAUUUAUUCCAAGUCCAAUCUAUAAAAAAAAUCACAUGUUUUAAUUUAAUUCCUCAAAUACUCUUUUAAAUCUCAUAUUUAUCCACUAGAAUUAUUAUCCUAUAUUCUCCUAUUUAUCUAUGUCAAUCCUUCAAAAAUUCUAAGUUUUAAUUUAAUUCUUCAAAUACUUGUUUAAAUCUUAUUCUCAUAAAUCAAAUCAUCAUCCCGUAUUAUCAGUUGUUCGAAUUCUAAUCCAUUAAGAAAAUCCCAUGCCGUAAUUUAAUUCUUCAAAUACUCGUUUAAAUCUUACGUUCAUCAAUGGGAAUUAUUAUCCUAUAUAUUCAUUUAUUUAUCUAUACCAAUCAUUCAAAAAUCUCAUGCUUUAAAUUAAUUCUUCAAAUACUUGUUUAAAUCUUAUUUUCAUAAAUCGAAUCAUUAUCCCGUAUUUUUAGUUAUUUAAAAUCUAAUCCUCCACUCAGCAAUUUGUUUGAAUCUUAUUUUCAUCAAUUAGGAUUAUUAUCUCAUAUUUGUCUAUUUAUUUAAAACCUAGUUCUUCAAAAAUCUCUUGUCUUAACUCAAUUUUUCAAUCCUAAAAAUCUUACAGUUCAUCUAAAUUUUACCCUCAUCAAUUAGAAUGAUUAUUCCAUGUCCAUUCAAAGUCCAAUCUUCCAAAAACCCCAUGCGUUAAUUAAAACUUCAAUCCCAAAAAUUCUACUAUCCAUCUUUAUUCGCCUAAAUGUUAUUCUCGUUAAUUAGUAUUAUAAUCUCAUACCUACCUAUUUAUUCAAAGUCAUAUCCUUUAAAAAUCCAACGCCCUAAUUCAAAUUCUCAAUUAGAAAAAUUCCACUAUUCUUUUUUUUAUUCGUCUAAACAUUAUUUUUGUUAAUUAGUAUCAUUAUUCCGUGUUUAUUUAUUUAUUUAUUUCAAUCAUUAAAAUUCAAUUCUUCAAAACCGGAUUUCCAAAUUUAACCUUGAGACUCAAAAAUUCCACCAUUCACUAUCAUUCAUUCAAAUAUCAUCUUUGUUAUCAUUGUUAUAAAUUCCACGUUUACUUGUUUCUUUCUUCUGAAAAUCCCAAUAAUUAGAGUUCAAUUAUUCAAAGGCCCAACUUUCAAAAUUUAAUUUUCAAAAUCCCACUAUUCACUAUUCAUCUGCCCAAAUAUCGUUUUGAUUAAUCAGUAACAUUACUCCAUACUUACCCAUUUAUUUCUCUUAAAAAUUUCAAUCAUUAGAGUCUAAUUCUUCAAAAUUCCGAUUCCUAAAUUUAGUUAUUUGAAAUUCUAAUUGUAUUAUCUCCGAACUUAAUUUCCCGUUUCCCAUGCUCCAAUUCCCGUAUUUACCCCGCUACUUAUUAUUAUCAUUAUUAUUAUCAUCUUAUUAAUUAUUUCUAUAAAUUCUGCAUUUGAAUGAUUUCUAAGAUUUUCCGUUUUUUACGCAUCAACUUUCAUAAUUUCUACGCCUCAAAUAACUUACGAUUCUGAUCCCUUUUGAAAUUUAACUCCCAUAAUCCCAAUUUUCGCAAUUUAAUUUUUCUUAAAAAUCCCAAACCUUCAAAUAAUUCUUCAAAAUCCCAAUUUUCUUUCAAAUUUAAUUUCUAAAAGUUCUCAUUUCUUACAUAUAAUUCCUAAGAAUCUAAUUUUCAAAUAAUCUCUAAGAUUCCGAUUCUCAAAUGAAUUUAAAAAAAAAUCUAGUUUUCCUUCGAACAAUUUUAAUCCAUGCUUAGUGAUGCAUGUGGUAUGUUUUGUGCUCUAUAUGGUGUACUAACCCUCUCUAUUGAUAGCACAUGACGGUUUGUUGCCCAGGUAUGUACCUAUUUUCCCUCUAAUCGUUGUCUAUGCAUGUCUCGACUCUUAUAUGUGCAUGAUCAUUCAGGAUAUUCAUUGAUUUACUCGUAAAUUGCCACGUCAGCUUCAUUUUGUUAGUAGAGACCCGAUUUUAGGGACUUAGAAGGGUGCUAUAGUCUUUUACCGUACCUUCCCGAUAAGUAACCUAACCCCCGGGCCCGAUCCGGUUUCUUGUAGAUCACCUUUUCCAAAAUAAGGAGUCGCACUUAGGGUUUUCUUUCUUAUUUUGUUUACCCUUUUAAAUAAAAACAAAAAUAAGUGGCGACUCCAAGUCAUUUUUUUUUAAUCAAAUAAAAUCAAUUUUUCAAAUAAAAAUCGAGUUCGCCAUCGAGUGGAGAACACAUGAGCCGAAAUGCGGGGUCCACAGUUACCCAUAUAGGGGAAAUCCAAAAUUUAUAUAUUAUGCUAUUUAUGUAUGGUAUCCAAUUUUUUUAUAUAAUAUGCCAUUAUUAAUUGCUUUCCCAUAAAUAGAUAUAAGCAUAUUAUAUAUAAAUUGGAUACCAUACAUAAAUAGCAUAAUAUAUAAAUUUUGGAUUUCCCCUAUAUGCGUAAGUUUGAAUUGAUAGGAAUAAAUCAUUUGUGUUAAUUCACCCUAUUUAAGGUAUGGAGGAUUUUUAUCAAGAUAUUAGUGAUUUUUGGGAAGAUAUGUUUCCAAAAUAAAAAUCUAAGUUUUGGAUUAAAUAUUGGUCGUAGGAUACAUUCAAUUUGAUUGUAGAUUGACUUUGAUAAUUUUAUAUUACUUUCUUUCUCUCUUUUAGGAUUUUUGACAUUGGAUUGUGAAACUCUUUCGAAUAUUUUCUUUUGAUUGAUUUAUUUUAUUGAAUAUGUUAGGAAAUUUUUAUCCAUAUUUUAUCUUUAUUUAUUAAAAUUAGGGUUUUCAUUAACUUUAAUAAAUAAUUAAUCCUUUUAAUUUAAAAACAAUUGAACACAUUAGAGUUGAUUGCAAAGGAUGAUAAUCCAUAAUAUUACAAAAUUGUGGUAAUUUUAUCUUUAGGUUUUUUUAGUCAAAGUUACCAUAUAUUUAGGAUGUAGUAUUUUAAUUAUAACAUAGAUUUACGGUUAUUUAUUUAUUGAAUAGGUGUCUUGCUAAAAAAGUGUUUACAAAAAUACUCCACAAGAAGCUUAGAACAUAUGUUCAUGUGCCUAAAACAUUAUGAAAAAAAUCUUGAUGAUAAAGAUACAAAAAAAAUAGAAACAUUAGAAAGUUUUUCAAAUUGAUGUCAAAUCAUCUUUCUUAAAUGGCUAAUAAGAAGCAGAGUUUUAUAUUGAGUAGCUUGUAGGAUAUAUGAAAAAAUAGGAAGAAGAAAAGGUUUAUAAAAUAAAACGGCCUUGUAUCGAUUAAAACAAGCUCUAAGAGCAUGAUACACAUGCAUUGAUACUUAUUUUAUUAAGAAUAAAUUUCAAAGAUGUCUUUAUGAAUAUACUUUAUAUGUCAAAUCUAAUGAUACUUAUUUUAUUAAGAAUAAAUUUCAAAGAUGUCUUUAUAAAUAUACUUUAUAUGUCAAAUCUAAUUUGCGUAGUGGCAUUAUUAUAUGUGUGUUUAUAUGUGAUUGAUUUAAUUAUUAGUACAGUAAUUUGAUGAUGAUUGCAAAAUUAAAAAAAAAAAAUGAUGAUUAGUCAUUUUGAGAUGAUAGAUAUGAGAUUGAUAUCUUAUUUUCUUGGAACUGAAGUAAUUAAAGUAAUGGUAUUUUUAUUCUUCUAAAAAAGUAUGAGAGUGAUAUGCUUAAAUAAAUAAAUUAAAAUAGAAUCAUGCAAGCUUAUCAAGUUAAAAUAAGGAAAAGAUAGGUCAUCUGAGUUUGUUGAUCUCAUGAAUUCUUGAAGAAUGGUUGGGCUUAUUUGACUUCUACAAAACUAGGUAUAGUUGGGCUUAUACACAGAUUCAUAGUGUCUUCAUGUCAAUCUCAGUUGCAAGUAGCAAAUAUGAUGCAUCAAAAAUAUGGAAAGAGAUGGUAUCUUUCAUGCAUGUCAAUCUCAGUUGAGAAUUGGAAAAGUUUUCAGAUUAUGUAUUUAAUUUUGGUUCCUAAUCAAGUAUAUUGUACCUACUAAUAGUGUAGUUGCGAUGAAUGCUUUAUUAUUUAAAGCAUGCUUGAGAAGUUUUUACAAAGAUUUUUUUUUGUGAUAAUAAAUCAAUAAUUGCAUUGACUUAGAAUCCAAUUUCUCAUGGAAGAAUAAAAAACAUUGACAUUAAGUUUCACUAUAUUUGUGAGUUGGUCAAAUAUAAAAUUACCUUUAAACUUUGUUCUUUUGAAAAUCAAAUUAUAAACAUUUUUAAAAAGUCAACCAAGCAUUGCUCAAAUUGAAGAAUGCCUAUAACUAAAUUUGAAGAGCUUGAUUUAAGGAGACAUUGUGGGAGUCCUAAUUAAACUAUAACUAUGUUACUUUAAUUUAGUAGAGAGAGAGAGGGAGAGAUUAUUUUUUUACCGGGAAGGAUUUUUUUUUAAUGGUUUAUAUUUUUAUGGUAAAUAAAAAUGAGCAACGUCAAAUUUUGUUUUUAAUCAUUUUUUCCCUGCCUUAAAUGUUAAACUGUUGUACAAUUUUGGAUGGAUACAACAGUAGGCGAGUGCAACAAUAGAAAGGAAAGUUAUGUUCAUUAGAUAAGGUGGACCAAACAAAGGUUGAAUCCUAGCGAUUCAGGAUAAACAUUCCUAUCUUUUUUGUCCAAAUUUAAGCUACGUAUUUGAACAUGUGGGGAACUGAGCUAAUAUAAUUGAUCACCAACUGAGCUAAUAAUUUAGAAAAAUAUUUUUUAAAAAAUACAAUAGUAUAAAAAAUAUUAUCAAAUCUAUUUAAAGAAAGAUAAUUUCAAUAUUUAAAUUAAAAUUAUCGCUCCGAAAGAGAGAGAUUGUCAUUUACGAGGUGGAUCAAUCAAAUUUUACCUUACACUAAUGUUAAAUACUACAAUUUUGGACGGAUUAUAAGCAAGGCAAGUGUUAUUGUCGAAAGUGCAAUAAUGGAAAAGAAACGUGAUUUUUUUAUUCUAGGAUAAAGAAUCUUAUCUUAGUUCAGUUCACUUCUCUGCUCUCUUUUGGACAGGGCAUGGUCCAUGUUGGGAAAUGUGUUUUCAUAUAAAUAUAAUAUAUUUACUUAAAAAUAAGUAGAUUUUUGUGCAUUUUUCACUCAUGGGGUACUCAAUUUUGUCGGGUUGGCUCAAUGCAACCCAAAUCCAUUCUAAGGUUUGAGUGAGUUUGAAUAAUUAUUUUCAAUACUCGGAUUGGAUUUGAGUUUGAGUUUCUCAAUUUGAACUUAAUUUAAAUUAGGUUAAAGUUAAAGUUUAGAUAAUUUGUGUUUAAUCCGAACUUGAUUUAAUAUUUUUAUAAUAUUUAUAAUCUAUAUUAUCUUAUAUAAUAAUAUUCAUUUUCUUUUUAUAUUUAAAAAAAAAAAUCAAAUUAUAUUAAUCACAUCUUUUUCAUUUUUUAUUUAUAAAAAUAUAUAAAUUUAUGUUUUUGUUAUUGUUGUCUUGAAAUUUUAUGUAAAUACAUAGAAAAAAGUUUUUUAAAAAAAAUAUUAUAGAUGAAUUUUGAAUUAUGCAAGCUGAUCAACCUAAUUAACUUGAAUUCAAUUCAAGUCUAACUCGACCAACUUGAUUUUAAUCUGAACAACAUAAACUCAAUUUGAGCUUAGAGAAAUGAGGUUGUGUUAGCUUAGGUUAUGUAUCUUAGGUUAGAGGAAUGAUUGAAUUGAGUUUGAAUUGAUUGUUUUUUAAUUGAGGUUGGGGUUGAGUUAGCCAUCAACUCACCCACCCAAGUUGCAGCCCUACCUUUGACUAUAUAGAUUCUAUCUUUUAAAUAAUAUAAAUAUUACAUUUGACCACUCUAGGUACCACAAAGGACUUUAAAGGGCAUAAAACUUGAAUUACUCUUAGAAAGCUCUCUUUUUGUAAUUAUGUUCAAAUAUAUGUAUGAAAACACACAUUUCCUUUCAUGUUUAUACUUAGGAUUGCUUAGUAGGUUAAAUGACCAUGUUUUUUUAUAAUUGUUUUCAAAAAUUAUUUUUAAGUUAAAAGAAUAUUUUUAAGUAUUUUUCUGUUAAAAAUUAGAGUUUUUGGUAAAUUGUUUUUAAAAAUACUUUUCAAAACCUAGAAGACAAAAAUAUAAUUUGAAUAAGUUGUGUUGAAAAAUAAUUUUUCUAUUUUGAUUUGUAAAAAAAUUGUAAAUUCAAUUUAUAUAAUAUUAAUUUAAUUUAAGCUCAUUAAAAAUAAAAAUAGUUUUUUCAUAAGAAACAAAUUAAAAAUAAAUAGUUCUUAGUAAAAUAUAAAUACUAAUUUUAUAAUAAAAGCAUAAAUUGUAAUUUUCCUUUUUUAUAAAAAAUAAUACUAUUUUAGUAUGUAUUGUAAAAAUAAGGAUAUCAUAAAAGUAUAAUUAUUUUAUUGUUAAAAAUAAAUAAUAAUAAUUUUAAAAUAAUAAUAGUUAAUAAUACUUUAUUUAAAAUGAAUUUAAAAAAAAAUAAAGUUUAAGUUUUUUAAUAUAUGUGUACAUUUAGUACUUAAUUACAGAUAAAGUAUUUGAAUUAAUUUUGAUUUAUGAUAAAUUUUUUGAAUUUGAAAGUAUUUUUUUAUGGUAGAAUUGAGUACCAAUUAGAAGGAUAUAAAUUGAGUUAUGGGAGGGAGAGAGAUGUAUAUAUUUUUUAUCAGCAUGACAUGCAUGUAUUACUAGGCAAAUUAGUUCACUUUGUGACAAGGGAAGGGCAAAAACUCAAUAUAAAUAAUUUACAAGGAGGUCCACAAAAUUUUCAUUAUAAAAGGUUGUUAUGCAUAGUAGCUGUUUGUUCAAGGGGUGAGUGUAUAAAUGUGAGGUAAAUGCCUCAAUUUCUUACUCUGGAUACUUAGGGCCUUUUUCUUUGAUUUGCAACUAUGCAACGAUGAUGGUAGUUUAACCUUUCCUAUGGUCAAUGGCAUAAAAUUUCGUUGUCUUUCCUUCUUUUAUUUUGAUUGCACCUUGCAUCUAAAUUGUGGGGGAGCGGAAACAUUGUUUAUCAAGGGGAUGAAUAUGAAGGAGGUGCAUGCAGCAAAGUUUCAUCCCAUGAGUGAGAUAAUUGGGGGUUAGAUGCAAUAGAUCUUUCUAUAGUCUGGGAAGACGGAUUUUUUAAUGUUUCUAUACAGGUAGGCAAUAUUGUUAUUCUGUACUGGUAUAUUGUAGAAGAUAAUUUGAUUAAAAGAGUUUGUUGCAGGACAAGCUGGAAUUGAAGGAUUUUGAUAUUGAACAUGCAGCAAGAGGAGUUGAUAAGACAAUUGUAAAAGAAUUUAAAGCAGUUGUUAGAAAUAAAACUUUAGAAAUCUGUUUUUAUUGGGUUGGGAAGGGGACAACAGCUUUCCUGUCGGGGAACUUAUGGUCCUCUCAUAUCAGCUAUUUAUGUAGAAUCCGGUGAGUUAGUGCCUUCUUCAUUCCGUGUCCAGGUGAAGCACUAGUAGUCACUCUCUCUCAUAUUUGACUUGGAGAGGCCUUUUUUUUUUUUUUUUCCUCCCUUGGCUUGUUCAACUCUGUUCUGAAUGAACAAAGAUGGAUCCAUCUCUUAAAUUAUGAUAUUAAAAUUUUUGGUAACCUAUAAGCUUAUUGAUAGCCAUAACAAUGGCAAGUUUGUCCGAUUGGUAAGUGGAGUGCACCAAAAGGUUUGGUUUGGAGGUUUGGGGUUUAAAUCCCCUCAGAAGUAAAAGGAGGAGGUACUAUAGUUAUAUCGCGAGAUUUUCUCGGGAUUUAUCCCAAAAUAUCACCUAACCGAAAUAAUUACAAUUGGACAACAUUAAUGUACCCUCUAUAUAUAUAUAUAUUUUCCCAAUUGUCCUGAAACUUUGCCCAUGCACCCAUCUCCGGGUUGUCUGAAUUGGGCCAGAGCAAAUUCCAUUUUAUAUAAAUAUUAUGUUUAUCCAUCAUAUUGCAAAUCGAUAAGAAACGUUAAGACGUUAAGGAUAGUAAUGUAUUCUUUGCACUUCAAAACAAUUUGAUAGUGUUUUAAGUUUUAAAUGGUAUAAUGGGGCUCAUAAGACCGAGGUGGGUCAAUCUUAAAAUGGAACCAUAAAAUCACGAGAAAUUGAAUGGAGGUUGAGUAGCUAAAAAAUGUUGACUGGCCCAAGGUGAUGUGGACUCUAGCCAGCCCCUGGCUGCUAUAAUAAUACAUUGUCGGCGGUUCAUGGCGUUCUCAGCUAAAUAAUGCCCGGAAGACCAAAUUUUCUAUUGGAUAUUAGCUCAUACCUGUCAGAUCUCAAUAAUUGAAAACCCAUAUCAAGCAUUAGUCAAAUAUUAUCUUGAAAUAGGAGGAUUCAAGCCCAUAUUUGAUUUUUAUUAAAUAAGAGUGGAUGAUAUACACUAUUAUUGUAACAAAACCAUUGACUGAUUCAUUGCAGAUGCUGUUGGACUAAAGGCAAAUUCCUAUCAAAAUUCAAGCGGGCAUUGCAAUGGUUCAUGAACCUGAACGAUCAAAAUUCAAGAUGAAGCAGAGUUAUUAAUCAAGUGUAGGGUCCAUUGCCCACUAUCUAUGAAUGGUCUGUCUUCAUAAUAAUUAGUUUUCAGUCUAGGAUAAAAAAGGUUGACCAAUUAUCUGUCUUCAUCAUAUAAUGCACAGCCUGGAGAAAUAGAUUAGAUCUAUGGUAUAAUCGGGUUCUCUUAUAAAUAGGAGAGCAGAGAACAUGACAUUGCCAAAAUACAGUUGGUGCGACCAUGGUAGCCAUAAACUUUCUUCACGUGAAUGCAGGAAAUGGAGAAAUUAGCUAUGCUAAUAACUCACUCGCCCAAGUCUCUCUCUAGUUUUUUGUCAUAAACACAUACACACAAACGCACAUGUUGCUUUAAAUCCUUAAUUAGAAUUUUUUUUUUUUGCUGCUUUCACUUACGUAUCUAAUUUAUUUUUAUGCAGAAAAAAAUUAUAUUGAAGGCAAGGGCAUUUCUUGAGGAGGCCAUCAGAGAUAGGUUCGUCUCAGCAGGCUUUCCCAGCUGUGUUAAACUAGCAGAAUUGGGUUGCUCUUCAGGAACAAACGCCCUUUUGGCCAUCUCCGAAAUUAUUGACACCAUUCAUGAAAUGUCCCAAAGGAUUAAUUGUGAGUCUCCGGAGUUCCAAGUGUUCCUCAAUGAUCUUCCAGAAACUGACUUUAACAACAUUUUCAAAUCGUUGCCUGCUUUCUAUGAGGGGCUGAUGAAAGAAAAGGGAGGCAAACUGGGGAAUUGCUUUGUGACAGGAAUGCCAGGUUCUUUCUACGGGAGGAUCUUUCCCACAAGGAGCCUAGAUUUUGUCCAUUCUUCUGCAAGUGUUCAUUGGUUGUCUCAGGUUAAUUUUCAUCUUGAAAUUUAUACACAACCAGUACUUCUUUCAGAAUUAACAGUUGUGUCAGUCCACAUAUAGUAAAGGAAAAAAACACCAUACGGUAAGAUACAUGUCCAAAUAGGCUAACCAUGCAUGUAAAUGAAUGACAGGUUCCUGCUGGACUAAAAAAUAACAAAGGACACAUAUAUAUGGCAAACACAUGUCGUCCCGAUGUUCUUAAAGCCUACACGAAACAGUUUCAGAGGGACUUCACAAUGUUUCUAGGGUUGCGGUCUGAGGAAAUUAAACCUGGAGGGCGUAUGGUUAUUACUAUAACAGGAAGGAGCAUUGAAGAUCCCUCUAGCAAAGAUUGUUGUGACCUUUGGGAGCUGUUAGCAAAAUCACUCCUCGACAUGUUGGCUGAUGUUAGUUUAUUUCCUCUUCAUAACCCAGCUGUUGCAUUGUGCUCAAAACUUCAGUCAUCAUGUUAUUUAUUUUGUUUUAGGGACUUGUUGAGGAGGCGGAUGUGGACUCGUUCAACCUUCCUAUGUACAAUCCCUUUGAGGGUGAAGUGAAGGCUUUAAUUGAAGAGGAGGGGUCUUUCAAUCUUGAUAAGCUAGAAACUUUCGAAGCCAGUUGGGACCCCUAUGAUGACAGUGACAAGACUAGGAGCGGACAAAAUGUAGCAAAUUGUAUAAGGAGUGCUACAGAGCCCAUGUUGGCUACUCAUUUUGGAGAUGCCAUAAUCCCUGAUCUAUUUGCAAGGUAUGCAAACCGCGUCGCUGAGCAUCUCUCAAUGGAAAAGGGACAUCACUUCCUCGUAGUGUUUUCUUUGACAAAGAAGUAAAUGCUGCAAUAAUAUUCUAGAGUGGAGUAGUUGGUGUUUGGACCAGCUGUUUAACAAGGAUACACGUACGCACUACGUACUGUAAGGAAUAAAAUAAGUUUGUGAAAAUAACUCUGUUUCACCCUCUUAUAUUUUAAUAUCAUAUUUAGAUUACUUGUGUUGAUUAUCCGUACUCGCAUAUGCUAUAUUUAAGUAACACCCUCUUAUAUCUACCAAUAAAUAUGAUAUUAAAAUAAAUUUUUAAAAAAUAAAUUAAUUUUAGUUAUUUUAUUUUUAAUUUGAUUUCAUUGAUGCUAAAAAUAUAAAAUUAUCAUGAUAAUUCUUUUUUUAAAUAAUUCAUUUUUUAUCUUUUUGUAGACCCCUUUACAGUGAAGGGGUUAUUUUAUUAUUUUUUUCUUCUGACCACCCCAAAAUUAAGUUGAUGGGGCGGCCAGAUGGGACAAUGGGGACAGAGAGUAGGUGAGGGCUGAGAAGAGAAAAGGGAGAAUUGUGUUUUGGGGCCAGAUGACCCAAAAAUUGAUUAAAGAUCCUCAUAAGUUUCAUAUUUAAACCCAACACCUAAAGAAAGUCUACAAAUUGAAAAGAAGGAUAUGAAACAUUUAAUUUUCCGAAAAUACCCUUUAUUGUCAAAAAGAAAAAGAAAACAACUAACUUCCCACUCUCUUUCAUUCUUUUUUUCCCUCUCUCUUUCAUCAUUCACCUUAUCUUUUUCUCUCACAUAUUAAUCGGUGGAACAUGUAAAUUAAUUCUUUUCUAGAAAGGUGUUACUAUUUUCAUCAAUUAUUUUUCUCCCAAAAACCAUGCCUAAUAAAUUAAAUAUUGGUAAUCAAUGGUUGAAAAGGAUUAUUACUAUAUUUUUAAAGUAAAAAUUUUUUAAAUACCUCAUAAAAUAUUUUUUUUAAACUUACAAAAUAUAUAAUAAAUAAUUUUUAAACACCUUAAAAAAUAUUAUUAUUCUUUUUUAUCCAAUAUAUAUAUAUAAAUAUCUUUAAGGAUGUAGACAAUUAUUUGAAUAUUUUCUCUAUUUUUUGGACAAUACAUUGAUAUUAUUUUGUAACAUGAUCAUCUUUUAACUAAUGGUGAUAAUUAAUUUUUAAUUGAAUAAUGUAUUAUAACUUAAUAAUUUGAAAAAUAUUCAAAUGCCUUUUUAAAUCUAAAAUAGAUGUGGACUUGACAUGAUUUAAAUUAUUAAAGCAUGAUGUCAUUAAGUCAAGGAAAUGUAUCAUAUUAAGAGAUGUGUAUGUAAAUUAUAUCGUAAUUUUCUCUUUUUUUAUUUUUUUUCCUCGUAUAUGAUAUCUUUUGUAUAAAGUUUUGUAGAUGAAAAAUAAUAAAAUCUUUUGUUAUGUAAAGAGGUAUAACAACACAUUAAAAUUGAAAAGAGAAUAUAAUGGAAUACAAAUUAGAUGAAAUCACUUUAAAUAAGGAUAUAAUAGAAAACAUAUAAAUGUAAGAAAAAACAAGUUUAGAUGAAAUUUAAAAUAAAAAAUCAAAGAAAAUAAAUUAAAAGUAAUAAUAUAAAAAUCGUAGAAUCUUUAAAACUAUAAUUACAACAAAAAAAUUAUUUUAAAUUAACUUGAUAAUUUAAAUUAAUGAUUUUUUAUAAAAAAAAAUUACAAAUGUUACAAAGAUAAUUUUUUAUCCUUUUUAAUUCUAUUUAAAUAUGAUUUUUUUAAUAUCUGCUAACAUUAUGUUUAUAAAGGUAAAAUAGUAAAAAUAUAUAUUUCAUUCGGUUUACUUGUAAUAAACACUUUAAAUGUGAUUAAUUUUAAUUUUAUUUCCUAUGUUUUAAUUUUGGUAGAGAAAAUCUAAAUGACAUAGUUUGGUAAAAAAAUAUUCAUAAUUUUUCCUCAACAGUUAUUAUAUGUUGUUUAUAUUGUCUUAAGUUAUUUGAAACAAUGACAUUAAUGUGUUAUCCAUUUAUAUUAAUUUGAUUUCACAAAAAAAAAAGGUAAUACCUAAACAUUAUGGUUAAUUUUCCUUUAUAUAGGAUGUAAAUGUAGUAAAAAAAAAUAUUGUUAAAACUACUUAAACGAAAUAUGCAAUUACAAAUUUUGGAUGAUGAAAUUUAAAAUUUAAAAUUAAAACAAUUUUUAGGUGAAGGAAUGUGUGGGGGAAAAGUGUUCAAUCCUUAGGUGACAAGAAAAAAAAAAGUUCAGAAUUGAUUAAAAUUUUGUAUAAAAGAUAACCUUGUACACCCUUGUAUAAUUAGUACAUUUACCCCAUACAGUUAGUACAUUGCCUUACACAAUGAGUGGGAUACUCUUUUAUAGUUAGUGUAACACCCUUAUAUAAUAGUGCAAAUUUCAUAAACAAUUUAUGGGUAACAAAAAAAAUAAAGAAAUGAUUCAAAAUUGACUAAAAUCUUUCACAAAUGGUAGCCUUGUACACCCUUGUACACUUAGGUGGUGUUUGUUUUUUUACUUAAUUCUAAAUAGAACCUUAAUACUUAAUAGUAUUAAAUAUUAGGUUGUUUGUUUUUGUAGUAUUUUAUUUCUAUUAAGUAUUAAAAAGUAAAAAAAACUAUUGUGUUAUUUUUUCUAUUUAGAAAAAGUCACAUAUUUUGGCUUUUUCUAUUUAGUAAAAAGUUUAUAAUAAGUCAUGAAAAAGUAAAAAAACAAACAACCUAAAUUCUAAAACUAAAUGGUUUUCAGUAAAAAGCCAAAAAAACAAACACCACCUAAGUAUAUUUCCCUUGUACACUUAGUACAUUUCUCUUGUACACUUAGUACAUUUCUCUUGUACAGUUAGUGUAACAUCAUUGUACAAUGGUGCAAUAUAUCCCUCUUAAGUUGUGUGUCAACGUAGAUAUAUUAAUCUUAUUUCUAAUGGUUUGGCUAACAAAAUGGUGGAUGAAUUAUGAUUAAAUUUUUUUUCCCCAAACAUUAUUACUAAGAAAAGUAUCGAAAUUUUCAUGUGAAAGUUAAAUAAAUUGCAUGACGUAGGUAUGCAAUCUAUGGGUGACAAGGAAAAUGAAAAAGUGAUUCAAAAUCGAGUAAAUUUUUUUAUAGAUGGUAGUCUUGUACACCCUUGUACACUUAGUACAUUUUCCUUGUACGCUUAGUACAUUUCCCUUGUACAAUUAGUGUAAUACCAUUGUACAAUAUAUCUAUCCUAAGUAAUAUGUCCAUGUAGGUGUGUUAACCAUAUUUCUAAUGGUUUAACUAAUAAAAUGAUGGAUGAAUUAGGGUUAGUUUUUUUUUUUUUUUCCCAAACAUCAUUAUUGGGGAAAGUAUCGGAAUUUCCAUAUGGGAGUUAAAUAAAGUGCAUAACAUGAGUAUACAAUUUGUGGGUGACAAGGAAAAUAAAGGAGUGGUUCAAAAUAGAUUGAAAUCUUUUAUAAAUGGUAAUCUUAUACAUUGCUUGUACACUUAGUACAUUUCCCUUAUACAGUUAGUAAAUACUCUUGUAUAGUGACACAAAUUUCAUAUUCCCGUAGUGCAUAUAUGCCUAUAUUUGUAUUAAACAUGAUUCUAGUAGUUUGAUUAAAAAAAUGAUGAAAAACUUCAAUCCAAUUUUUUUAUGAAUAUAUUACAUUUUUGUGAAAAAAAUAUACAAUUGACCAAUUCCUUUAUUUAAUUGUGAACAUAUUAUAUUUUAAAAAUAAAAAAGAAUAAUUAAUAAAUGAAAUUUAAUUCUUUUUGUUAUCUUAGUAUUAAACAAGGUCUUCAAUUUUCAUUUUUAAAAAUAUUUUUCAUUUUUUUAAUUAAAUGUAUUUUCAAAAAGAGACAAUAUAGAAAAUAAAAAUAAUUAAAAAUAAAAAAAUAAUAAAAACUAGAAAAAAUAUUUUAAAACCAAACUCAAACAUAAUUUAUAUAAUUUUUAGCUACUUGUUUUUAUUUAAAAUGAGUAAACAUAUCAUUUAACCCUUUUGUAUGAGAAAAAAAUCAAUCUCUACUAUACUAUGUAUUGAUAUAAUCCAUUUCUAAAUACGAAAACAUUUUAGUUGGAUAUUUAAAAUAAAAACUCUUCAUCUUGAAAGUGCUCAGGCACGGAUUUAGCAAGAAUAAGGAGUUUAUUCUAUUCACUGCAUGAAUGUACAGUACAUCAAUAGCUAUAUAUAUAUAUAUUACAACAUCUAACUAAUCUAACCAUCUAACUAAUCUAACAACUUUCUAACUCAGCACAACAGCAUCUGUUAGAGAAGACUCAGCAUAACCGCAUCUGUUAUGGAGGAGAAGCAUCAGUUACUGACGUGGGUGUUUGUCUAUCAUCCCCCCGCAAGCUGACAGGUCUUGGGACAACAGAGAGACGAGUACGAGCAGCUGAGAACUGACAGCUUGGAACAUGCUUAGUAAAGACAUCUGCCAACUGGUCGGUAGAAGGAACAUAUUGAAUCAAAAGCUCUUUGUGGAGGACCUUAUCACGAACAAAGUGAAGGUCAAUCUCUAUGUGCUUUGAGCGGGCAUGGAAGACAGAGUUAGCGGCAAGAGCAGUAGCACUGAUAUUAUCACACCAGAUCAGAGGAGUGUCCUGUUGAGGAAUACAUAAUUCUUUGAGCAGAAACUGAACCCAAGAGACCUCAGCGGCGAGAAGAGCAAGUGCCCGAUACUCCGAUUCUGCACUACUACGAGAGACAACACGUUGCUUGGUGGAGGACCAUGAGAUGAGAUUGGUGCCAAAAAAAAGACAAAAGCCACUGGUGCUUCUUCUAUCAUCGGGACAUGAUGCCCAAUCUGCAUCGGUAUAUCCUUGAAGAGACAAAGAUGGUGAGGCAUGGAUAGAAAUACCAUGAGUAGCAGUACCUUUGAGAUAGCGGAGUAUACGCUUAGCAGCUUGCAAAUGAGAAGUGGUAGGACGAGCCAUGUAUUGACAAGCUCGAUUCACUACAAACGAGAUUUCUGGUCGUGUGAGAGUGAUGUAUUGAAGAGCACCCACAAGACUACGGUAGUGAGUAGCAUCAAGAGCAGAUAAAGGUUCUCCAUCUGCUGCUGAUAGCAAUUUUCCCAAGGCACCAGGUGUGUUAGCAGAUUUGGCCUCAUGAAGAUUAGCACGCUCAAGUAGCUGAUGUAUGUAGCGUUGUUGAUUGAGAUGAAGAGCAUGAGAAAGCCGAGUGACUUCAAUGCCAAGAAAGUAGCUAAUAUCCCCAAGGUCCCGAAGAGCAAAAUGGGAGCUAAGUUGAGAAAUGAUUUGAUGGACCCGUGAUGGAUUGCUACCAGUAAUGAGAAUAUCAUCCACAUAGAUUAAUAGGAUGAUAAUAUCAGAUGCAGAGUGGAAAUAAAACAAAGAUGCAUCAGCCCUUGAGCAUUGGAAUCCAAUCUGUAAGAGAAAGGAGCUGAGCUUGUGGAACCAUGCUCGAGGCGCUUGUUUAAGGCCAUAGAGAGCCUUCUGUAGACGACAAACAUGAGUGGGGCAAGAGUUAUCUUCAAAGCCUGGAGGUUGCAUCAUAAACACCUAUUCUUGAAUAUCCCCAUUUAAAAAAGCAUUGUGGACAUCUAGUUGUUUAAUAGGCCAGUUGGAAGAGACCGCAAUAGAGAGAACAAGCCUGAUAGUGCAAGGCUUCACGACUGGACUGAAUGUCUCAAAAAAAUCAAUGCCAUAGGUUUGAUGAAAACCUUGGGCAACCAGCCGGGCUUUGUACCUGUCAAUGCUGCCAUUAGGUUUAUGUUUGAGUUUGAAGACCCAUUUACACCCAAUAAUUUUGGCAUUAGACGGAGGUGGCACCAGAGACCAAGUUUGAUUCUUCAAUAGAGCCUGAUAUUCUUGUUCCAUAGCAAUUUUCCAGUUGGGGUCUUGAAGAGCCUGCUUAACAGUACGUGGCUCAAUUGUGAGUGAGGUAAGAUAGGUCUUCUUUUUGCAUAUACCAGAUUUGGAUCUGGUAAUCAUAGGAUGGCCAGGAAUUGGAGCUGUUGAAUCUUGGAGUGAAGUAGUAGGAGUUUCAGCUGCUUCAUCCACAAAUGGCACCUGAAUGAGUGGGGGUAAAGACAAAGAGCUGGCUGGAGGUGAUGUGGGGGCAAGUUCGGAUGGGGUAGCCAGAGGAGAGCUGGUUGUGGGUGGAAAGAGAAUAGGAGAUGGAGGAAGAGGAAAUGUUGGAGUAACAGGAAUGUGAUAUGACUGUUGGGAGGGAAGACUCAAUGCCUGAAAUGGAAAUGUAGUUUCUGCAAAUACUACAUGCCUAGAGAUAUACACUCUGUUAGUUGUAGGAUUGAGGCAAAGAUAACCCUUGUGAGAUGGUGCAUAACCAAGAAAGAUACAUGGUGUGGACCGUGGCUGAAAUUUGUUGGAGUUGAGAUGUUUGAGGUGUGGAUAACAAAGGCAACCAAAGACUUUGAAAUGGAAAUAAUCAGGUGGGUGUUUAUAAAGAAGAGAAAAUGGGGAGCUGUAAUUGAGUAAAGGAGAAGGCAUGCAAUUGAUAAGGGUAACUGCUGUGGUGAAAGCAUAAGGCCAAAAUUUAGAUGGAAGGGUAGCUGUGUAAAGAAGAGUGAGCCCAGUUUCUACAACAUGGCGCAUUUUGCGUUCUACUCGGCCAUUUUGUUCAGGUGUAUAAGGGCAGGAAAAUCUAUGGAGUAUACCAUGAAGAGAUAAAAAUUUGGUAAGGGCAAUGAACUCUCCACCAUGAUCUGUUUGAAGGCAUUUAAUGGUCGUUUGAAAUUGGUUUUCAACAAGAGUUUUAAAUUGGACAAAAGUGGAGUGAACCUGAUCCUUGGUGGGGAGCAAAUAGAACCAUACAAAUCUAGAGUAAUCAUCCAUGAGCAACAGAAAAUACCGGGCACCUGUGGAGGAAGGAACAGGUGCUGGUCCCCACAAGUCUGCAUGGAUGAGUUCAAGAGGAGAGGAGGCCCGGGAAGUGGACAAAGAAAAAGGAACUUUGUGACUUUUGGCACAACAACAAGCAUUGCAAACAUCAACUGUUUUAUUUGAGUUAUGUGAAAUAUUACAUGUAUGAAAAAUUUUCUGAAGUAUUACACCAGAAGGGUGGCCAAAUCGUUGAUGCCACAGCAUAGUAGUGGGCUGAGUUUUUGUGAGAAAUACUUGAUGUUUAGGACUGGCAGUAGGUGAACUGAUGGAUGAGGUAGGAAACUUGUAGAGUCCACGUUCAAGUUGGCCUUGGAGGAGAGUCACUUUGGUGUCCUUGUCCUUGACAAAAAACGAAGAAGGAUGAAAUUCCAGAAUGGUAUUACUGUCAGUACAAAAUUUUGACACACUGAUGAGAUUUGAAGUGAGUUGUGGAACAUGGAGCACAUUAUGUAAGACAAAGGGUUUGGCAGGAGUGUGGAGAAAGGAAUGACCAACUUGGGUUAUGGGUAGAGACUUACCAUUUCCAACCAUCACAGAGUCAGUACCAUUGUAGGGAGUACCAUUGUGGAUAUUAGCAGCCGUGUGGGAGAGAUGGUGGGUGGCGCCUGAAUCCAAAAACCAAGAGUCCAUUGAUGCUGAGGAAGGUGCUGCCAUCAUAGCUUGAGCAGGAGGAGUGAGACCAAUUUGAGAGGUUGAUGAGGCUGGUGCACGUGGCCCUUGAUAAUUCACAUCAAAUCUGUGAUAACAAGAGAGGACCAUGUGCCCAAACUUGCCACAUAACUGACACUGUGGUCAGUUAUUUGUCCGGGAUCGAUUAUUGUUGAAUCGGUUAGGGCGAUAUCCUUGAGGAUAUUGCUGCCGUGAAUCUGGAAGAGUGUCAGGUCGUAUGGUUGGCAUGAACGACUGAGGUGGUUUCCCUUGAGAGGGUUUGUUGGACUGUGACCUUCGUGGUCUGUUAUGAGUUGCAAAAUUGGCAAUGAGGAGGUCUUCUUUAGUAGCCGUGGUUUGAAGAUGCAACCUCUGUUCAUGAGUCAAAAGGAUACUAUGUACUGCAUGAAACUGAAUGUCAUCAUCUCUAGCAGUGAGAGAAGCCACAAUGGGGUUGUAUUCAGCUCCUAGUCCACUCAGUAAUUGAAGGAUUUGAUCCUUUUCUGGCACUGGUUCUCCAAUAGCUGCCAGACUAUCAGAGAUGUGUUUGAGUUUUUGGAUGUAUUCCAUCAUGGUGAGAGAGCCUUUUUUGGUUGUUUGAAAAGCAAGUCUCAACUGCAUUGUUCUUGCUUUGGUGGAAGCAGAAAAGCUUCGUUGGAAGGCUGUCCAUGCUUCAUGGGAUGUUUGUAGCCCAACAAUUUGACCCAUAACCUCUGGGGUGAGAGAGGAGUAGAUCCAACUCAGGAUCAUACGGUCAUAUCUCCUCCAAACCAGAAAAUCUGGGUUCACUUCACCGGUGGAUAUUGUUUUUGGAGGACAUGGUCUCAGACCUUCAAUAUGGUCCUCAAAUCCAUUGGCAUAUAUCACAUUUUCCAUUUGUGUAUGCCAAAGGAUAUGAUUAUCUCUAUCUAGUUUGAUAGGAAGAGGAUGAUUCAGCAUGCUCAUGUUCAGGGUAGGGGUUACCUGAGAAGAGACAAUCUCCGGCAUGGUCUGUGUUGAUGAAGCCAUCGGAGUAGGUACAGAAUGUUCUUGAAGUGAGUAAGCAAAGAUCAGAAGAAAGUUGCAGCAGAAAGUGUUGCUGGAGAUUUCUUAAUUGUCUUGCUGGGAGAGAAAUCAGAGAAAAAAAAAUUCAGGAGCCUAUGGCUCUGAUACCAUGAAAGUGCUCAGGCACGGAUUUAGCAAGAAUAAGGAGUUUAUUCUAUUCACUGCAUGAAUGUACAGUACAUCAAUAGCUAUAUAUAUAUAUUACAACAUCUAACUAAUCUAACCAUCUAACUAAUCUAACAACUUUCUAACUCAGCACAACAGCAUCUGUUAGAGAAGACUCAGCAUAACCGCAUCUGUUAUGGAGGAGAAGCAUCAGCUACUGACGUGGGUGUUUGUCUAUCACAUCUAUCCUCUUUCUCUCUUUUUCUUUUUUCUCAUUUCAAUAAAUUUUCAAUUAAUUCAAAUCAUUAAAAAAAUUCAUUAAUAAACAAAUUUGGAACAUUCAUAUAACUUAUUACAAAAGUCUAUGUGCAAAAAAUUAUUAAACUAUGGAAAGAAAAAGAUUUAAAAAAAAAACUUUAAACUUUUUAUUUUAUAAUAAUAAAAAAAUAAACUUUAAAAUACUUUUUAGUAUAAAAGAAAAAAAAUAGUAAAUAUAUUUAUUUUAAAUAGUGUUUUAAUCAUUAAAUUAUUUACUUGUAAAAUGUAAAAAAUAAUUUUUAUUCAUUUAAAUUAAUAUUUUUUUCAAAAGUAUGUUCCAAAAUAAUUUUUGAAUCAUUAAUAUAAUUUUUAUUUAUUUAUAAUUUAAAAAUAGAAAAUAAUGUUGAUUUUUCAAUUAUUUUUAAAGGAGUUUAUAAAAUAAUAAAAAAUAAAAAAAUGAUUAAAUAAAGGAGAAUUUUAUGGAUGGGGCAUGUAAAGAGUGGUGGUAUAAAGACAAAAUGAUGGGUGUAAGUAAAAAGAGGUAUUUUUGUCUAUUUCAACCUUAUAUCCUUAAUAUCAAUUAUAGGUGUUUUGGGGGAGGAGGUUUUCGGAGGUUUCUGGAGAAGUGUGGCUGGGGAUGGCCGGGUGAGAUAUUUUGGAGGGAGAGAGAGUGCUUGAGGACAAGCAUACUUUGCUCGAGGAAGAAACUUCCAGGUAACGUCCCUAUGAUUUUCACUUUUUCUUGUUAUCACACUAUUCUGCUAAAUCUUUCUGCAUAUUCCUAGGUGUGAUUCAUUGAUAGGUUUGGGCAUCUAGGAUUACUGGUCUGUUUUGCUGAAUCUGUUUGUGUGCAUAUAUGCUUUGUUUGACUUUAUCUUGGUUUCCUUGACUCCUUCAUUAAGUAUCUGAUAUAUAGUUUCAUCCCUGAACCUGAUUAUAUAAAGAUCAUGCUUCGUUUCCUGUUGAUUCUCCUCUCUAUUUAUUGCUCUGUUUCUUGUUGGUGGCGGGACUGAGGUCACCAAUGGCCAAGUUGCCGAGACUGAAGAAGUGAGUUUGUGAAGAGACAUGAACUCAAUUGAGGGUUUCUGUGAUUAUAUAUGUGCUCUAGCUUAUUAGUCCAAAAUAUUGGCCAUGGAGUUGAAUAGAAGUUUUGUAUUUGGGAUUACUUUGCCGUCUGGGUUUGAUAAGCCCUAUACUAGAAGUGAAGAUGAGACUAUGAGGAUGCGAGAUUGUCAAACUUUUCAGUGCAUUGGUGUAAUUAAUCUUGGUGGAGAAGUUACUUGUGUUGGUUAAUGAAGGCUCAUGGUUGUUUGUGGGUAUGCUGAAUGUUGUAAGGCAAUUUAUUAGGUUAUGUCAUCAAGUAAACUCCCUAGUGUCUCUGCUCCAACCGGAAUAGCUGAAAAGCUGCAGGAAGCUGUCAGAAAGGGAGUCCUCAUCCUACAAGUCAACACUACCCUUCAUACCCGUGCCCAUGCUCACCGUCAUUGAAAUGCACCACCCUACUCACUCCACCAACCCGCAGCCUAUCCUUGCAUCAUGCAUGGUCAUCCAAAGCUCCUCCAUUUCACCCACCCACAUGCAUGGGAACCAUGGGAACCAAACCACCAUUCCUAUACUCAUUUUCUCUCACUAGCUUCCGCUCUUCAUUUCGCCACUCACAAUCUUUGCUUUCACAUCCAUUUUUCAAACCAACCAAACACUUUUUUUCACACGUUCAUCUUUCGAUACUACCCAUACCCGUUCCAUCUCACUAUCUUUCCUCUCUUCAUUGCCAUUCACUCCCACUCCUAUCAUACCCAUCCCGAUACCCAUCAAACCCAUUCCAUGUUUACCACAUUUUCUCUCUCUUCGUACCACUAACCCUAUGCCUGCAUUCUUUUCCAUCUUUCACCAACCCUUCCCCGCACCCACUUCUCUCUCUAAUAUCUUCAUACCCACUGGACCUAUCUCACUACCCAUCCCCCAUAUUUUCCUUACACACCACAUGCAUAUAUAUACUCAUCCCAUUUCACCACCUCAUUGUUAAACCCAUAAACCCAUUCCUCUUACUACCCCCAUUACUCAUUUCUCAUCCAUUCUUUUGUCAUCUCAUCCCAGGUUCUCGUGGUCUAUGCAUGCAUGGCUGCCCUAAGGUCUCUCCCAAGCUCUCCAUUAAAGUUCAUUUCCUGUCAUAUCUAAGUCCCACGUAGAAUUACUUCAUGCUUGAGACAUCAUGCCAAGCUCAUUAUCCUUUGAAUAUCCAUACCCAUUCAUCAUACCCAUGUACAAUAGCCUCCAUUCAUUUCACCACCAAACAACUAUUUAAUUAUUUAUUCAAUUUUUUUUCUCUCCCACUUUUUUCCUCCACUCUUUCCAACCCACUUUCACUGGCAGGCCACAUUUCCAUUUUAUAUAUUUAUUUAUUUAUUUAUUUAUUCUUUUUUUUUUCUUUUCAAAGUUUAAUUUUCCAAAACAAAUUUUCAUUUUCAAAUAAUUCUCCAAAAUUCGAAUAUUCCAAAAUUCCAUUCUCAAAAAUAAUUUUUUUUUUAAGAUUCCAAUUUUUGAAAUUAAAUUUUCUGAAAUACCAUUCUCAAAUAAUCUUUCAAAAUUCCAAUUUCCAAAUUCAAUUUUAAAAAUUUUUAUUUUCCAAUAAUUUUCCAAAAAAUCCAAAAUUCCCAUUUAUUUAUGUAAUCAUUAUUUUCAUUAUUAUUAUUAUUCUAUUUAUUUUAAAAUUCCAUCGUCAAACAAUUUCAAUUUUCUCGACUUUCGAAUUUAAUUUCCAAUUUGAAGAAAAUCCAAAAUUCCCGUUCAUUUAUUUAAUCAUUAUUAUUUUUCGUCAUUAUUAUUAUUAUUAUAUUUAUUCAUUUAUUUUAAAAUUCCAUUUUUAAUCUAUUCUUUAAAACUUCCGAUUUCAAAAAUUCCAAAAUUCAUGUUUAUUUAUUUAAUCAUUAUUUUUGUUCUAUUUUAAAUAAUUCAUUAAAAUUUUCGACUUCCAAUUUCUAAUUCCAAAAAUUCCAAUAUUCACAUUAAUUUAUUUAAUUAUUAUUAUUUUAUUUAUUUAUUCUAAAAUUCCAUUUUAAACAAUUCAUUAGAAUUUCCACUUCCGAUUUUAAUUUCUAAUUCCAAAAAUUCCAAUAUUCACAUUAAUCUAUUUAGUUAUUUUAUUUUAUUUAUUUAUUCUAAGAUUCCAUUUUAAACAGUUCAUUUAAAACUUUCGAUUUCCGAAUUAAAUUCUAUUUCUGAAGAUUCCAAUAUUCACAUUAAUUUAUUUAAUUAUUAUUAUUUUAUUUAUUUAUUCUAAAUUUUCAUUUUAAACAAUUCCAAAAUUCCAACAUUCACAUUAAUCUAUUUAAUUAUUAUUAUUUUAGUUAUUUAUUUUGAAAUUCCAUUUUAAACAAUCCUUCAAAAUUCCAAUUUUUGAACUUAAUUUCCGAUUUCCAAAAUUCUAAUUUCUUUCAAAUUUAAUAUCCAAAAUUCCAAUUCUUAAAUUUAAUUUUCAAGACUCCAAUCUUCAAAUAAUUUUCGAGACUCUAAUUUCCAAAUAAAUCUCAAAAAUCUCGUUUUCUCUCGAAUAGCUUUAAUUCCACUCCGAUUUUUAAAUAAUGUUCUAUUUCUUUUGAUUUUUACACAAGCAAGAAUGAUGAAUCUUCAUAAUUCUGAAAUAAUGGGAUUCGCGAGAUUAAUUCGGACAAGAUCAAUCGGGCUUUGGUGGGGGCCCCACAUAUGUGAUUUCAUGACUGACUGAUUGAUUAAUUGAUUUAUUUACCAUGCUUGUUUGAUUUAUUCUGUUCCUUGACAUGCGCAUAAUUUUAUCUAUUCGUCAUUCACUAAUCUUGUUUCAUGAUAGCGCACUCGUGACUAGAGGACCAAGUACGCAUCCACUCAUAUUUUGUUCAUUCUUUAUACAUGCUCUGCUUCUCACGUCGUGCAUGAUUGAGGUGAGUAUUCAUUGACUUUCUCAUUGAUUGUCGCGUCAGCUUCAUUCUAUUAGUAGAGACCCGAUUUCAGGGACUUAGAGGGGUGUUACGGUUCAUACCGUACCUUCCCGAUAAGUAACUUGACCCCCGAGCCCGAUCCGGUUUUUCACAGACCACCUUUUCCAGAAUAAGGAGUCGCACUUAGGGUUUUCUUUCUUAUUUUGUUUACCUUUUUUUUUUUAAAAAAUAAAACAAAAAUAAGUAGCGACUCCAAGUCAAAAUUUUUUUUUUUUAAUCAAUAAAUCAUCAUUUUUCAAACAAAAAUUGAGCUCGCCAUCAAGUGGAAACGAAUGAGCCAAAAUGCGGGGUCCACACUUUUAUAUGUAUGUAAAUAUAAGAAAAAACAUAAAGUUGUAAAUAAAACUCAAAAUAAUUCAUAUUCAUAAUAUGUUGAAAAAAGCAAUUGAAAAUCUAUCAGAUUUAUUCUAAAAUACAACUUAUAUUGAAAACAAGUUCUAGAAGAAUUAUUUUCAAAAGUAAAUUCCAAAUUGAGUCAUUGCUUUCCGAUAUUCAGUAUUUAAUUUUUUUUUUUUAUAAAAAAACGAAAUUUCUCUUUUAUUUAACGUUGUUUGAACAUCUUUGCAUGAAUUAUUUUUCAACAUAUGAUUUUUGUCCUUCGCGAAUCGCAAUAAGAUCUCAGCCCUUAGAUUUGAAUGGAGUUAUACUCCCUGAAACGUAUGCAAUCAUCGGCCAAAACGAAUCCGCGUCGUGUCGUGCAUGACGUGUUGUCUGUAUGUCCCCGAUUAAUCCACGGUUUUUUCGAAAAUCGUUGCCUCAAGAUUUCUUGUCCGACAUACCAUGUUUCAACAAAAAAUGGUACUUUUUUUAUUUUUUAUUUUUGUAAUAUUUUCACUAUGUAUAUUUCUCUACCUGUAAAAUUAUUAUUGAGAAAAUUAUGAUAAGAUGUAAUAACUAAUAACACAAUAUUUUAAAAAAUGCGAAAAACUUUAAAUAAAAAAAUUAAAAUAUAUUUAUUCAGAUAUAGAUAAUUAAAAAUUAUUUUUAUGACUUUUUAUUAAAUAAUAAGAAAUUAAAAUUAAAAUGUCAUAUAAGUAAAUAUUUUAAUUUUAUAAAAAUAAAACGCUAUAUAAGUAUCAAAAUUCAAAUUUUUUUUUAUAAGAUCAUAAAAUUAUAAUUUUUCUUUUUAUGGUUUCUUUGACUCAACCCUAUUAAAAUAUCCUCUUUCUAAUCCUCAACAAUUUAAAUGCAAUUUUUAAGAAAUUUAUUUGUUUUAAUUUAACCUUUAAAAAAAUCACUUCAUUUUUGUUAUCGUAUGUGUUUUAUAAUUUUCUGGUUUAAUAAUAAAUUAUUCUUUUUUUUUUUUUUAAUUUUUUCCUUUGAUUUAUUUUUUUAAGAAUAUUUUAUUAUUUUUAUUUAUUUAAUACUAAUAUUGAAAACUUAAAUUAUAGAAGGAAGAGAGAUAUGAUAAAAGAUAAUUUUCUUUACACGUUUUUCAUUCAUCAUAUAAAAUGAAAUUUUCUCUUUAAAAAACUUUCACAAAACACUAGACAACCAUUGUAAAAUUAAUAUGUUUAAAAAAACAUUUGGGCUAAAUGAAGAAAAUAAUUAAUAAAAAUGAACUACAAACCCAAGGGAAAAAAAUCUCUAUAUAUAUAUAUUUCCUUUACAAAAUAAAGUACAUUUUGCAUUUUUUUUAAAUAAUAAAAAAUUAAUUUUAUUUUUCAAAUAUUUUUAUUUGUCAAUUUCGAUUUUAAACUUAAAUUUAAAGUUGUCAAUGAGUUUUGACCAUUCUAAAUAAAUUCAAAAUCAUAAUUAUCAACUAUGAUUUUAUGACUGGGAUAUUCAAGUGGAUAAAAUGCACUAAUUUGAAAAUAAAAUUAGUAAGGAGAAGUUGUUGUCUAGAAAAGGAUACUUGGAGUUUGGGCUAGAUAAUAGAGACGGAAGCAAGGUUGGGGGAAGGCUGGGACAUGUAGCAUAAUGAUAAUAAUCUGCCUUGGCGACAUCCUAAAAAUCAUUCACCCUUUCAUUUUUAUUAUUGAAAAAAACCAUAGUAGAACAGAGUGGUAUUUGGAAAUUUGUUGUAUAUCCAAUCUAUCAACUUAAGGGAAGAAGAUACAUACAUACAAAACAUUGGUUAGCCUAUUCUAAGAAUCUAUGUGCAAACGGAUCAGUUAUAAUCAAUAAAAAAUAAUCUCCUAUAUGCAAUCAAAUCUCAUCCUGAAAUUAUGGGAUUCUUGAUUCUUUUCCCAUAAUACUCCCCUUCAAAUUGAAGCGUGUAUGUCAAGAACGCCAAACUUGUUGAGAAGGGAAUGAAAAAUUGAUGAACUGAGUGGCUUAGUGAACAAAUCAGCAAGCUGGCAAGUAGAUGGAACAUGAGUAGUUACUAUGGCACUUGACUGAAUUCGUUCUCGAACAACAUGGCAAUCGAUUUCUAUAUGCUUGGUACGUUCAUGGUAAACUGGAUUAGCAAUAAUAUAGAGUAAUGCUUUACUAUCACAGAAUAGUUUGGUUGGUUGUGAAUAUUCUACCUACAAGUCAUCCAACAAAUACUUGAGCCAUGUAAGUUCACACGUAAUGGAAGCCAUUGCUCGAUAUUCUGAUUCAGUUGAUGACCUUGACACUGUUGUCUGUUUCUUGGUUUUCCAUGAAAUAAGAGCUCUUCCAAUAAAAAUGCAAUAUCUAGUCACAGAUCAUCUUGUGAUUGACCGAGCCCAAUCUGCAUCACAAAAUCCCCUUAGUAGCAAAUUUCCUUUGGCAGGGAAAUAUAAUCCUUGUCCAGGUGCACCUUUAAGAUACCGUAGAAGAUGAUGAACAUCAUCCAAAUGAGGCUUUCUUGGUUCUUGCAUAAACUGACUUAAAAUGUGAAUUGAAUAACUUAUCUCUAGCCUUGUAAUGGUAAGAUAAAUGAGUUGUCCAACCAAUCUUCUGUAAGAGGAUGGAUUCUUCAAUAAAUCUCCUACUGUGGGUAAGAGUUUAUUAUUUUCUUCCAUAGGUGUCAACAAUGGUUUGGCCCUAAGCAAGCCUGCUUCAUCUAAUAUAUCAAGAGUGUAUUUUCGUUGGGAUAUUGAAAUACCAUCAGUAGAAUGAGCAACUUCAAUACCAAGGAAAUAUUGUAAUUAACUGAGGUCCUUGAUGUGAAAUUUGGUGUGGAGAGACUCCUUAAGAGCUGCAAUUACAUUCUCAUAAUUGCCGAUGAUGAUGUCGUCUACAUAGAUGAGCACAGUUGUGAAAGAAUUAUCAGAGAUCUUUGUGAAAAAUGAAUAAUCAGCCCUUGAUUGAUGAAAACCAUCUUGUUGAAUGGUGGCAUAAAAUUUUUGAAACCAACUACAGGAGGCUUGUUUAAGUCCAUAUAAUGACUUGUUGAGUCGACAUACCAUAGGUGUCUCCCUCUGUCGACGAAAAUUGGGAGGCAGUUGCAUAUAGACUUCUUCAAGCAAAUCACCAUGGAAAAAGACAUUUUGAACAUCCAUUUGGUGAAGUGACCAAUGUCGGACAACAGCUACAACAAGUAAACAUUGAACUGUAGUUAACUUAGCCACAGGAGAAAAUGUCUCCUUAUAGUCAAUCUCUUUGCGUUGAGUGAAGCCUUUCGCGACCAACCGAGUUUUGUAUCUCUCAACUAUGCCAUCAGAGUUAUAUUUGAUCUUAUACACCCAUUUGCACCCAAUUGAACGAUGAUCGAAAGGCAAGUGUGAUUUUGUUCAAGAGCAUGGAGUUCUGCAGCCAUAGCUUCUUGCCAUUUUGGAUCCAAUACUGCCUGUUCAUAAGUUGUAAGUUCCACAAGAGUGGUGAUGGCACAAACAAAAUUAUGACAUUUUGGUGAGAGUUGUGCAUAGGAAAUACACUGAGUUAAAGGGUGACGCAUACAUGACAAGAAUGAAGAUUGGUUGGAAGCAACCUUGGCUGUGUGGUAGAGAUGAAAAUUUCGAAGUUGGACAUUUGGUUGCUUGAUACGGUUAGAACAACGAGUAGCAUGAGGUGGAUGUGACAUAAUGGUGUCAAGAUUAAGUGUAGGUUCAUUGGAGGUAGUCAAGGGAUGAAAGUAAGGGUGGUGGAGACAAAGACUGAUCAUCGGCUUGGGGUUUGGUUGUCUUUGUGGUUGUGGGUUCAUAUGAGGUUUGUGGUAAAGGAAGAACGACUACAUCAUGUUGCUCUUCUUGUUAAUUAUUAUGGAAUGAAAAUAUAUGUUCAUGAAAGACAACAUCUCGGGAAGAAAAUAAUUUAUUAUUUUCAAGAUCAUAAACUCGAUAACCCUUUUGACCAAGAGAAUAACCAACAAAUAUGCAACAAUGAGCUCUUUGAUCAAAUUUAUGUGUGGGUAAGAGAUUGGUGGCAUAACAAAGACAUCCAAAAGUUCGUAGAUGAUUAUAUGAAGGUAGCUUGUUAUAGAGAAGUUGGUAUGACAAUUUGUGAGAAAGAAGGGGUGUAGGUAAGCGAUUGAUUAAAUAGCAAACAAUUUGAACACUUUUCCCCCAAAAUUUUAACAAGUUUGCUUGAAAACAAAGAGUUCUUCCCACAUUUAAAAGAUGACAAUGUUUCCUCUCAACCAUCCCAUUUUGUUGGGGGAUGUAAGCACAUGAAUGAUGGUAAUUGAUCCCCUUAGUAUCCAAAUACUAUUUCAUAGAGGAGAUUUCAGUCCCAUUAUCGGUUUGAAGAGUUUUAAUGCAAAGAUUAAAUUAUGUUUCCACCUAAGAAAUGAAUGAUUGCAAUAUCCUUUGUGUUUCAGAUUUAAAACUCAUGAGAUGUAUCCAAGUAUAUCGAGUAUGAUCAUCAACAAUUGUUAGGAAAUAACGAGCCUCAAAAUGAGAAUUUAUUUGAUGUGGUCCCUAAAUAUCACGAUGUAUCAAAUCAAAAGGUGCGUGAGAAGAAAUUAAACUAGAUGGAAAGGACAAAUGAGUUUGUUUGGCUAAAGGGAAAAUUUCACAAACAUGCUUGGAAUCAAAAUAAAUUUCAGGAUUAAUUUUAACAAGAACUUGAAGAGGAUCGGAUGAUGGGUGCCCAAGACGUUGAUGCCAAAGAUCAGAAUGUUUGUGAAUGGUGUAAGCUAAGGUUAGAUUUUGGUCUUGUGCGAGGUAGUAGAGGCCAUUAUGUUGCUUGCCUAGGUCAAUCGUCUUCCUCGUAGUAGCGUCCUGCACAACACAAAAAUGGAAAAAGAACAUCACUAUACAUUUUAAUGCUUGCAUUAGUUUACUAACUAAUAGUAAAUUAACUUGAAAUUGUGGAACUUUGAGUACAUCAUCAAGUUUAAUGUGGGGAGUAAUAUGCAAUGAACCAAUUGACUCAAUAUGUGUUUGACCACCAUCUGGCAAACUAAUGGUAGUGGUCCUUGGCAAAUUUUUCAGAUCUAAUAAUUUAGCUGAGGAAGUCACAUGAUCUAUGGCUCUAUUAUCAAUAAUCCAACACAUAUUUGAGUGUGGGCAAUCUGGAAUAAUUUUGGAUGAUGGCAUAUUUAUACUUGUGACAUUUGCAAAAUGUUGUGAAUUACCACCAUUUUUUUUCUGAAUCAUAGCCAUCAAUUGGUUAUAUUCCUCAACGUGAGCCUUGGUCCAUCACUUGUUGGAAGAAAAUUUGCUUGUCUCCACAACCUUAUUUGUUUCCACUUUCACAUUGUUUACAUUUGAGUGACGUUGAUUAGGAGGCUUCACGUUCUUCCUAUGAAGCUUGUGGCCAAUUGGAAAGCCAUGUAGGUAGUAACAGUUCUCAAUGUUGUGAUAAUCACGGUCAUAAUAAGAGCAAUGUAGUGGAGUCUUUUGCUUUUUGAACCUGGUGUGUUGAAGUCGCCUUAUUGUCUCGAUCUAUAAGCAUGGCAUAAUGGUUCUUGUUCCCAUGACAGAGAGAAACUUCAACCUGUUUUUCUUGUUAAAGGACAAGUGAGUAAACUCAACGUGUAUCAAGUAGAGGUUGCAUCAAUAAGAUUUGUCCACAAAUGGUAGCAUAACUAUCAUUUAGUCCCAUGAGAAACUACAUAACUUUCUCUUUCUCAUCCAUUUCCUUAAGUUUCUGUAAUCCUCCACAAGAGUAGGAUAACACUUCAUGAUAGGAUGAAAGUUCAUCCCAAAAAGCUUUAAGCUUUGUGUAGUAAACCGAAAUUAAUUGUUGCCCCUGCCCAUGUUCCACAAUGUCUCGCUUGAUUUGAUAAAUUCUUGAAUCGUUCCUUGAGAAAAGCGUUCUUGUAGAUCUGCCCAUAUUUCUGUUGCAGUUUCGACAUAAAUCACACUGCUGGCUAUGUUUAGGUGAAUGGAAUUCAAUAACCAUGAGAUCACCAUAUCAUUGCAUCGUUGCCAUGAAGGAAAACUAUCAUCAGUCGAAGAAGGUGGCUUAAUGGAAACUGUGACGAAUCCAAUUUUGUUUUUAGCACUCAAACUGAUUCUCAUAGCCCGACUCCAUGUGCUGUAGUUAUCUCCUUCAAGUACCUUGGAGACAAGUACCAUACCUGGGUGGUCCUAGUGAUGUAGAGAAAAUGGAUCUAAAGCUUUUGUGGUAGCCUUAGAUGAUGUCAAUCCCGUUUUGUUGAUAUCCAUGGUAGCGGCUGUAACAAGGAAAUAGGUUGUGGAAGUGCUUGGAAGAAUUCAGAGUCACCAAGUUUGGUGCUCUGAUACCAUGAAAAAAACAGAGCAUAACAGAGUGGUAUUUGGAAAUCUGGAAAUAUGAAAAUUUGUUAUAUAUCCAAUCUGUCAACUUAAGGGAAGAAGAUACAUAUAUACAAAACAUUGGUUAUCCUAUUCUAGGAAUCUACGUGCAAACAGAUCAGUUACAAUCAAUAAAAAAUAAUCUUUUAUAUACAAUCAAAUCUCAUCCUGAAUUUAUGGGAUUCUUGAUUCUUUUCCCAUAAUAAUUAUAUUUACCAUUGUCUCGACCUAUGACAAGAAAGUAAUGACACUUUAGUAAAUAUUUUUAAAAAGAAAUAACAAAAUAUCAAAAAGUUACAUAAAAAUAACAAAAUAAUAAAAAGUUACAACAAAAUCAUGUAUUCAACUUUUAUAGUAUAAAAAAAUCAUAUCUAUUAUUUUAUUUUUAAUUAAAUAUGAGAUAAGAUAAAAAGAUAAGGUAAGAAGUUAAUUGAAAUGAUGUAAUUUUCAAAAUAUGGCAUAUGGGUCCCAAUGCUCUCUAAUUUUUUAACCCUUUUUUUUUAAAGCUUUCACUGAGAUUCCAGUUGGACCCGGCUAUAUACGGUUUUUAAUAUUUCUUAUUGUAACAUUUUCUAAAAGGAUAAAUUCUUAGCAAAUAUGAAUUUUUUUAAUAAUUUUAUUUCUUCAAUUAAUUAUUAUUAUUUUUUUCUAAAAAGGCAAAACCCUUUUCAUACUAGGUCUAGAAUAGAUUAAUUUAUGUGGUAAUGACUCUUGGCAGCUAUAUAUACAAAGAGAACAUCCUCAUUGAUAAACAGGUACAGGUACAGCAGAAGAGCACAGAUAUUCUGAACGAAGAGCCAUGGAAUUAGUUCAAGUGCUUCACAUGAAGGAAGGAGUUGGAGAUGCUAGUUAUGCAAACAACUCAGGACUUCAGGUAUUUCUACCAAAUCCAACUCAUCAGUACAUGGCUAGCUUAUAUUAUGAUAUUCAGUGAGGCUAAUAAGACUUUUAUCUCUUCUUUCAUUGGAAUUUCUCCCAAAGACUAAGGACCAAUCCCAUAGGUUGCUUUUUCCUCCUCUUUUUUAGGUGACUAAUUACUUUAUUCAUUUGUUGUACUAUUUUAGGUUCCAUGUCACAAUUUGCAUAUCCCCGCUUCCUUUUAAUGUUCUCAUAAAUAUGAAUAUGGAACACAAAAGUUUUUGUAUGAUUUAAUUUUUCUAUAUUAUUAUUAAAUAAAUAAAAAUUUAAAAACAUUAUCCAAAAAAAAAAAAUCAAAAAAAAAAAAAAAAUUCAAGAAUAUAUAUAUAUAUAUAUAUAUAUAAAUUUGAUAUAAAAUAUCAAGUCAAAAUAAAUGAGAAUUCUUACAAAAAGUAAAUUUAAAGUUGAAAAUUAUGAUGAGAAAGUUUAGCACAAUGAAGUUCUUGAGAAGAUUAAUAAAGAGAAGAGUUAUAAUUUAGGGUUUCAUAAAAAAAAAAAAAGUUUUAGAUAAUAUCUAUAGUUUAAUUAGAUAUGUAUUAUUAAUUUAUAUGAUUAUUUUUGUGAAAUUAAAAUUUUCGCAUACAUGACUAUAUGAUUUUAUAGAAUAUUUUUUUUCAAUAAAAGAUUAUAAAUGUGAUUUCAAGUGGUAAGUCUUCUUAUAUUAAAUAAAAUAAAAUUAUUAUAGUCUCUUUGUAUUAAAAAACUGAGGUUAUGUUUGGUUACUAAGAAAAUAUUAAAGAAAGAAAAAAAAAGGGAAUUACCUUAUAGGAUGGACUAUAAAUGAUAAUGACCAAAAGGGUUAUUAUGUUUAUAAAUUCUUACCAAGUCCUUUGAAAAGUUGACUUCAAAUUUCCAAUCAUACCAUUUUUUAUUUUUUUCCUUUUAUUCUCAUUUAACUCUACAUUUCUAUUGUUUUUCUUUUGUGCUUCUUUAUAGAUUAUUCUGAUUAACUAUUAAUAUUAUUAUUUAUGAUAUUAAUAUUUUAUUGAAUUAUUCAUGUUAUUUAUUAAUAUCAUUCUUAUUAAUAUUAGCUAUUUUAUAAUUAUUAUCCAUAUUUAUAAUAUUAUAUUAAAAAUAACAUUAUUAUAUUUUUAUUAUUACUACUACAAAAAAUCCUAGAAAAUAAUUUCUAUAUAUAUAGUUUUUAAUUCUUAAGGCUUGUAAGCUUUAUUAAUUUUUUUUUUGUCUUUUAUACUUAUAUGCCUAGAUUAAUUAAAUUAUUAUUGUUUUUAUUUGAAUACCUCAUUAAUAUUAUUAUUUAUGAUAUUAGUUUUAUAUUAUUAAUUUUAUUAUUGACAUUAUCAAUAGAACUAAUAUUAUAUCCAAUAUGAAAAAAAUAUAUUCAUUUUACAACAUUAAUAUUUUAAAUAUAUAAUACAUUUAGAUAUAACUUAAUUUAAGUUUUUUUAUUAUAAUAUUUUCUUAUGAAAUUUACGUGAUAAAAAAUAUAAUAAAUUUACUUUUAAUUAUCAUAAUGAAAUAAUAAUUUUUAAGAUUAUAUUAUUAUUAUUAUUUUGAAUAAGUUAUUUAUAAUAUAUUUAAAAUAAUAAUAAUUAGAAAAGAAAAAAAAUAAAAUGAAGAAAAGACAAAAGAGGAUAUACCCUACUUUAAAGUGAAAUGUAUAAGGGUAUAUUUGAAUUUUUAUAUUUUGAGCCCUUUUUGGAGACUUAUCAAAAGUUGAUGACCCUUUUAGUCAUUAUCACCCUCUAUGAUAACUUAUUAAAACUAUACGCCAUGUAUAAAUGCUUUUAACACGCAUUUGAAUUGUUCGCGUAUCAUGUAUGGCAACCAUUUUUCUUUCAUUCUUUUUUAAUUUUUUUUUUAUUUGAGGGCAUUGCAUUCAGCUACUAUAAAAUUAAUUUAACUUUUAUGAAUAAGCUUGAAAUAUUGGCUUGAACAGAAAACAGUGAUAUCUAAGGCAAAGCACGUAGCGGAGAAAGCCAUAACCAAUCUCUAUUGUAGCAUCAUGCCGCAAUGCUUAGGCAUAGCCGAGUUAGGUUGUUCUUCUGGACCCAAUGCUCUAUUUGUCAUCCUAGAACUUGUGAGCACAGCCUACAAAGCCUGUCAGAAACUAGGUCGUCAGUUGCCGGAAAUUCAAGUGUUCCUCAAUGAUCUUCCAGGAAAUGAUUUCAACACUCUCUUCAAAACCGUCACAAAAUUUCAGCAAAAUCUGUCACAAGAGAUGGGCAAUGGUGUUGGACCAUGUUAUUUCAUGGGAGUUCCGGGUUCUUUCUAUGGCAGGCUUUUCCCUAACCGAAGUCUACAUUUUGUCCAUUCUUCUUACAGCGUGCAUUGGCUGUCUCAGGUGACCCUAUAUUUGUACUUUUACAGCUAUAGUAAUAUAUUGACUGACAAAGAAGGAACCAUGAAAUUCAUUUGGAGUGCAAUUGUUCAUUAGGUUCCUCCAGGGUUAGAGGACAAUAAAGGGAAUAUUUUCAUGUCAAGUUCAAGCCCACCAAGCGCGCUUAUGGCUUACUAUGCACAGUUCCAAAAGGAUUUCUCGGUGUUCCUCAAGCAUCGCGCAGAGGAAAUAGUUGAAGGAGGGCGUAUGGUUAUCACAAUCAUGGGGAGAAGAAGUGAAGAUCCUACCAGUAAAGAGUGUUGUUACAGUUGGGAGCUUUUGGCUUUGGCUCUCAGAGAUAUGGUCUCAGAGGUAUAUAUUACUGUAUUUGAGCUUCUUUAUAUUGUUUCAAUCCAAUGUCGCCAAUUUGUACAUCAUCGUUAAAGACUAAGGAAUAACGCCUCUUGUGGUAACAAAGAAAUUGCUUAUAAACAAUGCAGGGGCUCAUAGAAGAAGAAAAAUUGGAUUCCUUCAACAUUCCUCAAUACACACCAUCUCCUACUGAAAUGAAGCUUGAGAUUGAAAAGGACGGAUCAUUUGUCAUAGACCAGCUAGAGGUUUUUGAAGUGGACUGGGAUUGUUACGAAAGUGAUGGUCCUUGUAAUGCUGCAAAGUGUAUGAGAGCGGUGGCAGAAUCAAUGUUUGCUGCUCACUUUGGUAGUGGGAUCAUAGAAGAGGUGUUCCGUAGGCAUAGAGAGAUUGUUGUUGAUCGCAUGUCCAAGGAGAAGCCUCAGUAUGUCAAUUUGGUUGUUUCCAUGACUAGAAAUGGAUGAUCAAAGUGAAUGCUGUCUUCAUCGUCAAUUUUAAUGUUGCCUUAAAUUUCAAUAAGCGGAAAGAUUCAUAUAAGAUUGGGCAUUUUGAUGAUGAUGAUCAAUUGUCAAACACAUUGAAUAAAUGUUUGAGUAAAAAAGAACUUUUAUUCUCUUGAAGAAAAUACUAAAUAUCUUUUAGAUACUUUUAUUGCAUGCUUGGAUGAUAUAAAUGAAUUAAAAUUCUGAGUACAUUUAUUGUAUCCCUUAAUAUGAAUGCUUAAGUCCUAAACUAUAUAUAUACUUCAAAGAAUAAGGACGAGCAAAGGAGAGUAUCUUAAUUUGAUGGAGUAAUGACGCCAAGGGUAUUUGCUUAUCUCAUUUGAUUUGUCAUUGUCUAUUUGAAAUACAUUUCUUGACUAUGAUUUAGGGGUUGAUCAUGGUUUGGUUGAAUCAUCCACACUGCAAGUGUGUAACAUGGGAUUGCAACACUAGAAUGGGUUCUAUGCCUUAAUCCCUAUGCUGACUUUGUGAAGGGUGCCUUAGCCCAUGUGCUGACAAUGAGAGGACUUGACAUACAUAUCUUUUUCUUAAUGCUUCUAGCUUGAAAUAAUAAUAACAAUAAUAUAUCCUAUUCUACAUUAUAAUCGUUAUGGUCUCAAUGUGAUAUGUAUCUUUGUGGAUAGUUUUAAAACUAAGCAUUUUUUUUUUUCAGAUUUUCCAAAAUAUCAAUGUGAAAAAUAUAGUUUACUUUAUACAACAGAAGAUUGCUUUAUAUAGAUCUUAGGGUAUGGCAUUAAGAUCAGUAACUACUCUUAAUGAUUUAUCCUUAGCCAAUACCAUUAUGGUGUACCUAAUACCACAUGGUACAUCCUAAUUUCCCAAUUGCUCAAUUAAUUGAUUACAUAAAUAGUCCAAAUGAGGACCACUAAGACCUAUAUAAUAACAUAAAAAAUACAAUUAAUCCAACCUCAAAAUACACCCAAUAGGGGGAGGGGGUGACCUCGGUGAUGAUAAAAUUAAGGGCUUGUUUGAUUAGUGUUUCCAAAAAUUGUUUUGUUCUUGAGAACAUAAAACACUAAAAGAGUCAUGUGGCAAAGGAAUGCAAAGCUAUUCUCGGUGUUCUCCGUGUUUUCAAAUGUCUUGUUCUUAGAAAACAACUUGAUGUUGUUUUUAUUAUUUUUUACACUAUUCAAAGAAAAAGGAAAAAAAAAACAAAAAAAAACAAAGAGGAUGUUCUCUGUGUUUUUGUCCCAAUGUUCCUUUUGUUCUCAUCUCCUUUGCUUUGCAGUAUGGUGUCUCCACUAGCACCUCUGUAUGUAUUUCCUAUUUUUUUUUCAAUAUUUUGUGGUUUUUUUCUGGAUGUGAUAAAAUGAGGAUGAUCUUGGUAGGCUAGAAAAAAUUACUAAAUCUAUGAGGAAGUAUUUAUUGGAGAUUCUCCAUUCAGCAACAAAGUCAUCGAUGUCGACUAAGAUUAAAGUGGGGCUAGAACGAACAACCUUAAUACCAAAGAAAAAAUUGAGAGGGCUUAGGUACUUUAAAGCAAAUUGAGAAUUAAGAGUCGAUAUAAACAAUUGGAUAAGUGAAUCACUGUUACUAGUUACAAUAAUAUCAUCCAUGUAGACUAAAAGUGCAUUUUAUAGUGAUUUUAAGAGGUAUUUCUAGCCUAUGCAACACUUAAAAAUUUUCAUCUUUCAAGUAUUAAAAAUAGUAGAAACACUUUUUAUAAUCAUUACCAAACGCACUCUAAAACAACCAACAUAUGAGAAUACUUCUAAUAGAGAACCAUAGAGGUAUCAAUUUUGGAGUUACAAAAACCCCAAUAGAGAAGAGUAGUACCGAGUCCGUAAACCAAGCUUAGGGAGCUUGUUUCAAGCCAUAGAGGGCUGGGUUUGUACAUCAAGCUUCUCUCAACCUAGUAAUCAUUUAUAAAAAAUGUUAUGUGCAUCAAGUUAUUGAAGACUCUAUCCCUUGCUUAAGGCAAAAGUUAGGACAACUGAAUGGUAGUUAGCUUCACCACUGACUAAAUGUUUCAAAAUAAUUAAUAUCAAGAGUUUGAUGAAACCCUUAGCCACCAAUUGAGUUUUAUACCAUUGAUCAAUACUACCUUCGAGCAUAUAUUUCAAUUGGUAAACCCAUUUACAUCCAAUGAAAUGUCGAUUAGGGGAUGAAGGAACCAAAAUCUAAAUAUUAUUCUUCAUAAGAGCCUCAUACUCAGGUACGAGAGCUUGGUACCAUUCAUUUGACUAAACAACCAAAUGAAAAGAAGAAGAUUCACAAAUUUUGGAAGAGGAGCUAGGGUUGGACAAACACAAACAAGGUUUCAAAAUACCAUCUUUGGCUAAGUAAUCAUUGGAUGAGGAUUAAUAAGGAUAAGAGAUGGGAUCACAAUGAGAAGGAGGACUCAUAGGAGUAGAGGAAUUAAGCAGAAACUACAUAAGUAGAGGAAGGUAAAUAAGGAGAAUGUUGUAAUGAUGAGAAAGGUGAAACACGGGUUUUUUUUUUUAACUUAUAUGACACCUUUAAAAAUGGUAGUUAGAAAAAUAUUGAUAGAUUUAUGACACUUUUCACCAUGUGGAAGAUGUCUUUUGAAGAGACAUCUUUCACAAUUUUCAAAUAUAUGAUAUUCACUUAAAAGAAUUGAAUUUAAACUAAAAGUGUCUCUUUAAAAGACACUUUAUACAAUUCAAAAAAAUUGGAUUUAUACUGUAAGUAUCUCUUGAGAAGACACUUUCUACAAUUUCACAAAAUCUAAUAUAUACUAAAGGUGAUCCUUCAAAAGACACCUUCCACAAUUUCACAAAUUUUAAUUUAUACUAUAAAUGUCUCUUGAAUUUGAUUUUAUAUCGAAAAUGCCUCUUUAAGAGACACCUUUUACAAUUUCAAAAAAACUGGAUUUAUAUUAAAGGUGUAUCUUUAAGAGAUAUUUUCUAUAAUUCUAUAAAAUUCAAUAUAUAUUAAAGAUGUCUCUUCAAGAAACAUCUUUCACGAUUUUACAAAUUUUAAUUUAUAUUACAAGUGUUUUUUGGAUUUGAUUUCAUAUUGAAAGAGACACCUUCUACAAUUCUAAAAAAAAUGGAUUUAUACUAAAGGUGUCUAUAAAAGAAACAUUUUUCUUAAUUCCAAAAAUUCCAAUAUAUAUUAAAUGUGUCUUGAAUUUUAAUUUAAUUUAUAUUACAAGUGUUUCUUAAAUUUGAUUUUAUAUAGAAGAUGUCUUUUAAAGAAAUACCUUUAGUAUAUAUUGGAUUUUGUGGAAUUGUAGGUGCCACUUUAAGAGAUACCUUUAGUAUAAAUCAAUUUUUUUUUGGAAUUGUAGAAAAUGUUUACUUUCAAUAUAAAAUCAAAAUCAAGAGACACUUGUAGUAUAAAUUAAAAUUUGUGAAAUUGUGGAAGGUGUAAAGACACCUUUACCUUUAGUAUAUAUUGGAUUUUUUUGGAAUUGUGGAAGAUGUUCCUUUAAGAGACACCUUUCAUAUAAAAUCAAAUUUAGGAGAUACUUAUAAUAUAAAUUAAAAUUUGUGAAAUUGUGAAAGGUGUCUCUUCAAGAGACACUUUCUAUGUAAAAUCAAAUUCAGAAGAUAUUUAUAAUAUAAAUUAAAAUUUAUAAAAUUGUGAAAGAUGUCUCUUUAAGAGACACCUCAAGUAUAUAUUGAAUUUUGUGAAAUUAUAGAAAUUGUCUUUUAAAGAAAAACCUUUUACUAUAAAUUCAAUUUUCUCGAAUGGUAAAAAAUGUCUUGAAAAGACACCUUUAAUUUAAAUUUAAUUCUUUUAAAUGUAUAUUAUAGAUUUAAACGAAAAGACACGUUGAAUAUAAAAUCAAAUUCAAAAAUAUGAAAAUAGGUUGCGUGAGAAAAGUUAAAAUAUAAUAUAUAUUUUUUCCACCUCUCUCCUACAUGUCCAAAAGCGUCGAAAAAUUGAAAUUAUUUUCCCACGGUAUUUUGGAAAAUAAUUUUUUAUUUUAGAAAAUAAUUUUUAAAAGUCCGUUCAUUUAUUAAAUCGGUGAAACACAAAGGAGUAGAAAUUGGAACCUUUCAUGGAAACCUUAUUAUAGUAGCAGCGUACAUGCACGUUCUGAAAUUUAAAAGUAGCAAAGUAAAGGGAACAUAGAUAAAACGUGAACAAUGAAGUAGCCAUGUUGAAUGAUUGCCCUGUUGAAUGUUGGUCAUCCACGCUUAGUCAUGGAAACCGUGACAUUUACGAAUUCAGUCUUCUCUCUGGACAUGCGAUCAGCAACAAUCUUUUUGUACCUGCAGAACACUUCCUCUAUUAUUCCAUCACCGAAGUGGCUUACAAGCAAUGGCUCUGCAACUGCUCUCAUCAACUUGGCCACGUUGUAUCCACCAUCUUUAUGAGCAUCUGAUGGGCAGAAUUCACCGUGGUACGCAUUCCAGUUCACUUCAGAAACCUCCAGCCGAUUUAUGGUGAAGGAUCCUUCCUUUUCAACCUCACAUUUUACUUCAGCUGGGGAAGGUGUAUAUUGAGGAAUAUUGAAGGAAUCCAUCUUCUCCUCAUCUAUGAGCCCCUGCAUUUAAAAAUGGUUAAUUAAUUUACAUGCAAUUUCAUAUAUAGUUACCACACAGGUGCUGUUGCUGAAUGAUUUGAUCUAUACAAAUUGGCAACAUUAAGGGAUGAAAGAAUUAAAAGCGUACCUCUGAAACCAUAUCAUUGAGAGCCACAGCUAAGAGCUCCCAGAUAUAGCAACAUUCUUUGCUAGAGGGAUCUUCACUUCUUCUUCCUAAAAAUGUUAAAACCAUAGUCCCUCCUCCUAGUAGUUCCUCCGACCGACACCUGAGAAACAUGGAGAAAUCGCUUUGGAAUUGCUCAUAGUAUGCUUUAAGCACGCUUGGUGGGCUCGAACUGGCCAUGUAAAUAUUCCCUUUGUUCUCCAGCCCUCGAGGAACCUGAUGAACAAUUGAAGUUUCUAACUCACUUGCUUUCUUUUUGGUUACUAAUAAAUCAUCAUAAACCAGUAUUUUUAAUUAAAAGCAAAGAGUCACCUGAGACAACCAUUGGAGACUAUAAGAAGAAUGGACAAAAUGGAGACUUUUGCUGGGGAAGAGCCUGCCGUAGAAAGAGCCUGGAACUCCGGUUACAAAACAUGAUUCAGCGCCUGCUCCCAUUGUUUUCUGAAGAUCUUUUUGGAACUUGGGCAAGGAUUUGAAAAUGGUGUUGAAAUCAUUUCCCGGCAGAUCAUUCAAAAACACUUGAAUUUCGGGCAAUUGACGCCCCAUUUUCUUCCCCACCUUGUCCACUGUAGUGACAACUUCCAAGACUGCAAAAAAAGUGUUGGGUCCAGAAGAACAGCCCAAGUCUGCGAUGCAUAGGCUGGCCGGGAAGUUGUUGCAGUAGAGAUUUGUUAUGGCGUCCUCGAUUAUAGGCUUUGUCAAGGAUAUUACUUUUUUCUGCACCAUUAAAGUGGGGAACUUGUCAUAAUUGAAAACUUUUCAUAAAAACGGCAGUAUAUUGUACCUGCAUGAUAAAAACACAAAACCUGGAAGUGGAUGGGUGCUACAGAUCAAUCAGCAUGUCUUGACUAUUCAUUCUUUAAUUUAAGAAAAGGAAACAGUUCGUAUAUAUAAUAUAUGCAUGUCAGCUGAUGCUUAAAUAUUGAAGAAAAUCAAGUUUAGCAAGAGACACACCUGAACUAAUGAGUUUUUUGCGUAACUGGUGUCCCCAUUUCCUCCCUUCAUGCAAAGCACUUGAGCUACUUCCAUCUCUUUCGUCCUACCUCUUCGCUGAUUGCUUCCUCUCAGUUGGAAUGUGGAUUAUGUUGAAGGAGAUGCUCCCCAUUUAUAGAACUUGGGCCACAUCGUCGUGGAAUGAAUUAUUUCAUCUUCUAGGGGCUCUGCUUCCACCGAACCCCAGUGACUCCUGGAAUUGGUGGACUAAUUAUUGUACUGAUCCCACGUGGUCGGCAGUCCUGAGGCCUGACAUCCACCAGAAGAUAGUACGCCACGUGGCAUACUGUCCAUCAAUGACUCGUUUAUCUCCGUUCAUCUCCGCGUGGGCCUAGGCUACCUAUUCAAGUAAUUAGGUCGGCAGCACUUUUGGAAACGGUUACCGGUUCUCAAUUAUUUUUUGAAACAAAAAAUAGAAGUACUUCAAAGGAAUGUGACAUUUUAUGUUUCACGUGAUCGAUGUAAUUCAUUUAUUUGCUUUUCCUAGAAACAUGAAGCGAUUGACAGAUUCCAAAAAUAAUGGUGGUCAUGAAACACGAUGAUGAAUGUAGGACAAGGUGGAGGUGGGUGCACAGGUUGGCCGCUGCCACCUUAGAACAAAUUGGUAUUAGUUAUCACCCACAAAAUAUCGGAGGUAGCCCUGCAGACGUUUGUUAGCUGACGUUUCCAUGCAUGACAGCCUCAUGUUAUUCUUCAAUCUAGUGACAGGUUUCGUCUCCUCUGAUCUUCUUUUUCAAAAUAAUCUGAGCCACACAAACCGAUGUCUGGAAUACAGUGAACUUUAUAAAAAAAGAAAAAAAAUGUAUUUAUAAUAUAUUUCAUGUCUUUAAAAAAUAUUAUUUCUAAAAUUUGAGAUAGUAAAAAUUUAAUAUAUUAUUUUUUUUAUAUAGAUUUUAAAAUUUAUUACUAAGAUAAAUCUCAAAGAACUCCUAUCUUUUACGUGGUCUAUAUUUUAAAAUAUAAAACAAUAAAUAACCUAGUACAACAAAUGAAAUAUGAAAAAUAAGAGUUCUAAUAUGAUUUAAUUUUUCAAUAUAAUCAUCAAAUAAAUAAAAAAAUUAAAAGAUUAUCUUAGAAGGUAAAAUCAAAACAAAGAUGAAAAGAUAAUAAUUUCAAGAAUAUAUGUAUUAAUUAAACUUAACAAAUAAAAAAUAUAACAUAUAAAACUAUAAAAAUUAUUUGAUUUUCAUAUAAAAGAUCAAGUCAAAACAAAUAAUAAUUCUUAUAAAAAUAAAAUUAUUAGAUGAGACUAUUGUCUAAGAAAAUAAUGUUCUUGAAAGGACCUACAAAGAAAAGAGUUAGAACUUAGGUUUAAUUAUUAUUAUUAUUAAUAAUAAAUAAAUGAAUAUGGAAAAACAAAAGUUUUUGUAUGAUUUAAUUUUUCUAUAUUAUUAUUAAAUAAAUAAAUAAAUUUAAAAAUUAUCCAAAAAGCAAAAUAAAAUAAGAAUAAUUUCAAGAAUAUAUAUAUAUAUGAGAAUUCUUGCAAAAAUUAAAAUUAAUACUAAAAAUUAUGAUGAGAACUUUUAACAUAAUAAAGUUCUUGAGAAGAUCAAUGGAGAGAACAGUUAUAAUUUACGGUUUCAUAAAAAAAAGUUAUAGAUAAUAUCUAUAGUUUAAUUAGUUAUAUAUUGAUAAUUUAUAUGCUCAUAUAAUAUUUUAUUUUUGUAAAGUUAAAAUUUUCGCUUACAUGACUGUAUGAUUUUAUAAAAUUUCUUUUUAUUUAAUAAAAGAUUAUAAAUUAAUGUGAUUUCAAGUGAUAAGUCCUCUUAUAUUAAAUAAAAUUAUUAUAGCCUCUUUGUAUUAAAAAGCUAAGGUUGUAUUUGGUUUCCAACAAGUAUUAAUGAAAACAAAAAUUAAAUGCUAAAAAAAUGAUUUUUUUGUUUAUUUGAUUGUUCUAUGGAAAAUAUAAAAGAAAAUCAAUUAUUGUUAAGAUUAAUUAGAAAUUUAUAUAUUUUCAAAUUAUUUAAUCUUUAUAUCGAAAAAAAUAAAAUAAGUGAAAUGGGUUUGAAAUAACAUAUAAAAAUAAUUUUUUAAUUUUAAAUUUAUUUUUAUUAAAAAAUAUGAGAAUUUAUCGGAUUAUGGGAACUUGUGGAUGAUCACCCAUAUUGAUGUCUUUUUAUGACUCCCUAUAAAAGGGAGAUACCUCUAAGGAAAAUUCAUUUUAUUCUUUUCCCACAUUCUAAUUUCUCUUUCUUGUUUUCUUUUUUCACUUUAUAAUUUUACAACACGUAGAAAGAUUUUUCUCUAUUCAGAGAAACAGAAAAACGUUCUCCUUUUCAAAAAAAUAGAAAGAUUCUUCUUUCUUCUUUCUCACAAAAAGGUAUGUAAUAAACUUAUAUUAUGAUUUUCAAUUUUGUUAACCUUUGAUCUCUAUUUUCAUUUAUUUUAUUUGAAUACAUAAAUAUGUAUAAUCCCUAUAACCAGAAGUUAUGCGGUAAAUUAUAAAUUAUGGGGUAAAUUCAUAACCAGAAGUUAUGAAAAAUGUGUGCAAUUCCUAUAACCAGAAGUUAUGGGGAAAAAUUACAGAAUUAUAGAUAUAUGACCAGAAGUUAUGUAUAUGAUCCCUAAUUAUUUAUUUGUAAUUAUUCGAUAUAACUGGAUGUUAUACCAAACAAUAUUAUAUAGCUAGAAGUUAUAAAAUAAAUAAAUAAAUAAAUGUUCAUAGCCUGAAGCUAUGUACAAAUUUACAUAAAAUAAUUCAUAACUUGAAGCUAUAUAUUACUUUGCACAUUUUUGUUAUGAUAAAAUAAUCAUAGCCCGAAACUAUGAAAGAAAAUAUAUAUAUAUUAAAUUUUUAUUUUUAUUUCAUAUUUAUACAUUUUUCCCAUAUUUAUAAUUGAUAGAUUUUAGGUCAUUAUAUUUUUAGAUAUUGUUUACUUGAAAUAUUGUUAAAGCAUUUUAUUAAUAGUUUAUUAUAAUAAUUGAAAUAUUUCUCUGAUUAAUAUUAUAUAUAGUUUUUAGAUAAUGUCAAACUUGUAAAGCUUGAAUUUGUUGCCCUCGAUAUUUCGGGCAAGAACUACUUAUCUUGGGUUCUGGAUGCUCAAAUUCAUCUAGAUGCGAUGAAUCUUGGAAAUACCAUUAAAGAAGGAAAUGACGCAUCUUUGCAGGAUCGCACCAGAGCUUUGAUAUUCCUUUGCCGUCACAUUGAUGAAGGAUUAAAAGGUGAAUACCUUAUGGUUAAAGAUCCUUUCAUCCUUUGGAAUAAUCUAAGGGAACGAUAUGACCACCAAAAGACCGUAAUUCUUCCAAAGGCACGCUAUGAUUGGAUGCACUUGAGAUUACAAGAUUUCAAGUUUGUUAGUGACUACAACUUGGCCUUAUUCAAAAUUAGCUCACAAUUAAAAUUGUGUGGAGAAAAGGUCAUUGAAGAAGAUAUGCUUGAAAAAAUAUUCAAAACUUUUCAUGCCUCGAAUGUGCUCCUGCAACAGUAAUAUCAAGAGCGUUGUUUCACUAAAUAUUCAGAAUUGAUCUCAUGUCUUCUUGCGGCUGAACAAAAUAAUGAGCUAUUAUUGAAAACCCAUCAAUCUCGUCCUAUUGGGUCUAUGUCAUUGCUUGAAGCCAAUGCCACAUGUAUUCAAACCCUUGGACAGGAACAAAGACGUGGAUAUGGACGAGGUUGAGGACGUGGUAAACACAAUUCUUCUCAUCGUAGUGGUUCUCAAAGUAAAAAAGAACAACUCAAAUCACCAAAAGUGGAAUAAUUCAGAGACACAACCUGAAAAGGGGAUAGAACCACAAAGUAAACAUGCUCGUGAGAAUAACUGUCAUAGAUGUGGCAUGAAAGGACAUUGGUCACGUACUUGUCAUACUCCAAAACAUUUUGUUGACCUUUAUCAAGCCUCAAUAAAAGUAAAAGGAAAGGAAGUUGAAAUGUACUUCAUUGAUAGUGAUGGCCCGGUAGAUCCAACCCAUUUAGAUGUUUCAGAUUUCUUUGAGAAUCCUAAUGGGAAAAUUGACCAUCUAAUUGGUGAUGGAAAUGUUUGUUAUAAUUAAAUGUUACGUUCUUAUUUAGUUCCUUGCAAAUAGGUUUAUUUUGUUAUCAUCUUUAAAUACAUUGUUUAUUAUUCAUCUUUUAUAGUCUAUUUCACAUUUUAUUAUUUCUUAUUUAAAUUAUUCUCUUUAUUUAUUCUUGAAGAUACAUGGAUCUUUCUCACACUUUGGUACAUCAUACGACAUCCAAUGUAAAUGCAUGUCUUACAGAUUGUGCCACAACACACACAAUCCUUCGUGAUAAAAAAUAUUUUUCCAACAUAUCAUUGGUUAAGUCUAAUGUUAAUACAAUAUUAGGUCUUGUAGACUUGAUUCAAGGCUUCGGAAGAGCAACUAUUAUUUCACCUAGAGGAACUAAAAUCCACAUUAAUGAUGCCCUUUAUUAUACUAAAUCCAAGCGAAAUCUUCUUAGUUUCAAGGAUAUUCGCCGAAAUGGAUAUCACAUUGAAACUAUGAAUGAUGAUAGUAAUGAAUACCUUCUUAUUACUUCAAUUAUUUCUGGGGAAAAACACCUCUUGAAAAAAGCUUCCUUCUUAUUCUUGUGGGUUAUAUCAAACAAUCAUUAGACCCAUUGAGUCAUAUGCUAUCAUGAACUAAAAGUUCUGUGACUUAAAAACUUCUUGGUCAUCCAGGAUUAUCCAUGAUGUGUCGUAUCAUCAACAAUUCUUUAGGGCAUCCCUUGAAGAACCAGAAUAUUAUGAUGCCCAAUGAUUACAAUUGCGUUGCUUGCUCACAAGGUAAAUUAAUUAUUAAACCAUCAUUUACGAAGGUUGAAUAUGAAUCACCAGCCUUUCUAGAACGCAUUCAAGGUGAUAUUUGUGGACUUAUUCAUCCACCUAGUGGACUUUUUCAUCAUUUUAUGGUUUUAAUUGAUGCAUCAACUCGUUGGUCUCAUGUUUGUUUUCUUUCAACUAGAAAUAUUGCCUUCACCAUAUUACUUGCUCAAAUAAUUUGACUCAAGGCACAAUUCCUUGAUAAUCCUAUUAAGAGGUACAAUUCCCUGAUAAUCCUAUUAAGAGAAUUUGUCUUGAUAAUGUUGGUGAAUUUUUCUCUCAAACAUUUCUUGAUUAUUGUAUGUCGGUUGGUAUUGAUGUUGAAUAUCCUGUUGCUUAUACCCAUACUCAGAAUGGAUUAGCUGAAUCUUAAUUAAGAGUUUGCAACUGAUUGCAAGACCAUUACUCUUAAGAACAAAAUUACUCUUGUCUGCUUGGGGGCAUGAUAUUCUUCAUGCUGUCACUUUAAUUCGAAUUCACCCUACAGCUAAUCACGAUUGCUCACCUUUACAACUUGCUUUAGGCUCCCAACCAAAUGUUUCACAUUUUCAUAUUUUUGGUUGUGAUGUCUAUGUUCCCAUAGCUCCACCUCAACGUUCCAAGUUAGGACCUCAACGUCGAAUUGGUAUAUAUGUUGGUUUUAAUUCUCCCUCCAUUAUCUGUUAUCUUGAACCAGCCACAGGUGAUGUUUUUACUGCCCACUUUGCAGAUUGUCAUUUUGAUGAAAAUGUUUUCACGCCAUUAGGGGGAGACAAGUCAAAAGAAUGGCGAGACAUUACAUGGUAUGUGCCCUCCUUGUCUCAUCUUGAUCCUUGCACAAGACAAUGUGAGUUAAAAAUUCAAAGGAUUGUUCAUUUGCAAGGACUUGCAAAUCAAUUACUUGAGGCUUUCACAGAUAUUAAGAAAAUAAUAAAGUCACAUGUGCCAGUUGUGAACGCCCCAACACAUAUUGAUGUCCCUGAAGGACAAAUGGAGAAUGCCAUAGCAAAUGAAUCUAAGACAUGCCUGAAGCAUGGUAGACCUAUUGGCUCAAAGGAUUUAAUUCCUAGAAAAAGAAAAGGAACAACAUAUGAAAAACUUAGUACUCCUGAAGAGUUCACUAAUAUGAAAGGGUCAAAUGAUGAAACCCAAUCUGACAAACAGUUAGCUCCUGAAGAGGUACAAAUUGAUCAAAUACCGGUAUCUAGAAUUGAAGAGAUCUCAAUGAGUCACACGAGAGAAACAAAGGACUGUAGCAAUAUUAUCAUAUAUAAUAUAUUCGCAUUCCAAGUGGCUAUGGACAUCAUGAGAAAUGAUGAAUAUCAAGAACCACAAGUUGUGAAUGAAUGUCGAAAAAUGAAUGAUUGGCCAAAACGGAAAGAAGCAAUCCAAACAGAGCUAAACUCGUUAACAAAACGAGAGGUAUUUGGACUUGUAGUUCAAACACCUGGAAACAUAAAGCCUAUUGGAUAUAAAUGGGUCUUUGUGAAAAAACGAAAUGAGAAUGAUGAAAUCAUAAGAUAUAAAGUACAACUUGUUGCUCAAGGUUUUUCUCAAAGACCUGGUAUAGACUAUGAGGAAACUAAUUCUCCUAUAAUGGAUGCAAUCACACUUCGAUACUUGAUAAAUUUAAUAGUCUCUGAAGGACUAGAUAUGCAUCUUAUGGAUGUUGUUACAACCUAUUUAUAUGGGUCUAUAGAUAUUGACAUAUAUAUGAAAAUCCUUAAAGGAUUCAAAUUGCCUAAAGCAACUAAUCCAAAACCUCGAAACAUGUACUCAAUCAGACUACAAAGAUCUUUGUACGGAUUAAAGCAAUCCAGACGUAUGUGGUAUAAUUGUUUGAGUGAGUAUUUGUUAAAAGAAUGAUAUGUGAAUAAUUCAAUUUGCCCAUGUGUUUUUAUCAAGAAAUCAAAAUUUGGGCUUACAAUAAUUGCAGUGUAUGUGGAUGAUUUAAACCUUAUAGGAACUCUUGAAGAGCUCACAAAAGCAGCCAAUUAUUUAAAGAAGGAAUUUGAAAUGAAAGACUUGGGGAAAACAAGAUAUUGCCUCGGCCUGCAAAUCGAGCAUUGUUCAAAUGGCAUAUUAGUCUAUCAAUCGAAAUAUACAGAGAAAGUAUUAAAACGAUUUUAUAUGGACAAAUCACAUUCAAUCAAUUCCCCUAUGGUUGUUCAUUUACUUGAAGUGAACAAAAGACCCAUUUCGUCUUAAAGAAGAAAAUGAAGAAUUGCUUGGUCCAGAAGUACCAUAUCUCAGUGCAAUCAGUGCACUAAUGUAUCUUGCAAAUUGUACUAGACCAGACAUAACAUUUUCUAUCAACUUACUAGCAAGAUACAAUUCUGCCCCAACUAAAAGGCAUUGGAAUGUGAUUAAACAUAUAUUACGAUACCUUCGUGGAACAAGUGACAUGAGUUUAUAUUAUUCAAAAGAAUCAAAAUCACAAUUGAUUGGGUAUGCAGAUGUAGGGUAUCUUUCAUAUCUUCAUAAAGCUUGAUCUCAAAUGGGAUAUGUCUUUACUUAUGGUGGGACGUUAAUAUCUUGGAGAUCAGUCAAGCAAACACUGGUAGCCACAUCUUCAAAUCAUUUAGAAAUUCUUGCAAUUCAUGAAGCAAGUCGUGAAUGCGUAUGACUAAGGUCAAUGAUCCAACAUAUACAAGAAACAUGUGGACUACUUUCCAUCAGAGGCAAUGCAUCUAUGUUACAUGAAGAUAAUGCUGCUUGUAUUGCACAAAUUAAAGGAGGAUUCAUAAAAGGUGACAGAACUAAGCAUAUCUCCCCUAAAUUAUUCUAUACUCAUAAGCUCCAAAAGAAAAAUGAGAUUGAUGUUCAACAAAUUUGAUUAUGCAAUAAUCUAGCAGAUCUAUUCACAAAGGCGUUACUUUCGACCACAUUGAAAAAGUUAAGGUAUGACAUUGGAAUGCAAAGACUAAGAGAUCUACCAUUUAAAAUGUUGAAGAAAUCAUAAUCAUGUUUACAUGAGAGGAAGAAUGCUAAUAUGGAUAUAUUGCACUAUUUUUUCCUUCGUCCAAGUUUUGUCCCAUUGGGUUUUACUGACAAGGUUUUUAAUGAGGCAGUUACCAUAUUCUUAUGAUCAUCCAAGGGGGAGUGUUAGGAAAUAUGAAAAUUUAUCGGAUUAUGGGAACUUGUGGAUUAUCAUCUAUAUUGAUGUAUAUCUCUUUGUGAUUCCUUGUAAAAGGGAGAUACCUCUAAUGAAAAUCCAUUCUAUUUUCUUCCUACAUUCUAAUUUUUCUUUCUUGUUUUCUUCUUUCACUUUAUAAUUUUACAACAAUUUUUUAUUUUCUUUACUUUUUCUUUUAAUCCACUAAAAACUCUCUAUUUUCUUUCUUUCACAUUUCCCACAAAAUUUUCGGUAACUAAACAUAGCCUAAGAAAAUCAUUCAUAUUAUUUUUAAAUAUUUUUAUUAUGCUACAUGUUGUUGCAAUUCUACUUUUUAAAUAAAAAUUAUUUUUGAAAGUGUUUAUAAGGUUUAGAGUAGAAAAUAAUUAUUUAACUUACAAAUAUAUUUGACAAUUAUUUAUUUAUUUAUUGAAAAUAGCUUUUUGAGAAAUAUUUGUUCUCAAAAUUGUGUGAUGUUUUAAAACAAAUUUAAAGUGUUUAUGAAUUGAUUAGAAAAAUAAUUGAAAAUAUGGAGAAGAUUUUGAAAAACAAAGAAUAAAGUGAGAAAAUUAAUAAUUUUUAUAUUUAGAAUAAGAACCUUCUUUAUUGGAACUCUUGGCAUUCUCCAAAUUAUUAAUUUGGGAGGUCUCUCCACUCUAUUUCAUCCAAAUUACCAACCCAUUCACUCAUUUAGAGUUUUUUCUUAUGUUAAAUUCAACGUCAUGUAUAAAUACUUGUAUUUGAAUUGUCCGAGUAUCAUAUAUGGCAACCUUUUUUCUUUCAACUACUAUAAAAUUAAUUUAACUUUUUAUGAAUAUGCUUAAAAUAUUGGCUUGAACACAAAACAGUGAUAUCUAAGGCAAAGCACAGAGCAGAGGAAGCCAUAACCAAUCUCUAUUGUAGCAUCUUGCCACAAUGCUUAGGCAUAGCUGAGUUGGGUUGUUCUUCUGGACCCAAUGCUCUUUUUGUCGUCCAAGAACUUGUGAUCACAACCUACAAAGUCUAUCAGAAACUAGGUCGUCAGUAGCCGGAAAUUCAAGUGUUCCUCAAUGAUCUUCCAGGAAAUGAUUUCAACACUCAUUAAAACCGUCACAAAAUUUCAACAAAAUUUGUCACAAGAGAUGGGCAAUGGUGUUAGACCAUGCUUUUCCAUGGGACUUCUGGGUUCUUUCUAUUACAAACAUUUCCUUAGCCGAAGUCUACAUUUUGCCCAUUCUUCUUACAGCCUGCAUUGGCUGUCUCAGGUGACCAAGUAUUUGUCCUUUUACAGCUACAAUAAUAUAUUGACAAAGAAGGAACCAUGAAAUUUAUUUGGAGUACAAUUGUUUAUUAGGUUCCUCCAGGUUUAGAGGACAAUAAAGGUAAUAUUUUCAUGUCAAGUUCAAGCCCACCAAGCGCACUUAAGGCUUACUAUGCACAGUUCCAAUAGGAUUUUUCGGUGUUCCUCAAGCAUCGCUCAGAGGAAAUAGUUGGAGGGCGUAUGGUCGUCACAAUCAUAUGGGGAGAAGAAGUGAAGAGCCUACCAGUAAAGAGUGUUGUUACAAUUGGGAGCUUUCGGCUUUGGCUCUCAGGGAUAUGGUCUCAGAGGUAUACAUUACCGUAUUUAAGCUCCUUCAUGUUGUUUCAGUCCAAUGCUGCCAAUUUGUACUUCAUCAUUAAGGAAUAAGGAAUAACUCUUCUUGUGGUAACAAAGAAAUUGCUUAUAAACAAUGCAGGGGCUCAUAGAAGAAGAAAAAUUGGAUUCCUUCAACAUUCCUCAAUGUACGCCAUCUCCUACGUACUGGAAUGAAGCUUGAGAUUGAAGAGGAAGGAUCAUUUGUCAUAGACCGGCUAGAAGUUUUUGAAGUGGACUGGGAUUAUUACGAGAGUGGUGGUCCUUGUAAUGCUGCAAAGGGUAUUAGAGCGGUGGCAAAAUGAAUGUUUGCUGCUCACUUUGGGAGUGGAAUCAUAGAAGAGGUGUUCCGCAGACACACGGAGAGAUUGUUGUUAAUCGCAAUUCCAAAUAGAAGCCUCAGUAUGUCAAUUUGGUUGUUUCCAUGACUGUAAGUGGAUGAUCAAAGUGAACGUUGUCUUUAAUUAUCAUCAAUUUUAAUGUUGCCUUAAAUUUCAAUAAGUAGAAAGAUUCAUAUAAGAUUGGGUAUUUAGAUGAUGAUGAUCAAUUGUCGAACGCAUUGAAUAAAUGUUUGAGUAAAUAGAACUUUUAUUCUGUUGAAGAAAAUACUAAAUAUCUUCAUGAUACUUUUAUUGCAUGCUUGGAUGAUAUAAAUGAAUUUAAAAUUCAGAGUACAUUUAUUGUAUCCCUUAAUUUGAAUGCUUAAGUCCUCAACUAUGUACUUCAAAGAAUAAGGAAGAGAAAAAGAGAGUAUCAUAAUUUUAUGGAGUAAUGACGCCAAGGGUAUUUGCUUUUCUCAUUUGAUUUGUCAUUGUCUAUUUAAAAUACAUUUGUUUCUAUGAUUUAGGGGAUUGAUCAUGGUUUGGUUAAAUCAUCAACACAACAAUGGGAUUGCAACACUAGAAUGGGCUCCAUGCCUUAAUCCCUAUGCUGACUGUGUGAGGGUGCCUUACUCCAUAUGUUGACGAUGCGAGGACGUUUUUCUUUUUUAAUGCUUCUACCUAGAAAUAACAAUAAUAUAACCAUAUUCUACAUUAUAAUAAUUGUUGUCUCAAUGUGAUAUAUAUCUUUGUGUAUCGUUUUAAAACUAACCAUUUUUUUAUAUUUCAGACAGACAUGAAAUUCUAAUUAUAUGGUAAUUGAGCAUGUUAAAAAUUUAGAGUGUAGUUAUUUAUAAAAAUUGAUCUACCUAUAAAUAAAUAAAGGAGUGAAUAAAAAAAAUAAAAAAUAAAAUUGAUCAUCUCCACGUUUUUCUUUUUUAAAUUUUCAUUACCUACAAAUGGGAAUUAAAAAAAUACAAAAAGUUCCUUGAGAUUUUUAAAAUUUGGUUGAAUAUAGGAUUCCCAUUAGGAUGCUGACAAACCAACAUAUGCUAAAGACAACUACACUUUCAUCGUCUAGAUUUAAUAAUAUGUUUGACAACAAAACAUCUUGUCACAAAGGGGGAAUCUACACAAAUUGGAUGGAUACUUGAUCAUGGAAAGCUUAUUUUAGUGAGGCUUACACGCACGUUCUGAAAUAUAAGAGUAAUAAAAUAAGCAAGGCAACAGUAGAUAAACGUGACCAAUGAAGCAGCCGCCAUGUUGACUGUUGGAUGAAGCAGCUUGCCCUGUUGAGUGUUGGUCAUCCACGCUUAGUCAUGGAAACCGUGACAUUUACGAAUUCAGUCUUCUCUCUGGUCAUGCGAUCAGCAACAAUCUUUUUGUACCUGCUGAACACUUCCUCUAUUAUUCCAUCACCGAAGUGGCUUACAAGCAAUGGCUCUGCAACUGCUCUCAUCAACUUGGCCACGUUGUAUCCACCAUCUUUAUGAGCAUCUGAUGGGCAGAAUUCACCGUGGUACGCAUUCCAGUUCACUUCAGAAACCUCCAGCCGAUUUAUGGUGAAGGAUCCUUCCUUUUCAACCUCACAUUUUACUUCAGCUGGGGAAGGUGUAUAUUGAGGAAUAUUGAAGGAAUCCAUCUUCUCCUCAUCUAUGAGCCCCUGCAUUUAAAAAUGGUUAAUUAAUUUACAUGCAAUUUCAUAUAUAGUUACCACACAGGUGCUGUUGCUGAAUGAUUUGAUCUAUACAAAUUGGCAACAUUAAGGGAUGAAAGAAUUAAAACUGUACCUCUGAAACCAUAUCAUUGAGAGCCACAGCUAAGAGCUCCCAGAUAUAGCAACAUUCUUUGCUAGAGGGAUCUUCACUUCUUCUUCCUAAAAAUGUUAAAACCAUAGUCCCUCCUCCUAGUAGUUCCUCCGACCGACACCUGAGAAACAUGGAGAAAUCGCUUUGGAAUUGCUCAUAGUAUGCUUUAAGCACGCUUGGUGGGCUCGAACUGGCCAUGUAAAUAUUCCCUUUGUUCUCCAGCCCUCGAGGAACCUGACGAACAAUUGAAGUUUCUAACUCACUUGCUUUCUUUUUGGUUACUAAUAAAUCAUCAUAAACCAGUAUUUUUAAUUAAAAGCAAAGAGUCACCUGAGACAACCAUUGGAGACUGUAAGAAGAAUGGACAAAAUGAAGACUUUUGCUGGGGAAGAGCCUGCAGUAGAAAGAGCCUGGAACUCCGGUUACAAAACAUGAUUCAGCGCCUGCUCCCAUUGUUUUCUGAAGAUCUUUCUGGAACUUGGGCAAGGAUUUGAAAAUGGUGUUGAAAUCAUUUCCCGGCAGAUCAUUCAAAAACACUUGAAUUUCGGGCAAUUGACGCCCCAUUUUCUUCCCCACCUUGUCCACUGUAGUGACAACUUCCAAGACUGCAAAAAAAGUGUUGGGUCCAGAAGAACAGCCCAAGUCUGCGAUGCAUAGGCUGGCCGGGAAGUUGUUGCAGUAGAGAUUUGUUAUGGCGUCCUCGAUUAUAGGCUUUGUCAAGGAUAUUACUUUUUUCUGCACCAUUAAAGUGGAACUUGUCAUAAUUGAAAACUUUUCAGAAAAACGGCAGUAUAUUGUACCUGCGUGAUAAAAACACAAAAUCUGGAAGUGCAUGGGUGCUACAGAUCAAUCAGCAUGUCUUGACUAUUCAUUCUUUAAUUUAAGAAAAGGAAACAGUGCAUAUAUAUAAUAUAUACAUGUCAGCUGAUGCUUAAAUAUCGAAGAAGAAUUAAAUUUAGCAAGAGACACACCUGAACUAAUGAGUUUUCUGCGUAACUGGUGUCCCCAUUUCCUCCCUUCAUGCAAAGCACUUGAGCUACUUCCAUCUCUUUCUUCCUGCCUCUUCGCUGAUUGCUUCCUCUCAGUUGGAAUGUGGAUUAUGUUGAAGGAGAUGCUCCCCAUUUAUAGAACUUGGAGCCACAUCUUAGUGGAAUUAAUUUUUUCAUCUUCUAUGGGCUCUACUUCCACCGAACCCCCGAUUGGCACUAGUGGAACUGAUAAUUCAGGAUUGAUGUCACAUUGUGGGUAGUCCUGAGUCCUGACGUCCACUAGAAGAUAGCACGCCACAUGCUGUCCACUAAUAUCCGGGUGGGUCCAUGCUACCUAUUCAAAUAUCUAGGUCGGCAACACUUCUGGGAAGAACUCUACAAAAUAAAAAUAGAAAUACUUUAAAAUCAUUCUAAAAAAUAAUCUAUUUUUAAAUACAAAAUCAUUAAAAUAGACUAAAACUUAAACCUAAAAGAUUCGAUUCAUAAUUUAUAUCAUACACUUUCUCGUACCAAACAUAUGGUAAACCUUAUUGGCUAGAUGAGGGCGAAUCUGCCUAUGAGAGUGAUUUUUUUUUUUUUUCAAUAUUUCUCCAUUUUAAAAUUUUUUUUCAUACAUUUUUAUGAUUUAUUUUAUCAUUUGUUAAAGUGGUAAGCAAUCAUUAAAUACACAAAAUAAUUUUUUAUUUUAUUUAUUUAUAUUAUAUCUUCAACUUUAAGAGUGAAUUACUUUAACAAAGGAUAAAAUUAAGAACAACCCAUAAUAAGUACAAGGACAUGAGUCUACUUUAUUUUAACAUUGAUGCCUCAGUUCUAGUAUGAACAUUAGACCAUGUCUCAGGGAAAAAGUCUAAACCUUGUUCUCACCGAGAAAAGUAAAAGGGGGAAAGUGUGAGAAAGGGUGAGAAAGUGUAAAACUGAUGCAGCUUUUUGCAGGUGUCUGCGACAACAUGAGAGACUUAUUGCAUUGAGUUUUGUUCUAAUUGGCUAGAUAUGCCAUCAUUUCCCCUCCCCCCCCUUCAAAAGAAUGUCACAUUUUAUGUUUCACGUGAAUCAUAUCUGCUAAUAAUUUGAGGCGGGUGUUUUAUUUAUUUCCUUUUCCUACACCUACGAAACUUCAAGUGCAUGAUUGACAGAUUUCAAAAAUAAUACUACUAACAUGGACAUGUGGGCAUGAAACACGAUGAUGGAAGUAGGACAAGGUCAAGGUUGGCGCAUGGGUUGGCCGCAGCUACCUUAAAACAAAUUGGUAUUAGUUAUCGGCCACAGAAUAUUGGAGGUACCACAGGAGCAUGACGCUUUCUGAACAACCCUGCAGGCGUUUGUUAGCUGACGUUUCCAUGCAUGACACCAUCUGCCUCAUUUUUUCUUCAAUCUAAUGUGAAGUUUGUCUCCUCUUAUCUUCUUUUUCAAAAUAAUAUCCAUUCAAAUAUGCCAACCAAGUCAAUUUUAGUUGAAAAAUAGCUAUCUGCAAAAAGUUGUGACCGUGGAGGAAAGACGUAACUGAUCUACCACAUGAUGAACUAGUUAAGAUCCCAUGAAUAUUAAGUCAACGGUUUGGUUGGUAUCACAAAGAACAGAUCUUAUCACUAAAAUUAGAUUUUUUUUUUUUUUUUCACACUAAAUGGCCAAGAGUUGGUUUGGAAGGGGAUCUUGGUAAAGUGUUUUUAGUUUUCAACACUUAUAAGUAGAAUCAGUUAGUGUAGUAAUAUUUUUAAUUAUGUGUUGUAUAACAAAAAUUCAUUUUUGAAAUAUGAUUAAAUGUUUCUUUGGAUACACUCUUAUUUUUUGUUUUCAUGUUGAAGACACCAAAAAAACUAACUUUUGGCAAGACCCAUGAAAUUCAAAGUUCAUUCAUUGGAAAGGAUCCGCCCAGAUCUGGUUCCAAAACAAUGGUAAAUUUAUCACUUUUUUUCAUUGACCAUAUCAAAGUGUAAUACCCCAAACCCUAAAUAAAAUCAUAAUUCAAAAAACUCUUUUACAUAGAGAUGAGAAAUAUCAAAGAACAUAGAACUGAAGAUUUGGAGGUUUAGGGUUUGAGGAUCAAUUUUUUCGGGUAAGAUUUUUAAUCCUUAAAUUAAUAUUCUAUAUUCAUUAAUUAGUUUUAAACACUUUAGAUAUUCUUUACAAUAUCUCAAUUUUGAUUAGAGUUCGUUUAAUUAAUUUAUAAGUCAAAAAGAUUAAAAAAUUAUAAACAUAGUUUGAUUUAUUAAUGGAGAUGGACAAAUUUUGAUCACUCAAAUGAAUAGAUCUAGAAAAAAAAUAUAAUAAAUAAAAAAAAUAAGAGUAGUGUGAUUUUCUAGAACAGUGAAGAAAAAAUUAUAAUUAUAAUAAUAUAGAUGUGUGUCGUGUAGUAGAGGGUUUAAAAGAAAAAAAAAAAAAAAAAAAGAAUGCGUGUGUACAUCUAGGAAAUGAAGAAAUAAAAGAAGAAGAAAAAACAAGUGUUAUUAUUAUAAUAAUAAUAAUGGGCGUAGUUGGUGGCUUGGAGUAACGGUGUUGUAGGGUUUUGAAAAGUAAUAUUAAUAUUAAUAAUAUAUAUAUAUAUAUAUAUAUAUAUAUAUAUAUAUAUAUAUAUAUAUAUAUAUAUAUAACACAUUAAGACUAACAUGCCGAGAAAUGUAUAUUUUAGCAAAUAACAUGUUAAGACAUGUCAUUAAGUUGUAUUUAUAAAAAUUGAUGUACCUAUAAAUAAAUAAAGGAGUGAAUAAAAAAAAAAAAUUGAUCAUCUCCACGUUUUUCUUUUUAAAAUUUUCAUUACCUACAAAUGGGAAUAAAAAAAUACAAAAAGUUCCUUGAGAUUUUUAAAAUUUGGUUGAAUAUAGGAUUCCCAUUAGGAUGCAAACAUAUGCUAAAGACAACUACACUUUCAAUAUCGUCUAGAUUUAAUAAUAUGUUUGACAAUAAAACAUCGUGUCACAAAGGGGGAAUCUACACAAAUUGGAUGGAUACUUGAUCAUGGAAAGCUUAUUUUAGUGAGGCUUACACGCACGUUCUGAAAUAUAAGAGUAAUAUAUAUAUAUAUAAUGUAUAUAUAACGUAUAACAUGUGUUCUAAUAAUAGUAAUAAUAAUGGGCGUUGGCUUGGAGUAAUGGUGUGCCAGGUCUUUAAAAGUAAUAUUAAUAUUAAUAAUAUAUAUAUAUAAUGUGUGUAGUUGGUUAAGUGAAAGUUGGAUUAUGGGAAUAAUAAUAAUAAUAAUAAUAAUAGUUUUAUGUAUAGGUUUUAAUUUAAUUUAAGUAUAUAAAGAAAUAAAUAGUGAGGGUAAGAUUAGGAAAGAAAAUGAAUUUUACAAUAAUUUGAAAACUCUGUAAAUUAAUUUAUUAUUGUUUAGCAAGUUGAAAAUAAUAUUGGGUAGUAAUAAUAUUAGCAUGAGAAAUUAAUUAGAAUCCCUAAUACUAAAUAAAAUAUUUUUAGGAUUGUGAAAUUUUUACCUUUAGAUAAUUGUGUAUGAUAUUAUGUUAGGUGAUGAGUAAAUUCGUUCAGCUAAGUACUUCAAGUUUUUGAGCACUUCUUCAAGGUAAGGGAAAUUAAUGCAAAUUUUUAUAAAAGAAAAUAAUUUUCUUUUUAUAUUGUAUUUUGAAAUGUGUAAAAAUAUUAUUUUUAUCUUUAUGCAUGAAUCAAAUAUGUGUUUUGUAUGAAAUGUAUAUUUGAACAUUUUCUUUGUUUAUAAAAAAUGAAAAAUUUAGGAGAUAUGAUGUUUUGUUUUGUAAGUUUGAAUUAAUGAUAUAAAGUGUUUGACUUUACAUUAUAUGACUCUAGUCAACGGGUUAUAAGUUCCCAGAUGAGGUCCCAACAUCAACAGUAGAGGCAACGAGGCUAGUAGUAUUAGAGACAUUCUUCAUUCUACGCUAGAGGUGAGUAGGGUGCUCAGAGGGCGGCUAUUGCUAAAGUAUGUUAUGGUUGUGGGGUAGGAGAUCAUUUAUGGAGGGCUUGCCCAUUAAGGGGUGCACGACAAGCUCAAUUUAAGCCAUAAAGAGGUCCUCAGCAACAACCAAUAUUGCAUUUCCAGCCUCCUCAAUUUCACCUACACUACUACCAGAUGUCGCAGUUAUCCCCAGUAGUGUAGGGAGCCUAGACAACCACUAUGAGUAGUCAGACUCCAUCUUCUCAAGGAUCGAGUGCUAGAAGUAAAGGGAGGCAGGCGGCAGGUAGAGUUUUUGCCUUGACCCCAAUAAAGUUAGAGAAUGACGUCAUUUUGGUGGAAAGUAUGGUUUUGGUCCAUAGUACUUAGGUGCGUAUUUUGUUUGAUACUGGUGCAACUCAUUCUUUUAUUUCUGUAUCUUGUGCUAAUAUAUAGGGGAUGAAAACGAAAAUAGUAAAAAAUCUAUUACUUAUCGAAUNNNNNNNNNNNNNNNNNNNNNNNNNNNNNNNNNNNNNNNNNNNNNNNNNNNNNNNNNNNNNNNNNNNNNNNNNNNNNNNNNNNGGGGAUGAAAACGAAAUAGUAGAAAUCCAUUACUUAUCGAAUCCUUAUGGGUACGAAUUCUAGAGUUGAUAGAAUAUGCAAGGAGUGCAUUAUUACCUUGGUAGAUAGAGCACUUAAGGUGGAUUUGAUGAUUUUGGAUAUGACUAGGUAUGAUGUUAUCUUGGGAAUGGAUUGGUUGACAAUGUAUAAAGCACUUAUUAAUUGUCAUCAUCGUAGGAUAAUAUUUUGUCUGUCAGAUGGAUUUGAGAUUUGCUUUGUUGGGGGGAAGUGUAUUAGUUUUGCCCUUUUCGCAGUCCGAUCCAUGCUAUUAGUAUGUGUUGAGGAAGGGAUCAAUAAAUUUCCUAGCUUGUCUUUUUAGUAAGGAAAAAACCUAGAAGGACUUUACAAAAAUUCUAUUAGUGGGGAAGUUUCAAGAUGUAUUUCCAGGUGAGCUACAAGGUUUACCACCAUAUAGAGAGUUUGAUUUCUCUAUUGAAGUAUAUCCAGGAACGGAUCCUAUCUCGGCAACCCCCUAUAGGAUGGUGCCUCUUGAGUUGAAAGAGUUGAAAACUCAAUUUGAGGAAUUGUUGAGUAAAAGUUUUAUUCGUCCAAAUACAUUACCAUGGGGAGCCCCAAUGUUGUUUAUGAAGAAUAAAAAUGACACAUUAAGGUUGUGUAUUGACUAUAGGAAGUUGAAUAGAGUUACUAAGAAGAAUAAGUAUCAUCUUUCAAUGAUAGAUAAUUUGUUUGAUCAGUUGAAGGAUGCGAAGUGUUUUAGUAAGAUUGACUUGAGAAUUGGGUAUCAUCAAUUGAGUGUUAGAGAAGAAAAUGUCCCCAAGAUUGCUCUUAGAACGAGAUAUGGGCAUUAUGAAUUCUUAGUCAUGCCUUUUAGGUUAACUAAUGUCCCCGCUGCUUUCAUGGAUUUAAUGAACAUAAUAUUUUGUGCUUGCUUGGAUUAGUUUGUGAUUGUCCUUAUGGAUGACAUCUUGAUUUACUCAAGGAGUUUGGAGGAGCAUAAGUAGUAUUUGGUGACCACCCUUAGAACAUUAAGAAGACACCAAUUAUAUGGAAAGUUGGACAAAAGUGAGCUUUGGCUUACUGAAGUGAAUUUAUUAGGCCAUGUGGUUUUUGAGGCAGUAGUAGUGGACCAUUCCAAGGUGGAAAUUGUGCAAGAGUGGCAAAGGCCUACAAAUGUAUUUGAGGUUAAGAGUUUCUUGGGAUUGGUUAGAUAUUAUAGGAUGUUUUUGGAAGACUUCUCUAGAAUUGCAACACCGAUGACUCGGUUGACUAGAAAAUGAGUGAAAUUUGAAUGGAAUGAUGAGUGUGAGAAUGCUUUCCAAGAGUUGAAGUGGAAAUUGACCACUAUUCUAGUGUUAACUACUCUUACUAGUGGAAAGUUGUUUAUUAUUUAAUGUGAUGUUUUUACAGUAAGGCUAUGGUGCGUGCUAAUGCAGCAAGGCAAGGUGAUAGCUUAUGCCUCAAGGCAAUUAAAGUCGCAUCAGCGGAACUAUCCAACAAAUUAUUUGAAGCUUGCAGUAGUGGUGUUUGCCCUUAAGACUUGGAGACACUAUUUGUAUUGAGAGAAGUUUGAGGUGUACUUUGAUCAUAAGAGUUUGAAAUACAUCUUCACUCAAAAGGAUUUGAACUCUAGUCAAAGAAGAUGGAUGGAGACAUUGGAAGAUUAUGAUUUUGCUCUUCAUUACCAUCUUGGAAAGACGAAUAUUGUAGUAGAUGCCUUGAGUAGGAAGAACUAUGGUCAAUUGCCUAGCUUGUGGUUGAGAGAGUUUGAGCUGCAUGCAGUUAUUAAAGAUUUUGAGCUAUGUCUUGGUUGGGAAGUACAGGGUCCAUGCUUGUAUAGUAUAUCGGCUAGACCAUUCAUUAUCCAAAUAAUAGUGGAGACCCAAUUUCAUGAUGAGCUUUUAGAAAAAGUUAAAGCCCAAUUGGUAGAAGGUGAAGCAAAUGAAAAUUGGUCUAUACAUGUAGAUAGGAGUGUGAGAUUUAAAGGAAUAUUGUGUGUGCCAAAGGAUGUAGAGUUGAGGAAUGAACUUCUAGUAGAUGCUGAUAAGGCAAAGUAUACCAUCCACCCUGAGAGUGCCAAAAUGUAUCAAGACUUAAAGAGAUAAUUUUUGUGGAGUGGGAUGAAAUGAGACAUUGCUCAAUAUGUAGCCAAUUGUUAGCAAGUGAAAGAUGAAUACCAAAAGCUUACGAGAUUGUUGCCAAUUUUACCUACACUUGAGUGGAAGUGGGAUCAUAUCACUGUGGAAUUUGUGAUAGGGUUGCUAAGAAUUAGAAGAAAAAAAAUGGAGUUUGGGUGAUUGUGGACUAUCUUACUAAGUCAACUCAUUUUCUAGCCAUGAAGACUUGACUCCAUGAACUCUCUCGUUAAGUUGUAUAUAUAGGAGAUUGUGAGGUUGCAUGGGAUACCUUUGUUUAUAGUGUCUGACAAGGACCUUAAGUUUACUUCUCAAUUUUGGCAGAGUUUACAAAGGGUUAUGAGCACCCAAUUGAAUUUUAGCAUCGCUUUUCACCCUCAAACAGAUGGUUAGUUAGAAAAAGUAAUCCAAAUUUUAGAAGACAUGUUGAGGGCUUAUGUUUUGGACUUUGGAGGGAAUUGGGUAGAGUUCGCUUAUAACAAUAGUUACCAAUCUAGUAUUGGCAUAGCACCUUAUGAAGCACUCUAUGAGAGACCUUGUAGAUCACCCUUGUGUUGAAUAGAGUUGGGUAAUUAAGAGUCGUUUGUUGGGACCUGAGAUUGUCUAAGAGACUAUGAAAAAAAUACAACUCAUCAAGAAAAAACUUAAGAUCACUCAAGAUAGAUAGAAAAACUAUGCAAACCAAAGGAGAAGGGCUUUGGAGUUUGGGGAAAAGGAUUGGGUUUUUAUUAAGGUGUCCCCGUAAUCAAAGUGUGAUGACAACACCAUGGGAUUGAAGAAGCCACUUGGGAUCAUGAAGAAGAAAUUAGGCAACAUUAUUCGCAACUGUUCUUUAAUUUUUGAGGUAAACUCGUUUAAAUUUUGAGACAAAAUUUCUUUCAGGGGGGUAGGAUGUAAUGAUUGAGUAUUUUAAGCCAAGUUGGAAUUUCAAGUUUGAAAAUUCUUCCUUUUUGGUGGUGGUUGAAAAGUCAAAAAGUAGUUGGAAAAUACGUGUCAAUUUUGGAUUGAUGGAAUUUGAAAGAUUUUAUUGGUCAAUCAAGCGAGUUGAAUUUUCGUGCCACGUUAGCUUUUUAGCAGGAAAUUUCUUAGGAUUGUAGAAAUCAAAUUUUUUUCCCGAAAAUCAAAAAGCGAAAACAAAAAUAAAAUAAAUAAAUAAAUUUUAAAAAUUAAAAUAUUUGUGUGGUGUGUGAUAAUUUAUUUUGUGUGUUGUAAAAGAAUGAAUUAAGAAAAGAAAAUGAAUUGAAUUAAGGAAAAAAAAAACUAAAUUAAUAUAAUAUAAUAUAUAUAUAUACAUAUAUUGUUUUUGGAUUGGGCUGUCACCACCUUUAGUGGCUCGUUUAAAUAGAAAAGAAAAAGAACGAAGAAAGUAGAAAAUGAAGGAAAACUUAUAGAAGAGUCUUGGUGACUGCAGUGGAAAAAAAAAAAAACUACUUUUCGAUUGGUUGUUUCAAUGGCCAAACAUCAUCCUUUUCACGUGAAAUUUUAAGGGAAUACUUUACUCGACACGAGGAACAUUCAUACAGUGUUGGAUUUUGUUUUCAACGAUUGGAUCAUUAGAUCUGUGGUAGACGGUUUUAACACUAAAACUUUAAUUAAAUGCCCUUUUCUUAACAAAAAUUAUUGUUUUUGUUGUUAGAAGCUAAAUAAACAAUAUUUGUGAUACGAGGAAUUUUAUUGGAUGAUUUGGGAAUUUUUUUAGAAAUUUUGUGAUGACGAUAUUUUUUUUAUGGUUGUUAAAUGAUUGUGCUUGGGUUAUUAAAAUUAAUGGGAUCAUUGAGGAUAAAUGAAAUUAUGGUAGAAAUUAUGUUGGAUUGAUAUUGGGUAUAUUGAGAACUAAUUGAGAUGUUUUUGGUAAUUUAAUUGUGAAAAUAAUUGUAUUUGGUUAUUGAAAUUAUUGGGAUUGUUGACAAUAAAAGAAAUUUUAGUAUACAUUGUAAUUUUAUUGAUGUUUGGAUUAGUGAGAAUUUUGUAUGACAUUUGUAGAUGAUGAUAUGUAAUUUCAUUGCAUUUCAUAUGCAUCAUGGUUGUGUGAAGGAAAAUAAAAAUUUGUUGUAAGGUUGUAUGAAAUAAAAAAGAAAGAAAAAUAAAAUAAUGAUGAAAAGUAAAGGCCCGUGAAAGGUGAAUUAAGAAGGGAGUGAGAUCCUUAGGGUGAAAGACCAAAAAUUUACCCCGGGAAUACUCUAAACUGGGAGUGUAUUUAGGUACAGACAUGUUUUCUUUAUUGAAAGCUCGAGAACGACAAUACUUUUUAUGACUGUGUGUUACAUAUCCACAUGCAUUUUAUUAAUUGUUGAAAAUUGCUGAAUUGCUAUAAUUAUAGAAACUAAAAUGUUUGGGUUGGUUAAAUUAUGGUAGAAUGUUUAUUUUUUUGUAUACUUGAACCUUAGUAAUCCCAAAUUAACCUUUCCUUGGGUGUAAAGCACUCUACUGAGUAAUGUGAAAUGCUCAUCAUUUCCUUCUUAUAUAUAUUUAAAUGUAGAUGUGAUUCAUGAGGAUCCACAAAUGGGACAAGGAGGGCUUUAAGACGCCUCAGAAGAUUUUGGAGCAGCAUAAUGAAUUGUAGUGUAGUUGUUAUGUUGGUUUAUUUUGGAACUUGUAUUAACAAAUUUUGAAAUUAUAUAUUUGUAUUGAGACUUUAUUUUGAUUAAUUUGCUUAUAUUGUGGACUUUCAUUUUAGACUUGAGUUGGAGAUUACAUUGUUAUUGAAUUUCUUUGUUGCUCUUAAGUAAUGAUUGUUAUAUUGAUAAAUUGGAAUGUUAGUUAAAGGAAGUUCUAGUGUGAUUUAUAUUUAAAAAAAGAAAAAGAAAAUUCAAAGCGUUUUAGUUUACUGUUAGCUUGGAUUAGGAGGAACCCUUAGGAUCAAAUCUUUGACUUUGGAUCAUGGGCCAAAUUUUGAGUCGCCCAAAAUUCGGGUCGUGACAGCUCUAAGUCCUCAACUAUGUACUUCAAAGAAUAAGGAAGAGAAAAAGAGAGUAUCCUAAUUUUAUGGGGUAAUGACGUCAAGGGUAUUUGCUUUUCUCAUUUGAUUUGUCAUUGUCUAUUUAAAAUAAAUUCUUUUCUAUGAUAUAGGGCUUGAUCGUGGUUUGGUUGAAUCAUCAACACUACAAGCGUACGUGUAACAUGGGAUUGCAACACUAGAAUGGGCUGCAUGCCUUAAUCCCUAUGCUGACUGUGUGAGGGUGCCUUAGUCCAUAUGUUGACGACGAGGGAUAUACAUACCUUAUAAUCAUUGUGGUCUCAAUGUCAUAUAUAUUUGUGGAUCGUUUUAAAGCAAUCCAUUUAUAUAUAUAUAUAUAUAUAUAUAUAUAUAUAUAUAUAUAUAUAUAUAUAUUUCAGAUUUUCCAAAAUAUCAAUGUGAAAAAUCUAGUUGGCUUUUUACAACACAAGAUUGCUUUAUAUAAAUCUUAAGGUAUGACAUUAAGACUAACAUGCCGAGAAAUGUAUAUUUUAGCAAAUGACAUGUUAAGACAUGCAUGUCAUUAAGUUGUAUUUAUAAAAAUUGAUCUACCUAUAAAUAAAUAAAGGAGUGAAUAAAAAAAAAAAUUUGAUCAUCUCCACGUUUUUCUUUUUUAAAUUUUCAUUACCUACAAAUGGGAAUAAAAAAAUACAAAAAGACGUUCCUUGAGAUUUUUAAAAUUUGGUUGAAUAUAGGAUUCCCAUUAGGAUUCUGACAAACCAAACAUAUGUUAAAGACAACUACACUUUCAUCGUCUAGAUUUAAUAAUAUGUUUGACAAUAAAACGUCGUGUCACAAAGGGGGAAUCUACACAAAUUGGAUGGAUACUUGAUCAUGGAAAGCUUAUUUUAGUGAGGCUUACAUGCACGUUCUGAAAUAUAAGAGUAAUAAAAUAAGCAAGGCAACAGUAGAUAAACGUGACCAAUGAAGCAGCCGCCAUGUUGACUGUUGGAUGAAGCAGCUUGCCCUGUUGAAUGUUGGUCAUCCACGCUUAGUCAUGAAAACCGUGACAUUUACGAAUUCAGUCUUCUCUCUGGUCAUGCGAUCAGCAACAAUCUUUUUGUACCUGCCGAACACUUCCUCUAUUAUUCCGUCACCGAAGUGGCUUACAAGCAAUGGCUCUGCAACUGCUCUCAUCAACUUGGCCACGUUGUAUCCACCAUCUUUAUGAGCAUCUGAUGGGCAGAAUUCACCGUGGUACGCAUUCCAGUUCACUUCAGAAACCUCCAGCCGAUUUAUGGUGUAGGAUCCUUCCUUUUCAACCUCACAUUUUACUUCAGCUGGGGAAGGUGUAUAUUGAGGAAUAUUGAAGGAAUCCAUCUUCUCCUCAUCUAUGAGCCCCUGCAUUUAAAAAUGGUUAAUUAAUUUACAUGCAAUUUCAUAUAUAGUUACCACACAGGUGCUGUUGCUGAAUGAUUUGAUCUAUACAAAUUGGCAACAUUAAGGGAUGAAAGAAUUAAAACUGUACCUCUGAAACCAUAUCAUUGAGAGCCACAGCUAAGAGCUCCCAGAUAUAGCAACAUUCUUUGCUAGAGGGAUCUUCACUUCUUCUUCCUAAAAAUGUUAAAACCACAGUCCCUCCUCCUAGUAGUUCCUCCGACCGACACCUGAGAAACAUGGAGAAAUCGCCUUGGAAUUGCUCAUAGUAUGCUUUAAGCACGCUUGGUGGGCUCCAACUGGCCAUGUAAAUAUUCCCUUUGUUACUCUCCAGCCCUCGAGGAACCUGACGAACAAUUGAAAUUUCUAACUCACUUGCUUUCUUUUUGGUUUCUAAUAAAUCAUCAUAAGCCAGUAUUUUUAAUUAAAAGCAAAGAGUCACCUGAGACAACCAUUGGAGACUGUAAGAAGAAUGGACAAAAUGAAGACUUUUGCUGGGGAAGAGCCUGCCGUAGAAAGAGCCUGGAACUCCGGUUACAAAACAUGAUUCAGCGCCUGCUCCCAUUGUUUUCUGAAGAUCUUUUUGGAACUUGGGCAAGGAUUUGAAAAUGGUGUUGAAAUCAUUUCCCGGCAGAUCGUUCAAAAACACUUGAAUUUCGGGCAAUUGAUGCCCCAUUUUCUUCCCCACCUUGUCCACCGUAGUGACAACUUCCAAGACUGCAAAAAAAGUGUCGGGUCAAGAAGAACAGCCCAAGUCUGCGAUGCAUAGGCUGGCCGGAAAGUUGUUGCAGUAGAGAUUUGUUAUGGCGUCCUCGAUUAUAGGCUUUGUCAGGGAUAUUACUUUUUUCUGCACCAUUAAAGUGGAACUUGUCAUAAUUGAAAACUUUUCAGAAAAACGGCAGUAUAUUGUACCUGCGUGAUAAAAACACAAAAUCUGGAAGUGCAUGGGUGCUACAGAUCAAUCAGCAUGUCUUGACUAUUUAUUCUUUAAUUUAAGAAAAGGAAACAGUGCAUAUAUAUAAUAUAUGCAUGUCAGCUGAUGCUUAAAUAUCGAAGAAGAAUUAAAUUUAGCAAGAGACACACCUAUGAAAGUUUUAGAAACUGGGUUUUAGAAAAACCAAUAUUUCUCAUUGUCUAUUAGAAAAGGUGAUCCAUCUUUGUACACUGACGUUUUCUUAUAUUUAUAUCUACAACAACCUAAUUAACUAACUUCCUUCUUCGAGAUGUUCUUAACCGGCUUCUGUUUGUUGCAGCUAACCUUGGUUUGUUGCACCUAAUCUCGGUUUGUAGCAGCUGAUCCCGGACACUUACUUUCUUGUUGAUCAGCUAGGUAUCGUCUAUCAUCCCCCUGCAAGCUCACAGGGGAGGGAACAACAGAAAGCUUCGUUCUAAAACUAAGGAACUGGGAGCUUGAAAUAUCUUUAGUGAAAAUGUCAGCAACUUGUUCAGCGGAAGAAAGAUACUGAAUGAUGAGCUGUUUACGAAGAACAUGAUCCCGUAUAAAGUGAAGAUCCAUUUCAAUGUGUUUGGUCCUAGCAUGGAACACGGGAUUUGCAGCCAAGUGAGCUGCACUUUUAUUAUCACACCAAAGUAGAGGUGGAGAGAAGGAAGAGAGACAAAGUUCUUGUAGAACAUAUUGAAUCCAAAUAAUCUCUGAAGUAGCAGACGCAAGAGCACGAUACUCAGAUUCUGCACUGCUGCGAGACACAACCUUCUGUUUGUUGGAAGACCAUGACACUAAAUUCAGACCAAGGAAGAUGCCAUAGCCACCGGUGCUUCUUCUGUCAUCUGGACAAGAUGCCCAGUCGGCAUCAGUAUAUCCAUGAAUAUCCAACGAGGUGGAUUGUUGCAUCUGAAUGCCAUAGGAUAAAGUGCCUUUGAGAUAUCGCAAAAUCCGUUUCACAGCAAGCCAAUGAGUAGUAGUGGGUGUAGCCAUGAAUUGACAAGCUUUAUUAACAGAAAAAGAAAUGUCCGGUCUGGUAAGGGUAAGAUACUGAAGCGCACCAACCGUUCUGCGAUAUAAGGUGGCAUCCGAGAGAGGUUCACCAUCAAGAUGAGAUAAUGUUUGUCCUAACAAUCCCGGAGUAGUAGCAGGCUUGGAUUCUAACAUGGCUGUGCGAGAUAAGAGGUAUUGUGUGUACUUAUGUUGACUGAGAUGAAACAUAGUACCAAAACGAACUACUUCAAUGCCUAAAAAAUAAUUGACAUAGCCUAGGUCACGAAGAGCAAAAGAAGAAUUGAGCCGAGUAAUAAAUGACGAAACCUGAGCUGAAUUGCUGUCAGUUACUAGUAUGUCGUCUACAUAAAUGAGGAAAAUAAGGACAUCAUGUGUUGAAUGGUGAAUAAACAUCGAGCUGUCAGCUCGAGAAGCUUGAAAUCCCCAGCUAAGAAGUGAAGUGCUGAGUUUGGUAUACCAUGCCCGGGGGGCCUGCUUAAGGCCAUAUAAAGCCUUGUUAAGCUUGCAAACAUGAGAAGGAAAUUGAGAAUUGAUAAAGCCCGAGGGUUGAUGCAUAAACCCAUGCUCUUCAAGAUCUCCAUGGAGAAAGGCAUUCUGAACAUCAAGUUGGUGAAUUGACCAGUUAAAUGAGAGUGCAACUGCAAGUAUAAUGCGGAUAGUAGAAGCCUUGACAACUGGACUAAAAGUCUCAAAAUAAUCGAGACCCAGAGUUUGAGUAAAUCCUUGUGCAACUAACCAGGCCUUAUAGCGAUCAACUGUUCCAUCGGGUUUAUAUUUGAGUUUGUAGACCCAUUUACAACCAAGUAUAUUGCCAUUGGAGGGUGGUGGAACUAGAUGCCAUGUGUUGUUUCUUUGGAGAGCAGAAAACUCUUUUUCCAUGGCAAGAACCCAAUUUGAAUCUUUAACAGCCUAUGUGAAUGUAGUAGGUUCAGAGAUGUGAGAUGAGAAGUAAACCUUCUUCUUGCUGAUGCCAUUCUUUGCACGUGUGACCAUGGGAUGCUGAUUAGUAGGGUGAGGUUUAGAAGUGGAGAUGUCAGCAAAAGGAACUUGUAUCAGGUCUGGUAAAGAAGUAGCGGAGGAAGGCAUAUUAGUUAACAGUGGGCUUGAUGUGGAAGGAGUUGUAUGGGAAGGUAGUGAGGACACGAGAGGAGAUGAGCAAGGAAGAAGGGUUGGAGUGGGGACAGUAACUACAGAUGAGGAUUGAUCCGGAGUAGACUGAAAUGGGAACACCGUUUCAUGAAACACAACAUGCCUAGUAAUAUAGAGACAGCCUGACAAUGGGUCAAGACACAUAUAGCCUUUGUGAUUGGAACUAUAGCCAAGGAAAAUGCAUUGACUGGAGCGAUAGGAGAGUUUAUUUUUGUUGUAUGGUCGAAUAUAAGGGUAGCAUAAGCAACCGAAAAUUUUAAAGAUGUGAUAAUUUGGUGAUUUUCCAAAAAGAAUUUGAAAGGGAGAUUGAUAAUUAAGAACCUUAGUAGGUAGCCAAUUUAUAAGGAAAAUAGUUGUAUGAAAUGCAUAUAGCCAAAACUUGAAAGGUAAGGAUGUAGUGGCUAAUAGAGCAAGACCAGUUUCAAUUAUAUGUCGUAAUUUGCGCUCCGCUCAACCAUUCUAUUCAGGUGUGUAUGGACAAGAAAACUGACUUUUAAUACCAUGCGUAGCAAGAUAUGAAGAGAAGCCUUUAAAUUCACCACCAUUAUCAGACCGUAAACAUUGUAUUCGAGAAUUAAACUGAUUUUCAACUAGACUUUUGAACUUUAUGAAUAUAGAUAAUGCUUGAUCUUUUCUGUGCAAUGAAUAAAUCCAAGAGAAACGAGAGAAAUCAUCAACAAACAAAAUGAAGUAGCGUGCACCAGUUGUGGACGGAAUGGAAGCAGGGCCCCAAAGAUUAGCAUGAAGUAAAGCUAAAGGAUGAGAAGCUCUAGAAACAGACACAUUGAAAGGCAAUUUAUAACUUUUUGCAAAUUGAUAAGCACAACAGACAUUGUUUUUAUGGCAUUGAUGUGAAAUAUUACAAGAGGUAAGAUUGUGUUUCAAGAUAUUAUCAGCAGGGUGUCCAAGCCGAGAAUGCCAAAGUGUAGUUGUGGUUGUUAAAGAAAGAUUGGAAGACCUGUCAUAACUGGAAGAAACAAAAGCUGCAGGUGAAGGCACAAAUCUGGCAGGGAAUCUAUAUAAGCCAUGUUCAAGACUUCCUUGAAGAAGUAUCUUCUUGGUGACCUGAUCCUUGACAAAAAAGAAUCGAGGAUGAAACUCAAAGAAAGCAUUAUUAUCGGCACAAAACUGUGAGACACUAAUGAGAUUAGUAGCAAUAUCAGGAACGUGAAGUACUUGUCUCCAUUGAAAGGUUUUAGAAGAGGAAGGAAAGAAAGUAGUGCCUAUAUGUAAAAUACGAAGGUGCUUACCAUUCCCAACAAUCACCUUGUCAUUACCCAUGUAUGGUUGUACAUCUGAGAGUGGAUCAACACUUUGUGAUAGGUGAUGUGUAGCACCAGUGUCAAAAAACCAUGCCUCAUCAGAUAUAGUGGAAGAAGAUGCCAUCAUAGCUUGCACUUGAUUCUUGGCAUUUGGUUUAUUGGUUUGAACAGUGUCCAUAUUAGUGUUGUAGCCUUGGAAGUUAAUAUCAAACCUGUGGUAGCAGCGAACCACGGUGUGGCCAAACUUGCCACAAAGCUGGCACUGUGGUCGAUGCUGAGAUGAUUGCGAGCGCCCACCUUUUGUACCUCUUCUUGUGUUGAACCCAAACUGCCUAUUUUGACCAGAGGAUUUUUUAUUGUUAAAAUGUUGAUAUUGUGGUGUAGCAAGAUUAGUAGAGAUGAUGUUAUCUUCUGCAACUGAAUUCUGAAAGCUAAGUCGUUGUUCAUGGGUGAGUAAAAUGCUGUGUACAGAGUGGAGAGACAUCUCAUCUUCACGUGCUGUAAGAGAGGCUACUAUGGAGUUGUAGUCUGCCCCAAGACCUCUAAGAAGUUGGAGGAUCUGAUCUCUAUCAGUCACAAGUUCUCCAAUGGCCGCCAAAUUAUCGGCCAAACUCUUUAGUUUAAGAAUGUAUUCCAUCAUUGUCAAUGACCCUUUCCUUGUGGUUUGGAACUCUAGGCGUAGUUGCAUCACCCUAGCCCUUGAAGAAGCCGAAAAGAUUCGUUCUAAAGCAAACCAGGCUGCAUGAGAGGAUUGAUAGCCAACUAUCUAGCCCAUGAUUUCAGGAGUGAGUGAGAAGUAGAUCCAGCUAAGGAUCAUGCGAUCGAAUCGUCGCCAUAUAACAAAAUCUGGGUUUGUUUCUCCAGAACUUGUUUUUUGAGGUGGACAAAUUUUCAGACCUUCGAUAUGAUCUUCAAAACCAUUGGCAAAGAUAACGUUCUCCAUUUGUGUUCUCCAAAGAAUGUAAUUGUUUCUAUCAAGUUUGAUCGACAAUGCAUGAUUCAGCAUCUGCAUUGUUUGAGUAGCACCGGUAGAUGAAGGUAGGGUACCAGCUUGUAACCCUGAUGACUGUGUUGAACUCAUCAUGAAUAGAAUGGAGGUUAUCUACAAAGAACUAAAACUGAUAUGAAGAAGAAGAAGAAGUCUUGUAAAAAAAAAAUACCAAAGCUUUGAUACCAUGAAAGUUUUAGAAACUGGGUUUUAGAAAAACCAAUAUUUCUCAUUGUCUAUUAGAAAAGGUGAUCCAUCUUUGUACACUGACGUUUUCUUAUAUUUAUAUCUACAACAACCUAACUAACUAACUUCCUUCUUUGAGACGUUCUUAACCGGCUUCUGUUUGUUGCAGCUAACCUUGGUUUGUUGCACCUGAUCUCGGUUUGUUGCAGCUGACCCCAGACAGUUACUUUCUUGUUGAUCAGCUAGGUAUCGUCUAUCAACCUAAACUAAUGAGUUUUUUGCGUAACUGGUGUCCCCAUUUCCUCCCUUCAUGCAAAGCACUUGAGCUACUUCCAUCUCUUUCUUCCUGCCUCUUCGCUGAUUGCUUCCUCUCAGUUGGAAUGUGGAUUAUGUUGAAGGAGAUGCUCCCCAUUUAUAGAACUUGGAGCCACAUCUUAGUGGAAUUAAUUUUUUUCAUCUUCUAUGGGCUCUACUUCCACCGAACCCCCGCUUGGCACUAGUGGAAUUGAUAAUUCAGGACUGAUGUCACAUUGUGGGUAGUCUUGAGUCCUGACAUCCACUAGAAGAUAGCACGCCACAUGCUGUCCACUAGUAUCCGGGUGGGUCCAUGCUACCUAUUCAAAUAUCUAGGUCGGCAACACUUCUGGGAAGAGCUCUACAAAAUAAAAAUAGAAAUACUUUAAAAUCAUUCUAAAAAAUAAUCUAUUUUUAAAUACAAAAUCAUUAAAACAGACUAAAACUUAAACCUAAAAGAUUCGAUUCAUAAUUUAUAUCAUACACUUUCUCGUACCAAACAUAUGGUAAACCUUAUUGGCAAGAUGAGGGCGAAUCUGCCUAUGACAGUGAUUUUUUUUUUUUUAUAAAUAUUUCUCCAUUUUAAAAUUACUUUUCAUACAUUUUUAUGAUUUAUUUUAUCAUUUGUUAAAGUGGUAAGCAAUCAUCAAGUACACAAAAUAAUUAUUUAUUUUAUUUAUUUAUAUUAUAUCUUCAACUUUAAGAGUGAAUUACUUUAACAAAGGAUAAAAUAAGUACAAGGACAUGAGUCUACUUUAUUUUAACAUUGACGCCUCAGUUAUAGUAUGAACAUUAGACCAUGUCUCAGGGAAAAAGUCUAAAAUUUGUUCUCACUGAGAAAUGUAAAAGCGAGAAAGUGUGAGAAAGGGUGAGAAAAUGUAAAACUGAUGGAGCUUUUUACAGUUGUCUGCGACAACAUGGGAGACUUAUUGCAUUGAGUAUUGUUCUAAUUGGCUCGAUAUGCCAUCAUUGUCCCACCCAUUAAAAUCUCCAGAUUGUUAGAUGGUACCGUACUGAAUACGAUAAGAAAACUUUAACUUUUUGAGGCGGGUGUUUUAUUUAUUUCCUUUUCCUACACCUACGAAACUUCAAGUGCAUGAUUGACAGAUUUCAAAAAUAAUACUACUAACAUGGACAUGUGGGCAUGAAACACGAUGAUGGAAGUAGGCCAAGGUCAAGGUUGGCGCAUGGGUUGGCCGCAGCUACCUUAAAACAAAUUGGUAUUAGUUAUCGGCCACAGAAUAUUGGAGGUACCACCAGAGCAUGACGCUUUCUGAACAACCCUGCAGGCGUUUGUUAGCUGACGUUUCCAUGCAUGACACAUCUGCCUCAUUUUUUCUUCAAUCUAAUGUGAAGUUUGUCUCCUCUAAUCUUCUUUUUCAAAAUAAUAUCCAUUCAAAUAUGCCAACGGAGUCAAUUUUAGUUGAAAAAUAGCUAUCAGCAAAAAGUUGUGGCCGUGGAGGAAAGACGUAACUGAUCUACCACAUGAUGAAUAUUAAAGUUACGGUUUAGUUGGUAUCACAAAGAACAGAUCUUAUCACUAAAAUUAGAUAAAUUUUUUUUUCACACUAAAUGGCCAAGAGUUGGUUUGGAAGGGGAUCUUGGUAAAGUGUUUUUAGUUUUCAACACUUAUAAGUAGAAUCAGUUAGUGUAGUAAUAUUUUUAAUUAUGUGUUGUAUGACAAAAAUUCAUUUUUGAAAUAUGAUUAAAUGUUUCUUUGGAUACACUCUUAUUUUUUGUUUUCAUGUUGAAGACACGAAAAAAACUAACUUUUGGCUAGACCCAUGAAAUUCAAAGUUCAUUCAUUGGAAAGGAUCCACCCAAAUCUGGUUCCAAAACAAUGGUAAAUUUAUCACUUUUUGUCAUUGACCAUAUCAAAGUGUAAUGUACCAAACCCAAUUUAGGGGUAAAAUCAUAAUUUAAAAAUUAUUAAUUAAUUAAAGUAAUUUAAUAGGGGUAAAAAAUUCUAUUUAUAUUUAAAACUCUUAGAUAUAGAUUAGAUUUUCUCUACCUUCUCUAUUCAGAAAACCCUUGUACAUAGAGGUCAAAAAGAUCAGAGAGCAUAGGGCUAAAGAUUUGGAGGUUUAGGGUUUGAAGAUCAAUUUUUUUAGGUAAGAUUUUUAAUCCUUAAAUUAAUAUUUUAUAUUCGUUAAUUAGUUUUGAACACUUUAGAUAUUCUUUAAAAUAUUUCAAUUUUGAUUAGAGUUUGUUUAAUUAAUUUAUAAUUCAAAAAGAUUAAAAAAUUAUGAAUAUAAUUUGAUUUAUUAAUGAAGAUCAACAGAUUUUGAUCACUUAAAUAAAUAGAUCUAGAAAAAAAUAGUAAAUAAAUAAAAUAAGAAUAGCAUGAUUUUCUAGAACGGUGAAGAAAAAAAAAAUGCGUGUGGACAUCCAAGGAAGAAAGAAAAAAAAAAGAAGAAAAAAAAAAGAGUGUUAUUAUUAUAAUAAUAAUAAUGGGUGUAGUUGGUGGCUUGGAGUAAUGGUGUUGUAGGGUAUUUGAAAGUAAUAAUAAUAAUAAUAUAUAUAUAUAAUGAGGUAUGGGGGUUAAGUGACAGUUGGAUUAUGGGAACAAUAAUAAUAAUAGUUUCUUGGUUUUAAUUUAAUUUAAAUAUAUAAAGAAAUAAAUAGUGAGGGUAAGAUUAGGAAAGAAAAUGAAUUUUACAAUAAUUUGAAAACUCAGUAAAAUAAUUUAUUAUUGUUUAGUAAGUUGAAAAUAAUAUUGGGUAGUAAUAAUAUUAGUAUGAGAAAUUAAUUAGGAUCCCUAAUACUAAAUAAAAUAUUUUUAGGAUUGUGAAAUUUUUACCUUUAGAUAAUUGUGUAUGAUAUUAUGUUAGGUGAUGAGUAAAUUCGUCAAGCUAAAAUACUUUUAAAUUUUGAGCGCUUAUUCAAGGUAAGGGAAAUUAAUGCAGAUAUUCGCAUUCUACUUGAGAAUAUGUUUUUUUUUAUCACCAAACUGAAAUCAAAUAAGAAAAUAACAUUAAAAUGCAUAACAUUUGGAAGUCUAAAACUAUGUACAAUUCAUUAAAUUUGUAAUACCUUUGAAACAAUAAUUGUAGGAUAAAAAAUUAUCUCUUUUAUGAAUCUCAUAACAAAGUAGCCACAUUCGAACCCUCCUUCUUGUCUUGGACACUAAUCGAUCAAUUAUAAAAUAACAUUAGUACUCAUAUAUAUAAAUGGUGCAAAUGCAUAAGCUAAUGUGUAAAGAAAAUUUUUUGGAUGUCACCUGCACUAGUUGCCAAGAUGGCUCCCUCUUAGAUGUUUUCUUUGCAGAUAUUUGAAGAGCCCUAUGUAAAUAGGUUCAAUGGGUACAUUUUUAAAAUAGGUAAAUGUUAUAUGUUUUAACAUAUAUAUAAAUAAUAAAAAAAAAUGUGUUUGAGAUGAAUGUAUUUAAAAAAAUAAUAAUAAUACUAUGAAAAAUAAUAGGAAGAACUUACAUGUUUAUGAUAUCCUUUAAGUCCUCACAUGGUUUGUGAUGCAUAGGGUCAAGAUAGUGGACUAUCAUUUUCCUUGGCUCAAUCACUACCAAGACCCAAUGAAAGCUAAAACAUUAAAAACAAAAGUAGCAUCUAAUUAGAAAUAUAAAUCAAUCAUAAAACCUCAAAUUAAAGUAUAAUAUUUGUCACUUACUUGGGGUUGUAGGGUAUGAAAACAUAUUUAGCAUCUUGGCACUCCAUUAAGCGUUUUGACAACAAUUGUGCUCUUUUCUCUGUUUGAGGAGCACUAAGGCCUGCUCGUGAUAUUGUAAAAGGAUUAACAAAUAUAAAUUGUGAUUCCUUUUUGGCAAUAUGUAGUUGAUCAUGCAUGUGCCUAUUAUUGUAUCAAAACACCAAAAGAAAAUUAUCAUUAGUCAUAUCCAAUCUCGUUCAACAUGGGCAACUCAUAUUAAAAAAAUAAAAACAAAUGAAAAUGAAAGUUGCACACCAUAAAUAGAAGGAGAUGCAGUUUGAUGACACCUCUAAAGAUGAAAUAAUGUAUUCACAAUCCUCUCUAGAUAUAUAUGUUUGAAAUUCGACACCAAAUAGUGAAAUGAGGAGCUGUAUUGGGUAUGUCUUGUCAUUACCAAGACAACCAUCCACAAAUUUCUGAAAAUUUUUAAUGACCGAAUGAUUUUGAGGCUUAGAUUUUCGAAUAAUUGGUGUCUUCACUAUCUUCUUCAUUCCUUUAUCCAACACCUAUGAAAAAGGAAGGAAUGUUAGAUAUAUAUACUCCUAAACAAUAAAAUACCAAGUUACAAUCAAAUUUACCAUAGGCAUAAAAUGACAUACCUGAGGAUGUUCAGUUUCAAGUAUGACAAGGCUUGUUGGCCAAUCAAGCUCAAAGCCAAUAGCAUCCCCAACAUUGAUAAUCUCAUAUGGAUUUGGAAAUGGGAGUCUAGCAUUUGGCUUGUGUGCAACAUUUAUCACAACCAACCUAUUCGAUCCUUUUUCUUCUAUUAGUGUACCAGUUGCAACAACAUUUCCUUUUCUUUCCACUGCUAAUUUACAUUUAAUUACCUUCAAUACAACAAAUAAUAUCACUUAUAUUAAUCUUGUAUUAUUAGUAAGUAAAUGCAUACCUUGUGUUUCAAUGGUGGUUCUGGUGGUUGGGGCUCUUCUAUCAUUUUAAACAUUGGUUUUUCUGCUACAACUGGUUGUAAAACAAGUUGUUGUCUCAUGUUAUUACUACCCAUAUCAGAAUGGGGUGUGGGGGAAGACAUAACUUGUCUUGUUGCAGCAUCUUCCAUCUCCUUUCGUACCAUUUCCCAUAUUUCUUCUUUGAUUUUUUUUCAUGUCAUCAGAUGGUUGAUGAAAGUAUGAGCUAGGCCUAACCAAAUGGUCUUGACCUACCAUACGUCCUGGAUUAUCAGGCUUACCCAAUACCUGACCUAAUAUGUCAUUUGGACCAGGUGGAGGUAGUCCAGUCUCCUUAGCAUUUUCUAGUAAUUCAUCCUACAAUAAAACAUAUAUUAGUAAUAAUUUGAUGAAGAUGAUUUACAUAUCAAUCAAAGACAACCAAUUUAAGGUAGCUAGAAAAUGAAUUGUUUUAAUACAAAGGAUAAUAGACAAAUUGGUGUAUAACAUAACUACUCAUAAAAAUGAUAGCAUUAAGCCUCUCGCCUAUUAACACCUAACGAUAUCAUCACAAACCAUAGUCACAUAGACGUACUAACACUAUAGGCUCUAAAAGGCAUAAAUAUGCUAACUUACUAUCAUGUUAAUCACUGGCUCUGUAAUCUUAUUAAACUUUCCUUUCUUCUCACGUGCUUUCUUCCAUAAAACACUUCUAUCAACCCUACCAAUACUCCCUUCUGCUUGUAGCUAUAAAAAUUUUAACAAUAAAACUCAUUAUUUCAAUAUGAUCAAGUUAAUAAAUGACAUUUAAAAAUUGGAAUAAUUUUCCUGUAAACAAAAUAUAUACUCCAUUUUUUUACCGAUAUUGAUAACUUACUAUAUCCUGCUCAAAACGUGCAUAUCCUUUUCUUCCAAGAUAAUGAUUGUAAAUGUGUUUAUCUUUUCUCGAUUUCUGAACCUUGUGAUAUUCCUAAAAAAUAUAGACACAAAAUUAGUACAUGGUGAAACUAUUUAAAUGUAAAAAUUGAAGAUGUAUUAAAAAUAAUGCUUAACAUUAAAGUGUUCAGAAAGUCUAUCUUUAACAAACUGUCUCCAAUGAUCCUCUUGUAUGAAUGGGUAGAUAGGAGGUGGCUUUUUCAGCUUUUCUGGGUCAUUCUUGAAAUACAAUAUAUAUUUCUUUGUCAACUUGUACUUAAAGGUUCGAAACCUGAUGCCCAUUAGUAGGAAACAAUUCCUCUUGGAAUUUUGAUUCACAUUAAAGCUUGUUUACAAAAUAGCAACCCAUGUUAGCUCAUGUUAAUGAAUGUAUACAAUAAUUAUAUAUGAAGCUAUAGAUAGACUUACCGUGAUCAAAUCCCAUAACUUCUCCUUAGUCUCUUUAGGGACUUUCCUCCAACUCUCAACAAUUAUUGGCACAUGGGUUCUAGUUAUUGUACCAAGAUAACUACUUAGUUCAACUGAAUUUUCCCCAAUGUGACUACCAAGGCUAUUGUAUUCAAUCUUGACCUUUAUCCCUUUACUUCGAUUUUUUGCAAUCUCUGGUUUCAAUGUACUACCUCUAUGCUUUACUUUUGGCAUUUCCUCUUCUUCUGGAUCCAUAUUUGUGUGGAAGAUAUCAAGUAAAUGUGCAAACUAGUACUUCACCAACAAACCUGUAAAAUGACUCAAAAGCAAGAUUAGUAUAUCCUUGCAUAUAUUUCCUAUAAUUAAAUUGGUCAUUCACAAAUAUAGUUUUUGAAAUUUCCUUUCAAAGUUUGUCUUGUUUUUUGAUUUCUUAUCAAUAAUGAAGAAUUUAUUUGUGAGGAUAACAAUAAAAUAAAUUAGUGCAUACAUAGUUUCAAUUAUUAUUUAUAGUUUUAAUGAAAAAGAAAUUUAUGAAUGAAAGUUUCAAGUUAUGUGAGCAUAAAAUCAAAACAUGAUAAUAAAAAAUAAUAUAAAUCUAGUUCCAUGGACAACAAAAAAGAUAGUUAAAUGAAGAUUGAAGUGGUACCUUUGAAUAACAUAUGUUUAUGAUGCAUGAAAGAAAUUUAGGAUGAUCAAUAUAUAUAUAUAUCAUGAGCAAUAUAUAGAAGCUAAGCUAUCAAAUAGGCCUUUUGCUGGACGUGGUUUACCACAGUCCAGAAUUUUUGUAAAUUUUGUAAAUUUUCAAGUUUUUUUCCAUACUUUUGAUCUUAGUUUUUGAUCUUAAAUCAUGUUUUUAUGUGUAUUUUAAUCUUUUUGAAUGAUCCCAGGUGGAAGAAAUUUCAAGGAGAUUGAAAGAAAAAAAAUCGGGUCGAAAUCGGAGCAAAAACAGAGGAAAAACAGAGCUCUGCGAAAUUUCGCAGAGUGAAGAAAACUUCUGCGAAAUGAGCAUUUUGUUGCCAAACCAUUCCGCAACACUGUAGAAGUCUCUGCGAGGGUAUUUCGCAGCUGUGAAAGCAAAUUUGGCACACGAGUGCCACUUCGCAGUACAGUAGCAUCCAUUUGGCAGCUGGGAAACGCAUUGCAAAGUGGAAAAGCGUGAUUUCGCACCAAAAGUCCCAUUCCGCAGGGUAUUUCGCAAUUGUGAAAGUGGUUUUGGCACACGAGUGCCACUUCACAGCACAGGAGCCAUCAUUUGGCAGCUGCGAAACGCAUUGCGAAGUGAAAAAGGCUGAUUUCGCAACAAAAGUCUCAUUCCGCAGAGGAUUUCACGGAUGCGAAAGCACUUUUGGCACACGAGUGCCAUUUCGCAGCACAGUGACCCUCAUUUCGCAGCUGCGAAAUGGCUGCGAAGUCCCAAAAAGUGAAAAAUCCCAAUUUCACAGCCGCACCCCCAUUUCGGCAAUUGUUGGACACAUCUCGAUCACUUUCUAAAGUUCAAAUUAUGCAUGUAAUAUCUCGUUUCAAAGCUUGGGAAGUCAGGAGUCCAUAGCUUCAAACGGUGCUCGAUUUGGAUUUGAAACGGAAAAGUUAUGGCCAUUUGAAGAUGAUUGUGCAAACCAUGAGCGGAAAUGUCGCACCUCCAUUUUGCUACUGUUGGACACAUUUUUGAAGCACUUCUUGGAGCUCAAAUUAUGCAUACGAUAUCUCGUUUCAAAUCUUGGGAAGUCAGGAGUCCAGUGCUUUAAACGGUAUGUGAUUUGGAGGUGAAAUGAAGAAGUUAUGGUCAUUUGAAGGCAAGCGCUCAAAGCUGAACGGGAAUUUCGCAGCCGAGACGCCAUUUGGAAGGGUGUUUCGCAGCUGCGAAACCACUUUUGGCACACGAGUGCCAUUUUGCAGCACAGUUCUCCUCAUUUUAAAGCUGCGAUACACCUGCGAAAUCACUUUUGAGCUACGAAAUAGCUAUGAAAUGAUCUCCAAGCUGCGAAAUGACUAUGAAAUGAUCUCCAAACUUCGAAAUGGCUGCGAAAUCACCUCCAAGCAUCGAAAUGGCCUUUAAAUUGCAAAAUUGACUUGCGAAAUGGAGGAAGGUUUGCAAAAACACUUUGCAAAGCCAAGAGAAGUUGCUAAAAUGCCAACAGAGCCCUGCGACCAUGCAUCUGAAGAGGAGAGCCCCGAGCACCUUGAGAUCACACACACAAAGUCUCUCACUCCAUUUCUGACCUCCUUAAACCAUCAAAUCCCAUAGCUACCAGCUGAGAGCUCCAGUUGAGGAAACUAUGUCACCUAAGGAGAUUACCAGAACAGAGGCCAAAGUCCUGAUCCAACCCAUUCAAGAGGCCACCACAGACGCAUCAGCUCCACAGGACCUUACCAUUACUUGAUCAUCUCUUUAAUUUUUGUCUUUACAUAUUAUAUUAGUAUAGAUAAUUCCAUGUUUUGAUGUCUUAUAUUCUGGGAUUGGAUGUAUUACUGAUGAUACAUCAUAUAUAGACAUCAUUUUUGUAUAAACUUGGCAUUUUUCUAUUUCCUCUACUCGCUAACUCUUAUGUUUUCUUUGAAACAUGUGGUUUCUCCUAUACGACUCAGACUCCAUAUCACUCAGGAGGUACCACUUCCUCCCUAUUUUUCAAUCGCUUUUGUCACAUUGAGGACAAUGUUUAGCUCGGUUGGGGGGAGAGUUGAGGAAGUAAGUAUUGUUAAUAAUGAUAAGUUAUUUUGGUAAUUUAGUUGCUUUUUGCUUAAUUUUUAAAAUUUUUGCUUUAAACUCCAUGGAUAUUAAGGAUUAACUCUCAAAAUUAAAUGAGAGAAGUCGAGUUUCAACUUGAUUACAUGAGUCUUAGAGUUUGUAUUAUGCUCUUCUAAAAGUUGAUGAAUUGUUGAAACUCCCAUUGCAUGAAAACUUAUCUCUUCCACCUUAAGCUAUUCGCACACACAUACAUUAGAUUCCGGUUAUAAGAUGUGAAACUAUCUCACCCUCUAAGCUUGAGAAAUCAUAAUUUGACACCUUUAACCUCUCUUUAAUAGUGUUGGGACACCUCAUAAAGACCAAUGAGUCUUUGUAGAAAAAGAAAAAAAAAAGAAAAAAAUAAAAUAAAAUAGAAUAAACUUCUUUACUUGCCUUGAAACCUGAGCAUGGUCCGAAGGGUUGGCUAUAGCCUUUAAAGCCUGGUGCCUUAAGCCUUUAUUGGUUGGGAGUCACCGAUCCUCUGCUUGUUACAUGGGUGAAUUGGUUAAGUUUAGUAAGUGAAAAGAAUUGUGAAUAAGAGGUGCGUUCCUAGCCUAUCAAGAGAUGGUUAAUUUUGCUAAGUUUAAAGAAAGACUUAGGUUGGGGGGAGAUGAUAGUUAUCCAUACUAUACUCGGAAGCUAAUCACAUUAACACUUAGCUUUUAGUGGAAGAAUUUGAUUUGAAUCUUUUGAGAGUGGAAAUUCUUUUGAUGCUUAAACUUGCAUAAUAUCCAUUCUUUGUACUCUAAGAUCAAGUGAAUGCUUUGACAACUCUUAUUAUAGGUUGAGUUUCACAUCUUUAUUGAUCCAUGGAUGUCCAUCAUGCCACUCAUAUCAUUUUUUGGAGUGAUUUGCAUGAUCCCUUUUAUAUAUAUUAUUAUAGUUACUUAGUUUUUAUCUCCUCCAUUGCUAAGGGACUAGCAAUGAGUCGGUUGGGGGGUGUGAUUACUACCAAAAAGUGCUAUUUUGUAGACCUAAUUAUAAUGGUUUUAAGCACCUUUGAGUAGUAAUCAUAUUCAUUUAACCCAAUUAAUUCAUUAAGGUCCUUAGUAAUUGGUUUUAACCAUUUUGUGGCAAGUUUACAUGUUUUUAUCAGCUUAUGAAUCAAUUCAAGCAUGUCAAAUGAUGGAGGAGCUACUUGAACAAGUUAUGGCAAAGCUUAUGGAAGCUCAAAUUCAUGAAGAAACCAAGCUUUGGAGCCUGAUAGUCCUUUGCCUUAGUUGUUCAAAGUAUGCAAGGAAAGAGCACUGGAGAGAGAAAAACAGAGUGAAGAAAACAGAGGACGGCAGCUGCAGUCUUCUUUCGCACUUUUGGAGCACUUCCCAAAGUCCAUUUUCUACAUUCUAUAUACCAUUUGAAAUCUCAGGAAGUCAAGAAUCCAAUGCUUCAAACGGUGCGCAAUUCGGAGUUGAAAUGAAGGAGUUACAACCAUUGCAAGCAGAUCACUCCAAGCUGAAGAAAGCAUUUUGCAAAGUGUUACGAAAUCACCCUUUUGUUGCGAAGUGAUUUCGCAGCAUUUUUGAACAGUAGGAUGUUUCUCCUUCUGACGAUGCCCGAUUUAUGCCGCGAGAAGGAAGCUGGGAACCUCAAGGUGGAAGCCAACUUCGCAGCCCUAUGAAGAGAGCUUGGUGUUGCGAAAUUAUUUCGCAACCCUCUUGAGUGUCUGCGAAAUUUCGCAGACACCAUUUUUCUCCUGCGAAAUGGUUCCUGAAGCCUCCAGAUAUUUGCUACCAACAUGGGAGAUAUUUUACAUUAGAUUUUUGUUGUCUAAAUCCCAAAAUACUCCUUGUAAACCACCAAUUACAAGAUUCCUUAGCUUUUAAGUUAGUAAAAAGACUAAAUAUCAAUGUAAUAAUUAGUUUUAUAUUAUGUUCAUAUAAAUACCUCUCGGGAGUCUGUUCCAGGGAGAGGAGAGGAGCUUUUUGUAAAGUUNNNNNNNNNNNNNNNNNNNNNNNNNNNNNNNNNNNNNNNNNNNNNNNNNNNNNNNNNNNNNNNNNNNNNNNNNNNNNNNNNNNNNNNNNNNNNNNNNNNNNNNNNNNNNNNNNNNNNNNNNNNNNNNNNNNNNNNNNNNNNNNNNNNNNNNNNNNNNNNNNNNNNNNNNNNNNNNNNNNNNNNNNNNNNNNNNNUCAUCAAAAUUUAUAACCUAUAACACCAUAUGGGAUUCAUGCCCAGUUGGUGUGCCAGCUGAUUUGUGUCCAGGUGGUGCUCCUUGAAUGAGGGAGUAAUCAUCAAAAUUUAUAACCUAUAACACCAUAUACUAGGGUAGCAAAGACAAAGCUACUAUAGUAUAGCGGCUCUAGGAUCGUUCACUGGGAAGAAUUAACAAGCUAUCAAUGAUACCAAUUCAAAGUGAAUUGGCCUUGUUUCAUUUCAAGGUUAGCUUAAGAAGUAAAACACAAACUUUGAUUGGUAAAGGUUUAGACUUAAACUAACUAUCAUAACAGAAGUUUGGAAUAAUUUAGGAAGAAAAACAUUCCUUGGAGAGUUAGGUUCACUGGGGUGGUUCCUCAUGCAAAAGACAUAGCUCCGAUCGGAUGGUUCAUUUCCUCGCAUUAGAGAUUCAACAUAUAGUCAAUUCCCUAACCGGUGUUGUACAGAGACUCCUUCAAUUAGAUUUCACUUUAAUUCUCUCACUGAUGCAACUUGCAAUGGUUCAUGCCUCUCACGAGCACUUACCAUUCAAGAUGAUCUUUAACCUUGGACUUCCCUUCACAAACUCGCAAGAGAUAACUAAUGGAUGUCUCGUUGGAGUCCAAAAGCUUACCAAGUGUUGGUAAUUCCAGAAAAUCCUACCUUAAAGCCACCUCCCAGAGGCUCGCAAGGGGUAAACUAGUGCAUUUCCAUGGUUGGAAAUCACUUGCCUUACCAAGUGUUGGCCCAGGUGACUCUAAGGUGUUUUAAGUUAACUAAAAACAUAGAAAUCAUUAAAGGAUUUCACUUCCUCUUCAUUACUAGCUAAAACCACAAAGCUCUGCAUUCUUGCACUUGGAACCUUCCCCAGCAACCUUAGCUCCAAGGAACUAGAGGUUUAGUUACUCAUUCUCUGGGGAAAACUCCUCAGAGAAUUCAUAACUUAGAAAUAAAAUAAAAAUACAAAGUGAGAAGGUAAGGCAGUAGAAAGAACUGAACUUUACUUGCUUACCAAAAACUUUACAAAAAGCUCCUCUCCUCUCCCUGGAACAGACUCCCGAGAGGUAUUUAUAUGAACAUAAUAUAAAACUAAUUAUUACAUUGAUAUUUAGUCUUUUUACUAACUUAAAAGCUAAGGAAUCUUGUAAUUGGUGGUUUACAAGGAGUAUUUUGGGAUUUAGACAACAAAAAUCUAAUGUAAAAUAUCUCCCAUGUUGGUAGCAAAUAUCUGGAGGCUUCAGGAACCAUUUCGCAGGAGAAAAAUGGUGUCUGCGAAAUUUCGCAGACACUCAAGAGGGCUGCGAAAUAAUUUCGCAACACCAAGCUAUCUUCACAGGGCUGUGAAGUUGGCUUCCACCUUGAGGUUCCCAGCUUCCUUCUCGCGGCAUAAAUCGGGCAUCGUCAGAAGGAGAAACAUCCUACUGUUCAAAAAUGCUGCGAAAUCACUUCGUAACAAAAGGGUGAUUUCGCAACACUUUGCAAAAUGCUUCCUUCAGCUCGGAGUGAUUGGCUUGUAAUGGCUGCAACUUCUUCGUUUCAAAUCCGAAUUGCACACCGUUUGAAGCAUUGGAUUGUUGACUUCCUGAGCUUUGAAAUGGUAUAUAGCAUGCAUCAUUUGGACUUCAGAAAGUGCUCCAAAAGUGGCCGCUGUGACUGUCAUCAAGAAUAUGCUCUAUGGCAGAUUCUCUUUGCUUUUUCUCCUUGCAAUCCGGAUUUACUCUUGUCAAAUGACUUCUAAGCUUUGCCCAAGAUCCUCAUAACUCUCCUCAGUCUUGACUUGCUUUGGUGAUCAAAAUACUAACAAAAACACCAAAACUUACACAAAGUGAUUAAAAUUGCUUUAAAGGAUCCUUAACAUGCCAAUUGAGUUAAAAGGCCUAAACUACUACUCAAAAGUGUUUAAAAGGAUUAAUUAUAGGCUAUCAAAUAGCACUUUUUGAGUAGUAAUCAAUGAUCAAUAUAUAUAUAUAUAUAUAUAUAUAUAUAUAUAUAUAUAUAUAUAUAUAUAUAUAUAUAUCAUGAGCAAUAUAUAGAAGCUAAGCUAAUGUGCAACUCAUGAAAACAUUAGAGUUCGUUUAAUUAAUUUGUAAGUCAAAAAGAUUAAAAAUUUAUUAACAUAGUUUGAUUUAUUAAUGGAGAUUGACAUAUUUUGAUCACUCAAAUGAAUAGAUCUAAAUUAUAUAAUAAUAAAUAAAUAAAAUAAGAAUAGCAUGAUUUUCUAAAAUGGUGAAAAAUAAUAAUAAUAAUAAUAAUGUAGAUGUGUGUCGUGUAGCAGAGGGUUUAAAAGAGAAAAAAUAAAUGCGUGUGGAUAUCUAGGGAAGGAAGAAACAAAAGAAGAAGAAAAAAAAAGUGUUAUAUAUUAUUAUAAUAAUAGUAAUGGUGUAGUUGGUGGCUUAAAGUAAUGGUGUUGCAGGUCUUUGAAAGUAAUAAUAAUAAUAAUAAUAGUUUCUUGUAUAGGUUUUAAUUUAAUUUAAGUAUAUAAAGAAAUAAAUAGUGCGGGUAAGAUUAGGAAAGAAAAUGAAUUUUACAAUAAUUUGGAAACUCAGUAAAUUAAUUUAUUAUUGUUUAGUAAGUUGAAAAUAAUAUUGGGUAGUAAUAAUAUUAGCAUGAAAAAUUAAUUAGGAUCCCUAAUACUAAAUAAAAUAUUUUUAGGAUUGUGAAAGUUUUUCCUUUAGAUAAUUGUGUAUGAUAUUAUGUUAGGUGAUGAGUAAAUUCGUCAAGCUAAAAUACUUUUAAAUUUUGAGCGCUUAUUCAAGGUAAAGGAAAUUAAUGCAGAUUUUUAUAAAAGAAAAUAAUUUUCUUUUUAUAUUGUAUUUUGAAGUGUGUAAAAAUAUUAAUUUUAUCUUUACGCAUGAAUCAAAUAUGUGUUUUGUAUGAAAAAUAUAUUUUAGCAUUUUCUUUGUUUAUGAAAAAUGAAAAAUUUAGGAGAUAUGAUGUUUUGUUUUGUAAGUUUGAAUUUAUGAAAUAAAGUGUUUGACUCUAGAUUAUAUGACCCUAGUCAACGGAUUAUAAAUGUUGACAUUUUCGAUGCUAGUCAACAGGUUAUAAUAGUUUAUAUUAUAUGACCUAAGUCAACGGGUUAUAAUAAUUGACCUUAUGACCCUAAUCAACAGGUUAUAAUUGUUGACAUUUGGUUUUGUUCACCUUAAAUGGAACAAAUUUGAAACUAAUUACUCAAUUGUGAAGUCUCACCUAAUUGGAAACCAUUUUUCGUAUGAUAAUCAGAGUAAAGAUAUUUUGAAUGUAUUCGAAUUGGUUUUGAUGAUAAAUUGUUUUGAAAUGGAUAUGAAAAAGUUUUGUUGAAAAGUUUGAAUGUAUUAGUAUUUUGAACUCAAAAGUUUUUAUGAAAAUAAGUAUAUGUCAUAUCUCUUGUUUGCAAGUAUGAUUAAAAAUGUUUUAUCCAUGAAACUAUAUUAAUGUUCCUUAUUGGGCUUUGAGUUCAUUCCCUUUUGUGGAUAAUCUUUCAAGUAACCUCAGUUCGGGCGGGGAGUGAUUAUUAAGAGGGAAAUUUGGCUUUAUUAGGACAUUUAUUUAAACUUUCUUUAUUUUGGACAUUGUUUAGAUGUUAAAACUUAAUUCUCGUUUGAAUUAUUUUGAGUUUAGAGUUAUUUGGACAAUAACACUUUAGUUGAUGUAUUAGUUUUUUUUAAAGUUGAUACUUUGAGAUUUUAGAAUUUUGUCAUACUACUUUGAACGGGAAUUUGGUAAUUGGUAAAUUUUUAGUUACAAUACAAAUGUUUGUGUCAUUUCCACUUUGAGUCUUUCGGCUUGAGGUGUAAAAUGACCGUCAUGUCUUUGGAGUGGGUUUUGUGGCGUGAUAGAGUUGUGACAUCCCACACCGGAUAGAGGGGAAAGUUCCUAACACUGUAUAAGUAUGGAUUCCUCUUAAACUUGUAAACUCGUUUUAAAGCCAUAAGGACCCCUUUGGGUUUAAAGUAGACAAUAUCUAUACGGUUGAGAGCGAAUCGUUACAAAUAGUAUCAGAGUUGAUCCUCGACCUCGGUGUGGGGAUUUGUUUGGCCUCGUGGGGGGUGUUUGUCUGUUUGGCCCCGUAAUCCCAUGGGAUACAACAAAGACGUUAUGUCUGCACCGAGUGAGGUGUUUGUGACAUCUCAUACCGGAUAAGGGGGGAAAUUCCUGACGCUAUAUAAGUAUGGACUCCUCUUAACCCUAUAAACACGUUUUAAAGUCGUGAGGGCCCCUUUGGGUUUAAAGCGAACAAUAUCUAUACGGUUAGGAGCGGGUCUUACACAAAGAAUUUUCCACAUCCCAACAAACCUGCUACACUUGCAAACAAGUCAGAAAUCUCAUCACGCUAUCCAUCUCUUAUUAAAAAAUCUAGAGAAAUAAGAAUUUUAGCCCUUGUCCCUUAUUUCAAUGGAAGAAUUCCAAACAUCUGUCAUCUACGCAUUCUUAAAAAUCAACAAAGCAAAAGGUGUGAUGGAAACAACACACAUAAAAGGUUAUCACCGCAUUACCUAUCUUUCCAAAAAAGCACCCUCCACCCAUUACCCACCAUAAAAGAACAUUUAAAUAUCACGAUAUCCCAAUCUUUCUUUAUUACUUUCCACAAUCCAACCCUAUACCCCUUUUUUACCUUCUUUGUUCCCUCUAUUACCUCCUUUGUUCCUCCUGAAUUGAAGGUUAAAAUCACACUUAUUCAUUUGAAGCAUGAGGUGUGUUAGAUUCAAGAUCAUACCUCAUAUCUAGGCCCCAAGUCGCAUGACUGCCUUCACUUUUAUGUAGUGCUGUUUUUUAAUUCCUAAAUUAGUCAUACUUUUCUUAGUUAAUGAAAGCCUAAUGUCAUGAAAAUAUCUUAUAAUCUUUUAUAAUAAUAUAUAUAUGAAUUAAAGGAAAAUAAAAAGGUCAAAAAGUGAAAAUAAAGAGAUAUUGUAAUCCAUAUAUCUAAAGGGUCUUUAAAUGAAAGAUUAAGAAGUACUAAUCUCAAUAAUUCUUUUAGUGAAGGUCCUAUGUCACGAUGAUACAUUUAACGGAAACCGCGUACCAUGCUUUUACCCUUCAAUCAAGGAAGACUAGAGAUUUAAAGAUCCUAACUUAUGGAAAAGUGAUUCAAAUUUAUAUAUCAUGAAUUUAAGUGUUUAAUAUAUCCAUUUUUUCUUUUUAUUUUAUUUUCUUUGUAUUUUUCUAAAAAAAUUUUGGAAAUCGAUCGUAACCGUAAGGAAUGAUACUUUUUGGAGUAAACUUCAAAACACAUUAUUGAAGCAUAAAUAUAGAUCUUAAAAAGCCAAAUUAAUUGCGGAGCAAUCCAAGUUCUUGUCCCACUUCCGUAGUUUAAAAUUUAAGUCCAAUUAUUUGAGGAGCAAUCCAAGUUCUUGUUCCACUCCCGUGGUUUAAAAUUUUGUGGGAGCGUUGAUGCUUCACGAUUACAAAGUUAUUAAAGAUAAAUAGUUUCUAAUUUUAAUAAUAGAAAAUAAUUUUUUUUUAAAUGAGAAAAAAAAAGGUUUGAUGACAAAGUUCGGAUUAAAAAUAAUUUUUUGAGAAUUUGUCAUGAAUAUCUUAUAGAAUAAAUUUGAGCUAUUUUUAAUUAUUAUUAUUAUUUUUUUUACAAAGUGUUAUAAAAAACGAUUAAAGAAAUAAGGAACGCUUUAAAAACAUUGGCAUUAUAUAAAAGUGUAUGAUACAUUUAAGCAAAAAUAAGUUGUGAAAACUGUUUUCUAUAAUUAAACUUUGUAACAAAAUUUCAUUCCUAAACCAAUUAAAAACAAUUUUUAACGCUGUCAAAUAAAUUGUAAUUUUCUUUUUUAAAACCUAGGCGACCAUUCAUGCAACCUUCACAUCCUUGUAGAAAUCAAGUGGGAUUAGCUAAAUGAUUUUAAUAUUAAAACUAUUGGAUGCCAGUUAAUUUUUAUAUAAAAUAGUCAAAACUUUAUCCAAUAAUAUCAUAGUUAAGAUUAUGAAUUUAGACAAGAAGGUUAAAGCCUAACCUAAAUUCUACAAUUUUAUUUAUAUUUUAUUUUUUCUAAGCUUCCCGAUGUAAAGUGGUAUUUCUCCCACGUGAAUUUGAUUGGUUGAUAUCUAAAUUUAUGAAAAAAAAAUUUGUACUUUUCAAAUAAAUUUUUAAAAUAAAAUUUAGAUUAUAAGAGUACGUUUUAUAGUGAUUUUAAAAAGUAUUUUUAAUUUAAUUUUUAAGUAUUAAAAAAUCAAAAACACUUUUUAAAAUAAGUACGAAACACAAUUUAACUCUCUUAAACAUUUGUUAAAAUUGACCUAUCAAUAAAUAAAUUAAAAAGCAAAUAACAAAAAAUUGAUCUCUCUUUCUUUUCUUCUUCUUUUUAUUUUUUAUUUUCAUUGCGUGCAAAUGGGAAUUUAAAAAAAUUACCGAAAGUUUGCGUGAGGUUUUUUAAAUUUUGUUGAAUAUAAGAUUCCCAUUAAGAUAGCGACCAAACACAUGUUAAAGGGCAAUUGCAUCCCCUUGUAAUACGUUUGACAAUAAAACAUCGAGAAGGGUAUCUACGCACCUAGGACUGAUAAUUUAUCAUGGAAAGCUUAUUUUAGUAAGGCGUUCACAUUCUGAAAUAUAAAAUUAUUGAAAUAAACAAGGCAAUAUUGUUGAACGUUGGAUCGAUGAAGCAGCUGACCGUGUUGGAUGUUGGUUAUCCACGCUUAGUCAUGGAAACAGUGACAUUUACGAACUCAGUCUUCUCUCUGGACAUGCGAUCAGCCACAAUCUUUUGGUACCUGCUGAACACUUCCUCUAUUAUUCCAUCACCGAAAUAGCUUACCAGCAAUGGCUCCGCCACUGCUCUCAUCAACUUGGCCACAUUGUACCCACCAUCUUCGUGAGCAUCUGAUGGGCAGAAUUCACCGUGAUACGCGUUCCAGUUGACUUCAGAAGCCUCCAGCCUAUUUAUGGUAAAGGAUCCUUCCUUUUCAACCUCACAUUUUACUUCAGCUGGGGAUGGUGUAUACUGAGGAAUAUUGAAGGAAUCCAUUUUCUCCUCCUCUACGAGCCCCUGCAUUUAAAAAUCUUUAAAUUACAUAUGCUAUUGCUGAAUGAUUUAAUCUAUACAACUUGGCAACAUUAAGGCUUGUAUGAAUUGAAUGUGCACCUCUGCCACCAUAUCGUUGAGAGCCACAGCUAAGAGCUCCCAAAUGUAGCAACAUUCUUUGCUAGAGGGAUCUUCACUUAUUCUUCCUAAAAAUGUUAAAACCAUACUCCCUCCUUCCAGUAGUUCCUCAGACCGACACCUGAGGAACAUGGAGAAAUCGGUUUGGAAUUGCUCAUAGUAUGCUUUAAGCACGCUUGGUGGGCUCGAACUUGCCAUGUAAAUGUUCCCUUUGUUACUCUCCAGUCCUCGAGGAACCUGAUGAACGAUUGAAACUUCUAACUUACAUGCUUUCUUCUUGGUUAAUACUAAAUCAUCAUAAACCAUUAUUUAAUUAAGGGCAAAAAGUCACCUGAGACAGCCAUUGGAGACUGUAAGAAGAAUGGACAAAAUGAAGACUUUUGCCCAGGAAGAGCCUGCCGUAGAAAGAACCUGGAACUCCGGUUACAAAACAUGAUUCAGCGCCUGCUCCCAUUGUUUUCUGAAGAUCUUUUUGGAAAGUGGGCAAGGAUUUGAAAAUGGUGUUGAAAUCAUUCCCCGGCAGAUCAUUCAAAAACACUUGAAUUUCGGGCAAUUCAUGCCCCAUUUUCUUGUGCACCUUGUCCACUGUAGUGACGAAUUCCAAGACUGCAAACAAAGUGUUGGGUCCAGAAGAACAACCCAAGUCUGCGAUACAUAGCCUGGCCGGAAAGUUGUUGCAGAAGAGAUUUGAUAUUGCUUCGUCGGUUAUGGGCUUUGUCAAGGAUAUUACUUUUUUCUGCACCAUUAAAGUAGAGUUUGUUAUUGAAAACUUUUAAAAAAAAACGGCAGUAUGUGACACCUGCAUGACAUAAAAACAAAACAUCGAAAAUACAUGGGUGCUAAUUAUCAAUCAGUAUGUCUCGACUAUACAUUCUUAUUCAAUAAAAGGAAGCAGCUCAUAUAUAUAACAUAUGCAUAAAUAUUGAUGAAGAAUUAAAUUCAGCAAACACACCUGAAGUAGUGAGUUUUGUGCGUAACUGGUAUCCCCAUUUCCUCCCUUCAUGCAAAGCACUUGCACUACUUCCAUCUCUCCCUUCCUCCCUCCUCGCUAAUUGCUCUCCCUCAGUUGGCAAUUGGAAUGUGAAUUGUGUUGAAGGAGAUGCUCCCUAUUUAUAGAGCUUGGAGUCAGGUCGUUGUGGAAUUAAUUAUUUCAUCUUCCAUGAACUCUACUUCCACGGAACCCCGCCAGUCAUUAUUGGUUGAUUAUUCAAGAGAGAAAGUUUUUGGGUUGUUGGGAUACAUAGUCCAAAUUAAAUCGGAAAAUUAACCUCUCCUUCCAAUUUUUGUGAGAAACGACCCACUUGGACACUUCUAUCCCUCUUUCAUCUACUUCCAAACAUUAUCUUCUCACUUAUUUUAUUCAUUAUAUAACACAUUUAUCUAUUUUAUUUUACUUUUUACUUUCAUAACUAUUUUAUUUCUCAAAUAACUUAUUCUCGCUUUCAUUUCAAAUGUUUAUUUAAUUUACAAAUUUAAUAAAUUUUAAUUUUUUAUUAAGGAUGUUCACUUGAACCAUAAGCGAGUUAAAUUUGACUUACAAAAAACUUAGGUGGUGUUUAUUUUUUUGGCUUUUUGCUUAAAACAAUUUAGCUUUAGAAUUUAGGUUGUUUGUUUUUCUAUUUUUUUAUGACUUAUUAUAAAUUUUUUAUUAAAUAGAAAAAGUCAAAAUAUGUAGCUUUUUCUAAAUAGAAAAAUAGUAUAUUGAUUUUUUUUACUUUUUAAUACUUAAUAGAAAUAAAAUACUACAAAAACAAACAAUCUAAUACUUAACACUAUUAAGUAUUAAGGUUCUAUUUAGAAUUAAGUAAAAAAACAAACACCACCUUAAUUAAGAUUAAAAUUUUCAAUUAUAAUAGAAACCUAAAUUAUAUCAUAAUUAAAUUUUAUUUACAAGUAAUUUAACUAGGGUUAAAAUUUCAUUUUAACUAAAAAUUAAUAACUUGAUUAUAAAGACGUAAACUAUAUAUAUUGUUGUUAAGUUUAAUUAAAAAGAACUUAAUUAAUGUUAAAUUUUUGUUUAAUCUAUAAAAAAAAUGUUUAAGAUUAGAUUCUUAAUUAAAAUAUUCAUCUGAACUAUAAAAAAUCCCAACAAAAAAAACUGUAAGAACAACCAAAAAAAACUUCAACCAAAAUCCCAACACAAAAGAAUCUCAACCAAAAUCCCAUCUGACAAAAAGCCCUAAUAAAAAAUAAUUACAAAAAACCCUACCUAAAAAUAAGUAUAAAAUAUCCUAACCAAGAUGUCACUGUUAAAAACCUAACCAAAAUCCCAACAAAAAAAACAUCUAUAAAAAACCACAAUAAAACAUCAACUAAAAAAAAUUAUAAAAAAUCUCAACAAAAAAAUUGCAAAAAUCCAAACAAAAAAAAUCACUAUAAAAAAAAUCACAAAAACCCUAACAAAAAAAUAAAGAAGAAGAUGAACGAUGUUAAGAAAAAGAAGGAUGAGAAAGUUGUGGCUGAUUUUUAUGGGUUGAUCUUUGUUAUGGAUUUUUUUAGAAAAUUCAUUCCCGAAGAAAACUAGUUUCAGAAAUGAGAGGGAAAUGUAAUUUUUGAGGAAAUAAAAAGGAUAAUAAUGUCCAAAAUAUGUCAUUUUUUCAAAGAAUAAAUGGGAGAUUAUUUUUCCAAUUUCAGAAGUAUCGGAACACUGAUGCUACAUGGUGGGUAGGACUCCUAACAUGCAUCUACCAGAACAGACUAUACGCAAUAUAACGCGCCUCAUGGCAUGCCGUUCGCCAAUGACUCGUGUGUCCCCUUAUGGUUCAUCUCCAGUCCUGGAGGCCUCAGGCUACCUACUGAAAGAGCAACAAGUAAAUCCUAUUGGUCAGAUGGGGAGGAUCCUACAUGAUAGCGUGAGGUUCGUUUUACAGUAUUCUAGCUUAAUACAAUAUGUUUAAGAAAAAACUAAAAUUAUUUGUCACUCCUAGAUUUGUAUGUCAAACUAACAUUACAUAGAAACAGAUUAAUAAAUCAGUCCAUGUGUAGCUGGCGUUUCAUCAGGUACUGAUCAUUAUUGGGCGGUGUUGGCUUCAUAUAUUAAAAUGAUGACACGUACCAAGCGAAAUAAGAUAAGUUCUAGCUUUUUCCUAUUAAAAAAAUGUGACGUUGAUGUUUCAUAUGAUUCAUAUAUAUCUACUCAAAUAAUUACACACACAAAAAAAAUUAAAAUUAAAAUUAAAAUUAAAAUGGGUCUACUUACUUCCUUUGCGUACACGAAAUUUAAAGCAAGUGACAAUUGACAAAAACAAUACUCGUAGCGUGGCCAUGAAACACGAUGCUGAAAAAGUAGGGGUAGUAGAAGGUGACGCUGGGUGCAUGAGUUGGCCACUAGUAUUACCAUAGCCCGGUCCGCUUAAAACAAAUUGGGAUUAGAUACAGCAGCCACAGAAUACUGAUGGUAGCGUGACGCUUUCUUAACAACCCUGCAAACGUUUCUUAGCUGACGUUUCCAUGCAUGACGCAGCCUCAUUUUUUCUUUAACAUAAUGUGAAGACCAUGUCCUUGCCGUCUCUUUCAAAAUAAUAUUCAAUCAAAGAUGCCGACCGACUGAAUUACUUUAGUUGAAAAAUAGGUAUGUAUAAAAAGCUAUGCGCUUGUAGGAAAGACCUGAUCCACCGAAUGGACCAGGUCUAGUUCUGAUCCCAUGAAUAUUAGUGUAUCAGUUGGCAUCUUAUUUUGGUUAAUAAUUUUUUUUUCAUUUAUUCUAAGGAAAACUAGUUUUCUUCAAUUAAGCCAGAUAAUUAUCCUUUUCUACAGUGUUUUCAUAACAAUGGGAGGUACAAAGACAGUGUGAGAAAUCUUAAUUUGAAUCCAAUUUCUAUCAUCCAAAAAAUAAAUCAAUGACCGCCCAUCUUACAAUCAUUUUGAAUGAUCAAUUGACACACAUUAUGAUAUCCAUAAAUAAGAACGAGUAAACACGUGUUUUUUGACAACUACAUAGUUCCUUGGUUGAGGAGCCUAAUGUGAUACCUAAAUUAGCCUUCACAAUUAAUUCAACCAUGAGGUGUAGGUUCUAAAGGCUUUCAAAGCCAAGGUGACUAACUAGUUAGUAGGUGUGACACAUAUUUUUCACAUGCAUCUUUAUGCAAUGGCUAGAUUGUUACAUUGGAUUUGGAAAAUAAUUUAUGUUUUGGGGUGACUAUUAUUUAUUUAAAAUUUGAUUUUUAUUUGUUUUUGUAAUCACCCUUAUUUUAUUUAUUUUUUAAAGCAAAAAAUAAAACAAUAAAGAAAAAUAUCAAUUAAUAAUAGAAAAAACAUAUUAACAGAUGGAGAAUGGAUUAUGGGGUCAAGUUAUCUUGUGGGAAGGUAUUAGGAAUGUCAAUAUGGCAUGAUUAUAACAUAUUUGUUGGGAGUUAAUAGAAAUUCUAGAGAGUAUUCACUUGCAAAUGUUUAACAAAUCCUCCACAAUAAUAACAAUCUCCCAAGAGAGAACAAUAAUAGUGUAAGAACAUCCAAGUAAAAUGAGACCAAAUAUAACAUGGAAAAAUCCUCCUAAGAGAGAUAAAAAACUAUGGAAAAAAUUUCUUCUAAUUCGAUAAAAAUAGAACACAAAUAAAUUCCCAUUAGUUUAUUCAUCUUGAUAACUAGUUGAAAUAUAUAUUAAUUUUGAGGUGGAAUCCAUCACCUUAAAAAAAACAAAGAUCAUAGGAAAAGAAUAAAAGUGUUAAGAUAGAGUUAUUGAAAGUAUAACAUGAUGUAACAAAAUAAAAUUUCAUUAAUAUAUUUAUUUACUAUGAUUUCUAGUUCUCAUUUUAUAUUUUUUAUUACAUUAAUUAGUUGUUUAAACAUUUACACAUAUAUCACUUAUAUUGUACAUGACUUUAUUGUAUUAAGAGUUGUAUAAAUAAUUCAAGUCAUGAGUUCCUUAUAAGAUGAUGAGAAGUUCAUAAUUGGUUUGUGAAAUUAAGCAAUUUGUAAAAGAAUAUAGUGCACUACUUUCUAAUUAGAGAGAUUACUUGUUUUGAUCAUCAUGAUAGUUUUUUUAUGAUUAAUGCACUAGUAUGCAUAAUUACAUAUUAGACAAGGGUUAUGAUGAAUCAUGACUUUGGUUAUUAGGUAAUCAUAGGUCAUCAAAUUACUGUGUUACAUAGGUUCUCAAUCUUAGAGAAUGUGAACUAGAAGCAUGAACUAAGUGCUUAUCUGCAAAUGUGUGCAUUUAUGUACAACAUUGAAGCAAUACCACAACAAGGAUUUUAUAGCAUGGGUUGAGUAGGAUAUUGAAGUAUAGGAAGGUAGCUAGACCUUUUUAGAGAAUUAUUCUUGGUAUUGGAAAGGGUACUUACCCAUGGCAUGAUAAUUGGCAUCCAAUAGACAAUUUUUCUUUUAGGUUUUCUCUAAGAAAUUUUCAAGUCCUUAAUCCUGAUCAAGCAAAAGUGGACUCUCUAAUAACUAAAGGGACUUGAAAAUAGUCAAUUGGUAGAGGAGUUUAUGCCAACGUUGGGGGUAUCAUUGAUACUAUUCUAGCUUAUUUUUUACCUUAGUUGCAAUAAGAAGAUGAUCAAGUUUUCUUGACACCCACAAUUCACUACAUCUUCCUAUUCAACUGAGUAUUUUAGUAUGAUUAAUUAUACAUGUACAUUAGGCUUGACAAUCCAAGAUGUACUCUUUUGAUAUGUAUCUAAUUUAACUUUUAAUUCAAAGUUCAUUAUACUUUUCUUUUUCUAAAAGAUGCAAAGACUUUUUUUUUUUUUUUUCACAUUAUCAUGAUUAUUUAAAAAAAAAAUAGCCUUUAAACAUAACAAAAGCUUGAAUUAAAAGUUAAAAUAAGGAGCAUUCAAUUGAAGCAUGAGGUGUUAGAUCGACACCUUAUCUGCAUCAUAUCUCAUGUCUGGACCCCAUGUUGAAUUAUUGCCUUCACUUCCUUUUUUUUUUUUUUUUUUUGUUCUCUUUAUUUCCUUUGGUAGUGAUACUCCUUUUCUUAGUUAAUGAAAACUCCUUUGGUACUGAUAUUCCUUUUCUUAAUGAAAACCCAAGUGUCAUGAGAAUAUCUUCUAAUUUUAUAUAAAAUAUAUAUAAAGGAAAGAAAAUGCCCUUGUACGAUUAUAUUAAUUUUUCUCAUAGCUCUUCCUAGUCUAAAGUAUUAUUUUUCCGUAAGCAUUUGAUUGGUCAGUAUCUAAUUAAAUUUAUUAAUGAAAAUUUUAUGCUUCCCAAAUUAAUUUCUAAAAUGAGACGGACAUGAUGAGAUUAUUUAAAAAGAGAGUCUCUACAUAAAUAGGGUUGAUAAUUGAUCAUGGAAAGCUUAUUUAGUAAGACGUACAUACGUGCUCUGAAAUGUAAAAUUAUAAUUGAAGCAGCCAUUUUGAAAGAUGGAUCGAUGAAGCAGCUGACCGUGUUGAAUGUUGGUUAUCCACGCUUAGUCAUGGAGACAGUGACAUUUACGAACUCAGUCUUCUCUCUGGACAUGCGAUCAGCCACAAUCUUUUGGUACCUGCUGAACACUUCCUCUAUUAUUCCAUCACCGAAAUGGCUUACAAGCAAUGGCUCCGCCACUGCUCUCAUCAACUUAGCCACAUUGUACCCACCAUCUUUAUGAGCAUCUGAUGGGCAGAAUUCACCGUGAUACGCGUUCCAGUUAACUUCAGAAACCUCCAGCUUACUUAUGGUAAAGGAUCCUUCCUUUUCAACCUCACAUUUUACUUCAGCUGGGGAUGGUGUAUAUUGAGGAAUAUUGAAGGAAUCCAUUUUUUCCUCCUCUAUGAGCCCCUGCAUUUAAACAUCGUUAAAUUACAUAUGCCAUUGCUGAAUGAUUUAAUCUAUACAAAUUUGGCAACAUUAAGGCAUGUAGAAAUUGAAUGUGCACCUCUGCCACCAUAUCGUUGAGAGCCACAGCUAAGAGCUCCCAAAUGUAGCAACAUUCUUUGCUAGAGGGAUCUUCACUUCUUCUUCCUAAAAAUGUUAAAACCAUACUCCCUCCUUCUAGAAGUUCCUCCGACCGACACCUGAGGAACAUGGAGAAAUCGGUUCGGAAUUGCUCAUAGUAUACUUUAAGCACGCAUGGUGGGCUCGAACUUGCCAUAUAAAUGUUCCCUUUGUUACUCUCCAGCCCUUGAGGAACCUGAUGAACAAUUGAAACUUCCAACUUACAUACUUUCUUCUUGGUUGAUAAUAAAUCAUCAUAAACCACUAUUUAAUUUAGAGCAAAGAGUCACCUGAGACAACCAUUGGAGACUGUAAGAAGAAUGGAUAAAAUGAAGACUUUUGCUGGGGAACAGCCUGCCGUAGAAAGAACCUGGAACUCCGUUUAUGAAACAUGAUUCAGCUCCUGCUCCCAUUCUUUUCUCAAGAUCCUUUUGGAACCUGGGCAAGGAUUUGAAAAUGGUGUUGAAAUCAUUCCCCGGCAGAUCAUUCAAAAACACUUGAAUUUCGGGCAAUUGACGCCCCAUUUUCUUGCCCACCCUGUCCACUGUAGUGACAACUUCCAAGACCGCAAACAAAGUGUUGGGUCCAGAAGAACAUCCCAAGUCUGCGAUGCAUAGGCUGGUCGGAAAUUUGUUGCAGUAAAGAUUUGUUAUGGCUUCCUCGAUUAUGGGCUUUGUCAAGGAUAUUACUUUUUUCUGCACCAUUAAAGUGGAACUUUGUCAUUGAAAACUUUUUAGAAGAACGGCAGUACAUGAUACCUGCAUGAUAAAAAGACAAAACAUCCAAGUGCAUGGGUGCUAGUGAUCAAUCAGCAUGUCUUGACUAUUCAUUCUUUAAUUUAAUUGAAGGAAACAGUUCAUAUGUAUGAUAUAUACAUACCAGCUGAUGCAUUAGGAUUGACGAAGAAAUAAAUUUAGAAAGAGACACACCUGAACUAAUGAGUUUUUUGCGUAACUGGUAUCCCCAUUUCCUCCCUUCAUGCAAAGCACUUGAACUACUUCCAUCUCUCCCUUCCUGCCUCUUUGCUGAUUGCUCUCUCUCAGUUGCAAUGUGAAUUGUGUUGAAGGAGAUGCUCACUAUUUAUAGAACUUGGAAUCACAUCGUUGUGGAAUCAAUUAUUUCAUCGUCUAUGUACUCUACUUUCACGUAACCCCCCCGAUGGUCAUUGUUGGUGAUAAUUCAAAAGGAAUGUAAUACCCCCAAACCCAAUUUAGGGGUAAAUUUAUAAUUUAGAAAUUAAUUAAUUAAUUAAUUAAAUUAAUUUAAUAACGGUAAAAAAAGUCUUUUCGUUUUUAAAAGCUUCAGUUAUAAAAUUACUUUUUUCCUAUCUUUUUUAUUCAAAAAAACCCUUUUUCAUGAAGACCGUAAAUACCAAAGAGUAUAGGGUUAAAGAUUUGGAGGUUUAGGGUUUGAAAAUCAAAUUUUUAGGUAAGAUUUUAAUCCUCGAAUUAGUAUUUUAUAUUCGUUAAUUAGAUCUGAAUACUUUCAAAAUCACAAUCUAAAUUAGGGUUUGUUUAUUUAAUUUUUUAGAUCAAAAGAUUGGAAAUUUAUUAAUGUACAUUAAUUUAUUAAUGAAAAUAGGAAAAUUUCACUUGAAUAGAAAAUAAAUAAAUAAAUAGUGGAAGAUGAGAAAUUUUAGAUUUAGAAAAUAAAUCAAUAAAUUGUUUGUGGAGGCUUUAGAUCGGAAAAACUAAAUAAUAAGAAAAAUGAUUGCAUGUUUCUGGAUUUUAGAAUUUGAGGAACUAUGUAGCGACAAUUUGAGAAAAUAAUAAUAAUAAUAAUAAUAAUAAUAAUAAUAAUAAUAAUAAUAAUAAAGAAAAGAAGAACAAAUACGAGCGGAUUAUUGAGUGACAAAAAAAAAUAAUAAUAUACAACCAUCAGAAAUAAUAAUAAUAAUAUAUGGUGACUUGGAGUAAUAGUGUUACUGGUAAUUGAAAGAAAUAAUAAUAAUAAUAUAUUGUGAAGUCUCAUCUAAUUAGGCACUAUUUGUUAUUUAAUAACCAGAGUAAAGAUAUUUUGAAUGUAUUUAAUUUCCUUUUGAUGAGAAAUUAUUCUGGAAUAGAUAUGAGAAAGUUUUACUGAAAAGUUUUUAUGAAAAUAAUGAUAUAUUGUAUCUCUGAUUUGUAAUUGUAAUUGAAAAUGUUUUAUCGAUGAAAUUGUAUUGAUGUUCUUUAUUAAGUUUUAAGUUCAUGCCUCUUUAUUGAUAAUUUUUCAGAUACUCUCAGAUCGAAUGAGGAGUGAUGGUUAGGUUGGAGAAUUUUUCUUUAUUAGGAUUUUAGUUCAAAUUUUAUUUUAGAUGUUAAAAUUUAAUUUCCAUUCGAAUUAUUUGAAUUUAGAGUUAUUUGGACAAUAACACUUGGAUUGAUAUGUUGGUUUAAAAGUUGAGAAUAGAAUAUUUUAGAAUUUUUAUUUGAACAUAAAUUUGAUAAUUAGUAAUUAAUAAUUUUCAAUGACAAGAUGAAUGUUUGUAGUUUGAAUCUUCAGUUUAGGUGUGAAAUGAAUUGGAAAAUUCUAGGGUACCUCUUCGGUACCUACCGAAAAAGUUUUUCAAGCUAUUGGAUGUCCAAGAUUACAUCUUGGGCAUCCAUUUUAAAUUUGAAAUAAAAAUUCCACUUAACCAGUUAAGGGAAGAACGGGAUGUGGCAUUCUUUCUUCCUCCAUUCUCAACAAUUUUGGGUUUAAAUAAAAUAAAUAUUAGAUAAAAAUAGAAUUGGAAAAAAAAUAAAAAUAAAAAUAAUAUAAAAUUUGAAAACAUAUUUAUUAACAAAAAAAAUCAUCAUAUAUCAUAAUUACAUUAUUUUAUUUCUAACAAAUUAUUAAACAUUUAAAUUCAACAUAAAAAUGAAUAUGGUAAUAUUUUAAUAUGAAAUGAGUAUUUUCAUAAAAAUUCAACAUUUUGAUAAUCAUAUGUAAAGCUUAGGUAAUUAGAUCGUCCUAAUUUUUUUCCGUACUCUCCAAAUUUUACAUUUUUUGAAUUUAAGGUUUUUAAAGUUAAAUUACAAUAAAAUAAAUUACUAAUACUCUUUUAAGUUACUAAUGAUAGUAUUUUCGAAAAUAAAUUUGUAAUUUCAAAAAUUUUUAAACUAAAAAUCAAUAUGAAAAAUGUGAUAAAAGUAUCAAACAUGUAUUUAUCACAUUUUUCCUACCGUUCUCAUAUUUUUCGUACCCUAAAUUAUUUAUAUUUUUAAAAUUUUAGAUUUACUUUUUAACUUGAAAUAACAAUAACAUAGUUUAAUAAUAUUAUUUUGAGUUAUUAUUGAUAGAAUUAUUAAAAAAAAUAAGAAUUAAAAUUUUUUUAAAUUAGAAAUAAUGUAAAUUAUCCUAAAAAAUUAGAAAAUUAAAAGUUCAUACCAUCUCUUACAAAAUUCUUACCCUGUCUUAGAAAGUUCAUACCUUGUCUUAGAAAGUUCGUACCCUUUCUUACAAAGUUCAUACCCUCUCUUACAGAGUUCGUACCCUCUCUUAGAAAAUUCGUACCCUAUCUUAGAAAGUUCGUACAAUCUCUUAGAAAGUUCGUACCAUCUCUUAGAAAGUUCGUACCAUCUCUUAGAAAGUUCAUACCUUCUCUUACAAAGUUCGUACUCUCUCUUACAAAGUUUGUACCAUCUCUUACAAAGUUCGUACCCUCUCUUACAAAGUUCAUACCCUGUCUUAAAAAGUUUGUACCAUCUCUUAGAAAGUUCGUACACUCUCUUACAAUGUUCGUACCCUCUCUUACAAAGUUCGUACCCUCUCUUAGAAAGUUCAUACCCUUUCUUACAAAGUUCGUACCCUAUCUUACAAAGUUCGUACCCUGUCUUAGAAAGUUCAUACCUUGUCUUAGAAAGUUCUUACCAUGUCUUAGAAAGUUCGUACCCUCUCUUAGAAAGUUCAUACCCUAUCUUAAAAAGUUCGUACCCUCUCUGACAAAGUUCGUGCCAUCUUUUAGAAAGUUCGUACCCUUUCUUAGAAAGUUCGUACCAUCUCUUAGAAAGUUUGUACCCUCUCUUAAAAAGUCCGUACCUUAUCUUAGAAAGUUCGUACCAUCUCUUACAAAGUUCAUACUCUCUCUUACAAAGUUCGUACACUGUCUUAGAAAGUUCGUACCAUCUCUUAGAAAGUUCGUACCCUUUCUUACAAUGUUCGUACCCUCUCUUACAAAGUUUGUACCCUCUCUUAGAAAGUUCAUACCCUCUCUUACAAAAUAUUGAUGACAAUUUCAUAACAAAUGACUAAAUGCUCUCAAUUUGAUUAAUAAUAACUUAGAAAAAAAUUAAAAAAUCUAGAUGUUAUAAAUCAUUACAUAUUUAAAUGUCAUUUAACAUGACAUUUCUACCUACAAUAGUUAUAUGUAAAUGGAAAAAAAAAUUCAAAUGUUACCUUUUAACACUUGUAAACACUUGACAUCCUUCAAGACAUAUAAAGCUUUAUCUUCAAAUUUAAUCUAUGAACAAAAAAAAAAUUAUAUAAAAAUAUUAAUAACAAUUUGAUAACAAAAUUUUAUAAUAAACUCAUAAAAAAUUCUAAAAUUGUUAUUUAACAUCACAUUUCUUCCUACAACAUUUAUAUUUGGAUAAAAAAAAUAUCAAAUAUUACCUUUGACACUUGUGAUCACUUGAAAUCCUUCAUCUUCUUCAUAUAAUACAAAUUUUAAAUUUUCUUUCUCAAAAAGUUUUAAACUUGAUCUUAAAAUUUGAUUCAUCAAAAUACAUCUUACAUAUUUUGUAAUUUAGUAGUUGAAAUUAUUUAAUUUUCAUAUUAAAUUACUAUCCUUUUUUUUUAUAUAUAAAUAAUGAGAGUAUAAGAGUAGUUGGUAGGAUUUUCUUUUUUUAGAUAGAGUUAGGUAAUGCUUUAAAUAACAAAUUAUAUUUGAUAUUUAAUAAUAAAUUAUAAAAAAGUUGUAAUAUUUAGAUAUAUAUGAAAUGCAUGUGAUUAUUUCUCACCAACAAGUCAUCUUUAUCGGUUUGAUAAGUUUUUAUAAAUUUUUUAAUGAUAUGUACUUUACACAUGUCAUCUUUUUAUUGGGGUCAAAUGUGGGUAGGUACCCCCAAAAUGAAGAGCGGGUACCAUAUCUAUUAUUACUCUGGAAUAGAUAUGAAAAAGUUUUACUGAAAAGUUUUUAUGAAAAUAAUGAUAUAUUGUAUCUCUGAUUUGUAAUUGUAAUUGAAAAUGUUUUAUUCAUGAAAUUGUAUUGAUGUUCCUUAUUAAGUUUUAAGUUCAUGUCUCUUUGUUGAUAAUUUUUCAGAUACUCUUAGAUCAAAUGAGGAGUGAUGGUUAGGUUGUAGAAUUUUCUUUGUUAGCAUUUUGGUUUAAAUUUUAUUUUGGAUGUUAAAAUUUAAUUUCCGUUCGAAUUAUUUGAAUUUAUAGUUAUUUGGAUAAUAACACUUGGAUUGAUAUAUCGGUUUAAAAGUUGAGAAUAGAAUAUUUUAGAAUUUUUAUUUGAACAUAAAUUUGAUAAUUAGUAAUUAAUAAUUUUCAAUGACAAGAUGAAUGUUUGUAAUUUGAAUCUUCCCUUUAGGUGUGAAAUGAAUUUCAUGCCCUUGAAGUAGGUUUUAGGCCGUGACAAGGAAAGUUCUUCAACUGACACCACUGAUGGGUAUUAUUCCUUAUAUUCAUCAGUACAGACUAAAAACAACGGAGAAACAACAAAAAUAAUGCUAAUAAUGCGUGCAUGAAACACGAUGAUGAAAAGUAGCACAAAGUGAAGGUGGGUGCAUGAGUUUUCCGCUUGGACCAGGAUAGCCUGCUUAAAACACAUUGGGGUUAGACAUCAGCCACAGAAUACUGGACGUGUCAGCGGAGCAUGACGCUUUCUUAGCAACCCUGCACAUAUUUCUUAGGCCAUGUGAUAUCUUCCAUAAUCUGAGCCACAUAAACAAGUGUCUGAGUGCAGCGAGUGCAUUCUAUUCCGGCAGGAAGAUGCCCCACAGUCUUUACAUAAUGGUUUGUGGAAACGAAUGAGGACCUUAUAUUCUGAUAAAAAUAUCGGCCAGCUAGCACUGUUUGGAUACAUGGCCGAACACUUCUUUUGGGAAUUAAUUUCCAUUAGUAAUUGAAGAGACAGAAAAAUGGCCUAGUACUUCUUCCCAAUAAUAAUGCCAAGGGAUGAAAAAAAAAAAGGCAAGAUGGCCAAAUACUGAAAAGAUUUUAGCACAGUUGAACCAAACCGAUCUAACUCUUCUAUCACAACGCCUCCAAUGCUAUAGUUACUAUUUUCCACGACAAAUUUUAGCUGCUGAAAGAGACAACUUAAUGAGAGAACUCUCAUUAGAAUUGAGUCAUCAACUUUCAUUAAGCAUAUUUCCGAAAUGUUGUCUCAUGAAUUGAAUGGUAUGCUUGGAUUAGGUGGUUCAAAGGAAGGACUUGGUCAGUUUCUUAAAUAAUCCAUGAAUUAAAUCAAAUUAAUCAAAUUUGAUAAUAUUAAACAGAUUAUUAUAGCAAACUGACUCGAUUUAACAUUUUGGUUUGCUUUGUUCCUUUCAUUCGUUUUGAGCUAAAAAUUGAUCCUUUCAGUCUUUUCAUAUUUCAUAGAUGGAUUGUAGGCUCCAUUUCUUAGGAGCAUAAGAUUUUUUGUUUUACGUGGAAAUCUUAUUUUUAUUCAUCUCUAAUGACCCAAGAGAAGAGAUCCAAUGUUCCAAACAAUCAAAGACGUUCACGAAGGAAAACCAUUCCAAAAGAGUAAGUUUUUAAAAAAAAAAAUUAAAAAGAAGUAUAGGUUUUAAUUUUUGUUUGUAUAAAUCUUUUCCUAUUUCAUAGAUGGAUUGAAGGCUCCAUUUAUUAGGAGUAUAAGAUUUUUUGUUUUACGUGGAAAUCUUGUUUUUAUUCAUCUCUAAUGACCAAAGAGGAGAUCCAAGCAAUCAAAGACUUUCACGAAGGAAAACCAUUCCAAAAGAGUAAGUUUUUUGGUUGAAAAUGUUCAGAAUCCAUAAAAGAAGCACUCUUGAAUUGGAGAUACAAGCAUGGACGCUCAAACGUUAUAACCAAUAUUGCUCGAGUGCUCCUUAAGGCACUCAAGCGCUCUCAAUGGAAACAAUAUGGUUUUUAGGGUUUUUCUGAGUUCCUAACCCUAAUUUUUUGUUAUAAGGAUAUUUUGAUAAUUUUAAUGUUUUUGGAAUUUCCGGAUUCCAAAUUUUAUUACCAAAAUCUAUAACAAGAUCCCUAAAGGCAAUUAGAAUUUUAAUUAAUUUCCACAUUUGUGUUUUUGGGUUUUUUACAUAUGUUUAUUAUAUAUGACAUGUUUGGCAUAGAAAUGAGUUUUUUCAGUAAAUCUUAAUAAGAAAUAAAUUUUUAUAAAUUGACUUUCCAAAUAUGAAUACUUUUUUAAAUUUGAAAAUGUAAGAAACUAAGAAAAUAUUUUUAUAGAAAGAUUUUAAGAGGAUUAAGAGCAAUUUAUUUCCUUUUAUAAAAUUAAUUCUUAAAGAUUUUAUCUUUAAAAUCUUCCCUAAAUUUUUGAGAUAUUUAGGAAUAUUUUUUUUAUUUAAGAAAAGUGCUCUUAUUUUCUAUAUAAAAUGGGAUUUUCCUUAUUUGCAUAAGAUUCCAUUUUAGAGUGAGUACUUUUUGAAAAUUCAUGAUGAAUAAUUUAUUAUUAAGAAAGCUACCAAAAACAGUUGUGAAGAGAUUAUGGGAAUAAAAUUCUUUGCCAAUAUGAAAUAUUUACUAAAUUGGAAAUAAUGUAUGAAAAAAAAAUGAGAAUUUUAGGAAAAUGAAAUUUUAAAUUUUAAGAGCUUAUUUUAUUUUCAAAUUAAUUUUUAAAUAAGGCACCCUCAUGGAAAAUUUUAAAAAUUUUCAAAGAUACUUUCUCCUUUUACAUUAAGGUUCUAAUAUAGGAAAUAGAUAUUUUUAGAAAAUUUUCAUAGAGGAUAUUUUAUUCAACAAGAAAUUACUAAGGUUAAAGCUCUUAAUUAUUCUAAAAGAUUAAGUUGGAUAGGAUCUUAGCAAAACCCACAAUCUUCAUUAUUAAACUCAUCUUGAUUUUGGAUCACCACUACCGUAAUAGUGCAUUAGGUAAAAGGAAUUAAGGGAUAUGAACUUUCCAUUUGGACAAAAGUAGACAUAUUUGUGGUGGGAGCAACCACUCCAAUGGUGGGUUCUUCACUUAGUAACAUUGAUGUCAAGGAUAAUGAUUAUAUAGUUAACUUGGAUAUGAAGUGAUUGAAUUGUCCACUAUUGUCUCCCUUUCUAAGUCUAAAGGCUAAAUAAAAAUUAUAUGUUGAUCUUAAGGUUAAAUAUGAUAGGAAAAUCAAUCUAAGAGGGUCUUUACUUAAUAAUAAGAUCAUGACCUACUCAACAAGGGCUUGAUUCUUGUGAUACUAGGACACUUAGCAAAAGACAUUAGUAAAAUGUGUAACUCAAGAAUUUGCUCCAAAUACCCUAAUGAACAAUCCUUACAAGAAGAAAGGAAUGCUUAUCAUAGAUGACAUAAGGCAGAUUAGAAGACCAAGUUUAUUAUACUUAGGUCUUUGGAUAAUGUGUUACAAUAGUAACACGUCUUAUGCCAUAACUUAUGAUAUUCUCUUCAGUUUGUAAGAGAUGUGUGGUGACAAAAGUAGGUCAUCUAGACAAACUACCCUAAGGACUAUCAUGAACACCAAAAUGAUGAAAGGAACUCUUGUUAGAGACUAUAUGAUAUAUAUGAUCAUACUCUUCAAUGAGAAGGAAUUAUUUAGAGUUAAGAUUAAUAAGGAAACCAAAGUCAAUAUGAUCAUAGAGACCUUGUCAACUUCCUUCAAGUAGUUCAAGGUGAACUAUUUUGUGAAUAAGUUGUUGAUGAACUUACUAGAGUUUAUAAGGGAACUCUAGAUAGCUAAGAGGAUUCUCAAAUAUCAAAAGGGUUUUCACAUGGAAUUUAAGGAUUCUUCGAGGUCUUCUACCAAGAAGAAGAAGAACAAAUAUGGAAACACCAAGUAAUGAUGUAAGUUUAGGUGAGGAAAAGAAAGAGUAAAGAAAAUAGUAAGUGCUUCCUUUGUCGAAAUAAAGGCUACUAGGAAAAGGAGUGCCUUGAAUUCCUCUUAAUUGAAUCAUGUUUAGUGAUACAUUUCACAUAUUCUUAGUGGAUAGAUUCCAGGGCCACUAACUAUAUCUAUAAAUUUGUAAUUUUUUACAAGGUUUCAAUUAAGGAAAAGGCUGAAUGAUAGGAACAUGUGCUUGAUUGUAGCUUCUAAUGUAAGGAUAGUUGUACAGAAAGUGUGAGAUAUUAUCUUAGUCUUAGAGAAUAAGAGUCUUCUAAAGCUUAAAGAUUGCCGAUAUGUUCCUAAUUAUACAAAAAAAUUGAUUUCAAUUUCUAGUUUAUGUAAAUCAAAUUGUUCAAUGUUUUUAAAUAAACAAGUUAUUAUUAAAAUAAAUUAUUCAUUUAUAUGCUUAAGAUCAUUAGUUGAAAGUCUUUAUCAUGUGACUUCAUUAUUACUAUUGCCAAGUAAUAAGAAUAAUCAUAUCUCACUAAAAAGUAACAAACCUAAUAGUAAUCAAACUUAUGUUUGACAUUUACAUCUUGAUCAUAUUAAUCAAAAUAGGAUCUAAAGAUUGAUCAACUCAGGAUCAUUGGACAUUUUGAUUCUAGAGGAUCUUCCAGUUUGUAAAUCCUAUAUAGAAUAUAAAAUGAUUGAAAAAAUCAUUUAUUAUUAAAGGAUAUAGAGCCAAAGAAUGUUUGUAGUUAACGCAUAUUGAAGUAUGUGGACCUUUUAAUAUUCAUGCACAAGAGGGUAUAAGUAUUUCAUCACCUUUAGUUUGGAUUUAUUUACAUAAUAUAUAGAAAACCCAAUGCCUUGAAGAUAAAUUGAUUGAAUUUAAGGUAGAAUUAGAGGAUCAAUUAAGCAAACACAUGAAGGCAUAUUGAAAUUAUAUAAGAAGUAAUAAUAUAUCUUUUGAAAUUGUUUUGUUGAAAAAAUUGAUUUAUAUAAUAUAAUUUGUCAUGUGCAACAAUAAUAUCAUGUUCGUCAAUAAGAAAUAUGAAUUUUAUAAGUGUACAUUCAUUAUUAAGUUACAUUAAAUAUUAUUUAAUAAUAAUAUUGUAACAUUUGAUAAUAAUACGUAAAAUUUGAAAACAUAUUUAAUAUUAAAAUUUUGAUAUAUUUAAUUCAAAUAUAUUCAAUAAUAGAAAAUAAAUGGUGAUAUAUGUAUGAUAUCUUGAUUUAUAAUUUUUUAUUCUUAACAACCAAUUAAAUGAAAUUUAAAAAUAAAAUAAUUAAAAUUAAUUGAUUUUAUUAUCUUAUUUUUUCCAUAGAUAUUUUUAUAUGUACUUAUUAAAAUUAAUUUAAUUAAAGCUAAAUUUAAAUAAAUAAAAAAAACAAUAAUAUAAUAUAUAAUUGUAUUUACAUCUUUGCCAUAAGAUGGAAGUGGCAUAGUUGAUUACCUACUUAGGAACCAGCUAAGAAAACCAGGUUUGAAUCAUUUGGUAACAUCUUUUGGGCAUUUGACUAAGAAUUUGGUAAUUGUUGACUUGCACCAAUUUUAUCGUAGAAAAAUCCUGAUAAAUCAGGACAUAAUUGAUAAAUCCAGAAAAAUUACCAGUAAUUUUGAAAAUUUUUGAAAAAUCGAAAAAUGGAUAUAUCCUACCUUGAUAUCAUAUCGUGACAUUUGGUUCAAAGUAAAUAAUUAUUUUCUCACAAAUUUUUUUAAGUUUGUGUAUCUUUAUUUCUAUUUUAUAUAAAGAAUAAAAAAAAAAUUUUAAAUGUAAAAUUUUUCAAAUAAUUUUCCUUUUUAUUUUCUAUUAUAAACCGAAGAAGAAUGGGUUCCUAUCCUAGGAGGAUACAACUAUUCUAAGGAUUGUCAUGACCCUAGACUUUAACUAAUUAAUUUACAAACUUACAGAUGGUAAAAAUCUCAUUGAAGAUGACAUUGCCUGAACUAUCAUAUGAGCUAGUUGUUGAGUGAGAGGGUGAUUAGCCUAGUUGUUAGUACCCCUAAAGAGAAAAAUACAGACCCUUUAUCGUGAGUGCAUGCAAGGCACAUAUAUGCCCAUUCAGUUUUGAAGCACGAAGCUUGGUCAACCUAUUUCAUGUACUCAAAUAUUGAAAUAUAAUCGCUCAUAUUCAUCGACUAGGAAUACACUCAUUCACUAGGAAUACACUCAUUCAUUGCCACACACAUGGACUCAUGGAGAUCCCGACAACUACUAUAGUAUAGCCUAUGUUUGGUUUUCAGAAAUUUCGAGAAAAAAAAAAAAAAAAAAAAAACUAGAUAGAAAAAAUAGAAGAAAAAAAAGUAAAGAAAAAAAAAUGAAUAAAUUAUUUUUAUAUAUUAUUUCAAACUUAUUUUAUUAAUUUUAAUUCUUCAAUAUAAAAAUAAAAUAAUUUAACAAUACAUAAAUUUCUAACUUUUUUUAAUUUUCUUCUUUUUUUUUCCUUAAUAUUUUCUCAAAACCAAACAUAACCUUAGGCUAUGUUUCGUUCCGGAAAAUUUGAGGGAAAAUGAAGGGAAAUAAAAUAAAAAGAAAAAAUAGAAUAAAAGAAAAAAAAACUAAGGAAAAUAAAAAAUAGAUUUAAAAUUAAUAAAUUGUUUUUAUUUACUAUUUCAAAUUUAUUUCCUUAUUUAGCUUAUCAGAUGUAAAGAUUAAAUAAUUGAAAAAUAUGUAAGUUUUUAAUUGGUUUUAAUUAUAAUUGAUUUUUUUUCAUAAGACUAUUAUUUUUCUUAACAAUUUUUUUUUCUUUUCUUAAUAUUUUCUAGAACCAAACAUAACCUAAAUAUUUUAAAAUUUCAAUCAACAUGGGUCAUAGGGCUCAAACCUAUGCCCAAACCCAAAAUAAACACAAUGAGCCAAUGGGCUAACUUGCCCAUUUACCAAAUAAUAAGCACCAGAUAAAUAUAUAGUAAAAGCAUCAUAAAACAAAAUAUUAAAAAUUUAUUUUAAUAAGCAAAUUAAUUCUAAUUAUUUUAUUUUAAAAUUUCAUUUAAUUAAUCACUAAUAAUAUAAAACCUAUCAUUAUAAUUUUCUUAACAUUUUUUUUAUAUCAUUUAUAUAUAUUAAUUAAAUUUAAAAAAUAUAAAUAUUAAAAAUAUUUAUACAUAUAUCAUCAUUUAUUUUAUAUUAUUUAAUACAAUUGAAAGUAAAUGGAUUAUAAUUUUAAAAUAAGAUAUAUUAUAAUCAAAUAUCACAAUAUUAUUGUCAAAUAAAAUUUGAAGUAAUUUAAUAAUAAAUAUAUAUUUAUAAAAUUCAUAUUUUUUUUAUCAACUCAUAUGAUAUUAUUAUCAAAUAUAAUUAAUUAUCUCAUAUACAUAUAUCAAUUUUUUUAUAAAACAACUUUAAAAUUUCUACUAUUGUUCAUUAUAUCAUUUUUAGAGUUUUUUUCAAUAUUUUCAUAAGUUUUGAUCAAUUUUAGGCAUAUUGAAAUUUUUUUUCAAAAUAUCCAUCGAUAUAUCUGAUAUAUCCGUAAAAUCGAAAUAACCGAUUUAUCUAUGAUUACCAAUAUUUUCAUUAAUGGUUUCGACAAAAUUGUCAAACAUUCCAACAUGUACAAGUUUCUCACAACUCUUCCUAGCUCAAAGUAUUAUUUUUCCCGCGCAUUUGAUUGGUUAGCAUCUAAAUUUAUGAAUGAAAAUUUUGUACUUUCCCAAUAAAUUUCUAAAAUGAGAUAUACAUGAGAUUUUUAUACUAUUUGUGGGGGGUUUCCCUCCACGUGUCCUCCCCAAAAUCAAAAACCCUCGGUUCUUCCAAGGUAAGCAGAUGAUCCGUCUGAGAUCAAUCCAUUUGAACCAAAACAAACCCCAUCUGGUGCAAGAGGAAAGAGAUUUCCUUCUUUUUAGGUGUCAGACAGAAUGAACAGUCCAAGUCAACUGAGAUUUCCAGAUCGAUUAAUUAACACAGUUGGAGAUUCCAGGCACUGAACAAAUGGAUAAUCACACCCAAUGCCUAAGCAACAGCCUAAAUGACAUUUACGCCUAAAAGUCAAUGAAUAUUAAUUGCUACGUGCAAUUAGCGACUUUGACAAACGUAAAUACAUAGUCCACUACAUGGUUCGAGACUCUUACUCGACAGCCAGCAAAUGACACCAAUCAGCGAAUUUUGUUUGGUAUGAUUGCCAAAUCCGUGCAGAAAUGAUGGCAUUAACUCUCUUGCUAAGGCUUGAUUUUCGUCCUAAUGGCAAUCAUCAUCACAAAAAAGGCAUGAAUGCAUCAUCAGAGCUAUGGCGAUGAUGUCAUCCACUUUAUAAAAACCUCUCAAGAAGUAUGAAAAAGGUACGCGUGUACAAAGUCAUUCAAAAUAAUUAGGUCCAUCCUUAUUACUUUUUUACUUGAGCUUCGGAGGGGCGUGUCUAGACCAUCUGUCCGAACAUCAUUUUGUGCAUGAAAGAAGUCUGAAUGCCUCUAGAGAAACUAGACGGACUCAAAUCUGGUUGGCAUUGCAUCAACAUUGGUUAUCUAUUAGAAUUUGGAAUUUAAAUGGGACCUCCUUUAAGUUACAUUAUAUAUAUAAAUUGAUCAAUCUAUAAAUAAAUUAAGAAAUAAAUAAAAAAAUUGAUCAUCUCUUUUUUCUUUUUCUUUUUUGUCUAAUUUUUUAUUUUCAAUACUUACAAAUGGGAAUAAAAUAAAUACUGAAAAGUUGAGUGAGAUUUUUAAAAUUUUGUUGAAUUAAUAUAGGAUUCCCAAUAGGAUUCUAGCAAACCAACACGUCAACCCAACACUCCAACAUUUAUUUAGUAAUAUCUUUGACAAUAAAACAUAAUAUGACAAUGAGAGAAUCUAAAAAACUAGGAUUGAUAACUGAUCAUGGAAAGCUUAUUUUAGAAAGGGGUACAUGCACGUUCUGAAAUAUAAAACUACUAAUGAAGCAGCCAUGUUGAAUGUUGGAUCGAUGAAGCAGCCCUGUUGAGUGUUGGUCAUCCACGCUUAGUCAUGGAAACAGUGACAUUUACGAAUGCAAUCUUCUCUCUGGACAUGCGAACAAUGACAAUCUUUUUGUACCUGCUGAACACCUCCUCAAUUAUUCCAUCACCAAAGUGGCUUACAAGCAAUGGCUCCAUCACUGCUGUUAUCAAAUUGGCCACAUUGUAUCCACAAUUAUGAGCAUCUGAUGCGCAGAAUUCACCGUGAUACGCAUUCCAGUUCACUUUAGAAACCUCCAGCCUAUUUAUGGUAAAGGAUCCUUCCUUUUCAACCUCACAUUUUACUUCAACUGGGGAUGAUGCAUAUUGAGUAAUAUUGAAGGAAUCCAUUUUCUCCUUGUCAAUGAGCCCCUGGAUUUAAACUUCGUUAAAUUACAUAUGCUAUUGUUGAAUGAUUUAAUCUAUACAAAUUGGCAACAUUAAGGCAUGUAGAAAUUGAAUGUGCACUUCUGCCACCAUAUCGUUGAUAGCUACAGCUAAGAGCUCCCAGAUGUAGCAACAUUCUUUGCUAGAGGGAUCGUCACUUCUUCCUAAAAAUGUUAAAACCAUACUUCCUCCUAGUAGUUCCUCCGACCGACACCUGAGAAACAUGGAGAAAUGGCUUUGGAAUUGCUCAUAGUAUGCUUUAAGCACACUUGGUGGGGUUCGAACUUGCCGUGUAAAUGUUCCCUUUGUUACUCUCCAGUCCUUGAGGAACCUCAUGAAUAAUUGAAACUAGCUUACAUGCUUUCUUCUUACUCAAAUAAUGGACAACCAAUGGAGACUGGAGGAAAAAUGGACAAAAUGAAGACUUUUGCUGGGGAAGAGUCUGCCGUAGAAAGAACCUGGAACUCCGGUUACAAAACAUGAUUCAGCUCCUGCUCCCAUUGUUUUCUCAAGAUCUUUUCAGAACUUGUUCAAGGAUUUGAAAAUGGUGUUGAAAUCAUUCCCCGGCAGAUCAUUCAAAAACACUUGAAUUUCGGGCAAUUGACGGUCCAUUUUCUUGCGCACCUUGUCCACUGUAGUGACAACUUCCAAGACCGCAAAAAAAGUGUUGGGUCCAGAAGAACAACCCAAGUCUACGAUGCAUAGGCUGGCCGUAAAGUUGUUGCAGUAAAGAUUUGUUAUGGCUUCCCCGAUCAUAGGUUUUGUCAAGGAUAUUAUUUUUUUCUGCACCAUUAAUGUAGAACUUGUCAUUGGAACCUUUUUAGAAAUAUGGCAGUAUUUGAUACCUGCACGAUAAAAAAAAAAAAAAACAAAACAAAACAUCGAAGUGCAUAGGUGCUAGUGAUCAAUUAGCAUAUCUUGACUAUUCAUUCUUUAAUUUAAUUAAAGGAAACAGUUUAUAUGUAUAAUAUAUGCAUGUCAACUGAUGUAUUAGGAUUGACGAAGAAUUAAAUUUAGCAAAAGACACAGCUGAACUAAUGAGUUUUUUGUGUAACUGAUAUCCCCAUUUCCUCCCUUCAUGCAAAGCACUUGAACUACUUCCAUCUCUCCCUUCGUGCCUCUUUGCUGAUUGCUCUCUCUCAGUUGGCACUUGGAAUGGGAAUUGUGUAGAAGGAGAUGCUCCCUAUUUAUAGAACUUAGAGUCACAUUUGUUGGUGCAGUGUCAACCAGAUUUGAGUUCGUCUACCUUCUCUAGAGUCAGAUGGGUUUCUUCCCUAUACAAAAGGAUAUUCGAACAGGUGGUCCAAACACGCCCCUCCGAAGCUUAAGUCAAAAAGUAAUAAAGAUGAGCCUAAUUAUUUCGAAUGGCUUUGUACGCGCGUACCUUUUUCAUGCUUCUCAAAGGGUUUUUAUAGAGCAAAUGGCACCAUCGCCAUAGCGUUGAUGAUGCAUUCAUGCCUUUUUUGUGAUGAUGAUUAUCAUCAAGGCGAAAAUCAAGUCUUAGCAAGAGAGUCAACACCAUCAUUUCUGCGUGGAUUGGGCAAUCAUACCAAAAAGAAUCCGCUGACUAGUGUCAUUUGCUGGUUGUCGAGCAAAAGUCUCAGACCAUAUAGUAGACCAUGCAUUUACAUUUGUCAAUGUCGCUGAUUGUGUGUAGCAAUUAAUAUUCAUUGACUUUUAGGCAUAAAUGUCAUCUAGGUCAUUGCUCAAGCAUUAGGUGUGAUUAUCCAUCUACUCAAUGUUUGGAAUCUUUGACUGUGUUAGUUAAUCCGUCUAGGAAUCUCAACUGGCAUGAUUUGCUCAUUCUGUCUAACAUCCAAGAAUAAGGAAAUUUCUUUCCUCUUGCACCAGAUAGAGUUUUUUUUUUUUUGUUAAGACGAAUCAUCUGCUUAUCUUGAACGGACCAAGGGUUUUUGAUUUGGGGGAGGACACGUGAAGAGAAACCCCCCACAACAUCUUUGUGGAAUUAAUGAUUUCAUCUUCUUUGAACUCCAAUUCCACGAAACCUUGCAGUCACUAAUGAUUAUGUUGGAUAAGUAAAUAAAUCUAAUAAAAUUCAACAUUUGUUUUUUAAAUUAAAUUUAUUAAAAUUAGAAUGAAGAUAAUUUUUCAUUCAAUUUAAAAUCUUUAAUUAUCCUUUGUCAAUAAAUAAUACAAUUAUUGAUGAGUCCAAUAAUAAUUUUUCUAUUGCUAUACCUAAAAUUUGGAGGGUGAAAUAAUAAGAGAAUUAAGAAGGAUGAAGCAAUAAGAAACUCUAAGGCUACGUUUGGUUGGUGAGAUAUGAUAAAAUAGGAUUAGAUAUGUAUAUCUUAAGAUAUCAUAUCCCAUUGGAUAGGAUAUGCAUAUCCUAUGAUAUGAUUUCCAAUGGAAUAUGAUAUUAUUGGAUAUACAUAUCAACAUGAUAUUUUAAAAUAGCAUAUCCAAUGAGAUAUGUUAUAUCAUAUUUAUAUUUAAUUUGUAAAAUGAAUAAAAAAAAAAGAAUAUAAAAUAUAUAUUAUUUUCAAUGUUUAAAAUAAAAAUUAUAUCACAUUCAAAUAUUUUUUAUUUUUUAAAAAAAUGAAAAUUUUGUUAUGUUUAACAAUAUAAAUUAUUAAAAUAUUUAAACUUUACAAAUAAAUUUUUUUAUAUUAUGUUAUUUAAUAUAUAAAAAUAAUUUAUAUAUCAUAUAUUAAUAUUAUUUUAUAAAUAUUUUUUUAGUUUCUCUUUUUUAAAAAUAAAUUUAAUUUAUAACGAAAAAAAUAUUUUGUAAAAUGACUAUAUUAAAAAACAAAAAAUUGAUUAAAAAAAAUGAAUUUUUAAUGCAUGGAUAUGUAUAUCUUAUAUCUUACCAUGGUAUUAACAUAUCACAUUUAAAAAUAGAUGAAAAAAAAAAAGGUGAAUAAUAUAUCCUAUCAUUUAUCCUAUCUUAUAUAUGUUUGAUCGAACAUAGAAUAUGAUAAGUAAUCGAAUAACUUAUCUUAUCUUAUAUAUUUCAUCUCUUAUCAUAUCACAUAUUAUAUCUUAUCAAUCAAACAUGGCCUAAUAAUUUUUUUUUAAGAAGAAAAUUACCAAAUCAUUAAAGACUACAAUUCUGUGUUACAAAGAACUUCUUCGAAUAUUUAUCUAGAUUAUAAUUUUAUUUUUAUCUAACAAUUGAUAAUUCAAAAGGGAAAGUUAUUCUACUAAUACCACAAGGUGGAUAGAACUCAUGACAUUCACCAGAACAAACCAUACAUAACACAACACGCCAUAUGACAUAAUAUUCACUAAUGACAAGUGUGUCUCUUUAUGGGUACUACCAUUAAAAGAGAAAUAAGUAAAUCUCAAUGUUUUUAGAAUCAAACUUAUCGUUGAGUCAUAAAAAUGGUUGAUUUACUAUUUAUUAAUUGAAUCUAUGGUUGAAUUACGUUGAUAUCAUAAAUAUAUAAUUUAUAUAUUAUAUAAAAUUAAAAAUAAUUAUAAAAAAAUUAAAAUAUAUAUAAUUACUUUUUUAUAAUAUUUUAUUUUUAUAUUUGAUAUAUCAAAUUAAAUAAUAAAAAUAUUAAUAUUUUAAAUUUUCUUGAAUAGAACAUAUAUAAUAUUUAAGUAUGAAUAUCUAUUUAAAAUGAAUAUAUAUAUAUAUAUGAUAUUUAAUUUUAUUUUCAUGUAUUUUUAUUUUAUUAUAUUAAUUAAUUUAUAUUAUUUUAUAAUUAUCAUUAUAUAAUCAUUUUAUAUAACAAGCACGUACUAGAGAGAAUAAGAUGAGAGAACUUUCGUUGAUUUUUAUGCAAUGAUUUUUGGUGAAAAAUUAGAUAAAAACACAUAGAUUUAACAUGAUUUGACCAAUUUGCCUACAUCCACGGAAAUAGGGAUUAAGACUUUCACUAUAUUUCAAAUUAGGGUUACAUAAAAGGGUAUUUAUACUAAUCUUUCAGGUCAUAAAAUUUCAAAAAUACCCUUUAAACCAUACCGCGGGGGAUGUUUCACUAUAUCUCAAAUUAGAGUUAUAUAAAAGGGAAUUUAUACUAAUUAUCAGAUAAUGAAAUUCCAAAAAUACCCCUGAAUCGUACCACGGGAGGGCGUUACCCCUUGCACCCCCCAACCUAUCGUUUGCCCCUUCCAUACCCCUCCCUAACCUAUUGUUUACCCUCAACAAUAAAAAUAUAAGCUUAAAUGGAAAAUGUGGUCACUCUACUCCAACAUUUAUCCCAUUUUUCUUCGUAUAUUUUUCACUUAAUAUGAACCACCAACUUUUUAAAAGAACGUUAGAUUGAUGUUUCAUAUGAAUCAAACUUGCUCAAAUAAUUACAAACACCAAAAAAACAAAAACAAAAAUAAAAUGGGUUUAUUUGUUUCCUUUGCGUACACGAAACUAAAAACAAUUGGCAAACAAUGAAAACAAUACUAAUAACGUGGGCAUGAAACAUGAUGAUGAAAGUAGGACAAGGUGACGGUAGGUGCAUGCAUGAGUUGGCCGCUUAUACCAGGACAACCCGCUUAAAACAAAUUGGGAUUAAAUAUCAGCCACAACUGGAGGUAUCAGUGGAGCAUGCAAUGACGUUUCUUCCAUCACACAGCCUUAUUUGUGUUUUUUUCCCACGUUCUCACAUUCGGAGCGUUGACUGAAUCGAAUAAAUUAUUGAUUCACAAUUCAUUAAUUCAAUAAGAUAAUAUCAUAAAUAUAUAUAUUUCAUUAAAAUUUAAAAUAAUUUUAAGAAGUUAAUACAUAUAAUAAAAAAAUUUAAUAAUAUCCUUUUUUUAUGUUGGAUAUGUCAAUUAUGUGAUGAACAUAAUGUGAGUGUUUAGCUAGGUUGGCAAUUCAGGACAAAAUUCCUAAGUGUCCCCUAACUCGGCUUUCCUAUUCCUAUUCGGANNNNNNNNNNNNNNNNNNNNNNNNNNNNNNNNNNNNNNNNNNNNNNNNNNNNNNNNNNNNNNNNNNNNNNNNNNNNNNNNNNNNNNNNNNNNNNNNNNNNNNNNNNNNNNNNNNNNNNNNNNNNNNNNNNNNNNNNNNNNNNNNNNNNNNNNNNNNNNNNNNNNNNNNNNNNNNNNNNNNNNNNNNNNNNNNNNNNNNNNNNNNNNNNNNNNNNNNNNNNNNNNNNNNNNNNNNNNNNNNNNNNNNNNNNNNNNNNNNNNNNNNNNNNNNNNNNNNNNNNNNNNNNNNNNNNNNNNNNNNNNNNNNNNNNNNNNNNNNNNNNNNNNNNNNNNNNNNNNNNNNNNNGCCGAGAUGAGCCUGUGCGGACUCCCAAGUGUGCUCCAACAGGAGAAGCUGAAAAUGAAGGUACUAGUCAAGUAUUCCGGGAAGGAUUGGUUGGCUUGAGCUAGGUAAAACCUUGUACUCAGUUUUUAUUCUUCAUAGUGGAGUUUUCAAUCGGUGAUAGGCCCGUGGUUUUUUAUCUCUUCGGAGGUUUUCCACGUUAAAAAUCCGGUGUUCAUUGUCUCUUUCUCUCACUCUAUAUUUUGAUUUAUUUUUGAGGAGUGUUGAAGCAUUUGCAUGUGUUUUGCAUUUAUAAAUUGUUGGGAGAGUGUUGAUGCAUACAUUAUUGCUUGUGGAUGUUUUGCUUUGUUGAAAAGUUAUUGGAAGAAAAUUUUCUUGACAUUAAGAUAGUCUAAGGUUAGGUAAUCUUUGUUGGGAGAAUUUUUAAAUUGUUCUACAACACCUAUUCACCCCCCUCUAGGUGUAGUUCAUUAUUGAGAUUCACAUUUUCAAUUGGUAUCAGAGCGGGUUUUUAAAGGAAAAAUCAUUUUUAGUCCUUGAAUCUCAAUCAUGGAACCUCAUCAAGAGGGAGCUUCCAUUGGGAGACCACCAUUUUUAACCGGUGAAAAUUAUUCUCAUUGGAAAGUGAGAAUGCAAUAUUUUCUCAAAAUGCAAAGUGAAAAAGUUUGGAACACUGUUGAAUUUGGUUGGUCUCCACCUAAGGUGUUGGAUAGAGAAGGUAGACCAACUAAUGUUAUCAAGCCUAAAUUGGAAUGGGAUAGAAGUGAAAAUGAAGCAAGUGAGAAUAAUGCUAGAGCCAUGUACUCCAUCUUCGAUGCCAUUAGUACAGAUGAAUUCCGUAGGAUUGCUACAUGUACUUCGGCUAAGGAGGCUUGGGAUAUUCUCCAAGUGACUCAUGAAGGAACUAAUGCCGUGAAAGUGUCCAAGCUUCAAAUGUUGACAUCUAGGUUUGAGACCAUUAGGAUGGAUGAUCAUGAAACUUUUGGAGAAUUUAAUGCAAAACUGAUGGACAUUGUGAAUUCUAGCUUCAAUCUAGGUGAACCCAUCUCUAACUCUAAGGUGGUGAGAAAAAUUUUGAGAUCUCUUCCUGAGAGAUUUAGAGCUAAGGUCACCGCCAUUGAAGAGUCUAAGGAUGUGGAUUCCUUGAAGAUAGAUGAACUUGUAGGUUCCCUCCAAACCUUUGAGAUGACUCUUGUAUCACCUAGGAAAGCUAAGGGAAUUGCUUUAAAAGCUAUUAAAGAAGAGUCCCUAAGUUCCGAAAGUGAGGAUGAUGAGAAAAUGUCGGAGGGUGAGCUUACUAAGUUUGCUAAAAAAUUCAAGAAGUACAUGAAAUUCAGAAAAGCCAAGAAAGAAUCAAAUGAUGGUAAAAAAUGGAGGAACUCAAUUGGAAAAGAGAAAAAGAUGGAGAAAAGUGUGAAAAAGGAGUUGAAAAUUGAGUGCUUUAAAUGUGGGGGAAAGGGUCACUAUGCAUUUGAAUGUCCCUCAAAGAAAAAAGACAAGAAGGCCAUGAAAGUUACUUGGAGUGACUCCGAGUCUAAUCAAUCAAGUGAAAAAGAAUCCAAUGGAAGUGAGGAAUGCACUAACUUCAUAGCCUUUGCUGCAAGUGUCAAUGAGGAACCUCUUUUAAAAGAAGCUUCAAGUGAGUCAAGUGACUCCAAUGAUGAUGACAUGAGUUUUGACACAGCGUAUGAGACUUUGUAUAAGGAGUGUUUGAGCCUUAAACAAGAACAAGUCAAGUGGAAGGCUUCUAAGAAGAUUUUAACCAAUGAGGUUGAUGUUUUAAAGGGAGAAAAGAAAGCCUUGCUUGAUAAAAUUGCAUUUCUUGAAAAUGAACAUUUGGAAGUGAAGGAAAAAUGUGAUAUGUUGAAAAGUGAAAUUCAAAUGUUCAAGGAUGAGUUAAGUCUUAGGAAGGAAGAGUUACAUCCUAGCUCUAAAAGACUUAAUGAGUUAAUUAAUUCAGGGCGUAAAUCUUUUGAUAAAAGAGGCUUAGGAUUUCUUGGUGAAAAUGCUACUACAAGUAGUAGUAAAACGGUUUUUGUUAAGCCUUGUGAAAAAGAAUCUCCUAAGAAACCUCAAUCUCAAAUCAAGUUUCAUUGCAAUCAUUGUGGAAAAAUGGGACACACUUUUGAUAGAUGUUAUGCAAGAUUGUUUGAUAAUUUUCAAAGGAGGUUGACCAACCUAAUGAAUGAAUGUCAUGCUUUGAAGAAUAGGUUGUUGAAUCAGAAUAAGAGAGUGUCCAAGAAGAGCUCAAAGAUCUCUCAUAAUGGUGAGUUGAAAGGAAGCACUUUGAAUGAAAAGACAAAAAUCUCAAAUGUUAAACAAAUUUGGGUGAAAAAGAAUGAGUUGAAGUGUUUCGUUGUCCAUACCGCACUUAAAGCUAUUGAGUCACACUCAUGGUAUCUUGAUAGUGGAUGUUCACAUCAUAUGACUGGAAAUAAAUCUUUGUUCACUUCAUUCACUGAAUUUGAUGGAGGAAAUGUGACAUUUGGAGAUGGUAAUAUGGCUAGAGUGAAAGGCAAAGGUACCAUUUGUGCCCCCAACAUUCCUAAUCUUGAAGAGGUCUUAUAUGUUGAAGGUUUAAAGGCUAACUUAAUUAGCAUAAGCCAAAUGUGUGAGAAUGAGUUCAAUGUCCAAUUUUCACAAAAUCUUUGCAAGGUGUUUGACUUGAAUGAUUUUUGUGUGAUGAUUGGCUUGAGAACUUGUGAUAAUUGUUAUGUUGUUAGUCAAAAGUCUCCUUCAUCAUCUUCUCUUGUGUGUGGAAGUUCUAAAAUUGCAUGUGUUAAUCACUUGUUGGAACAUAGAUUGUUGCAAAAUGAAAAAGAACAUCCCAUUGUAAAAGUUAGGAUUGAUAGGGGGAGAAAAUUUGAUGAUGCCAAUGUUGUUGAUAGGUUAAAGAACCAUGUUCUUCAUUCUAGAUCAAAACAUGUGGACAUUAAGCAUCACUUCAUUCAAGACUUGGUAGAAGACAAGAUUGUUUCACUAGAGUUUUUCCUUAUGGAGGGUCAAAUUGCUAACAAUGUUACUAAACCUUUGGAUGUUUCUAGGUUUGAAUCACUUAGGAGCCCCAUAGGUUUAUAUACUCUCUAUUAACUACCUCUAGAACUUGUCUAGGACUUUCUUCUUGAAUAUCUUUGAGUCCUAGGUGUCUUCUCAAGUUCCAAAGUGUCCUUGUGGUGGUGUUCUUUUUGUUUUGGUUCAAUCUUUUCUUCAUUUUUCAUAAAUUUUCAACAUUUGCUGAGUUCAUGAGAGUGACAUGCUUACAUUUUUGUUUAAAAGUUAAAUUGACUCAUAAUGAUCUUAAAAGCUUCAAGAUGUCUUUAUCUCCAUGGCUUGAUUGAUAAACAUGAUGUUGAAUCCUUGCUAUUUUGAUUUGAUUAGAUAAACCACAAAAGGUUAGUUUCAUUUCUUUUAAGUGAGUAAUAGCUCAUGGUUGAACCUUGUGAUUACAUAAAUGGUGAGUAAUGCUUUUUGUAGUCUAAAUGCAAAUUUAUGUUUAUCUAAUGAGCAUUAAAAAGUGAGUAAAGUCACCCGGAAUAUCCUUGAGUGUUUUAAGAUUAUUCUUCCUUGAUUGUUUGCCCUCUCUUUGAAAUUAAAAAAAAAAAAAAAAAAAAAAAGGAAAAGAAAAAAUAUAUAUAUAUUAAGCUUCCCGGAAUGGUUAUGGCUCCUUGGCAAUGUUUCAAGAGUUAAAAAGCCUCCUUUGCAAGAGUGGGACAUCCCUUAUGUUGUUAUGUUGUAAAGGCCACCUUAGUGAUCGUCAAGUAAAAAAAAAAAAAAAAAAUUGAUCCUAAGGGUGAAGCUCAUGUUCGUGUAAUAAUUUCAAUGCUCAAUGUGAAAAACAAAUGAUGUAUGAAUUUUUUUUUGGGAUGUGAAUAGGCCGUGUUAAACAAAAAUCCGGCCAAGAGAGGUGCAAAUUGACUUCUUGGAACAUUAUCUUGAAUUUCUCUAGGAAGGAAGUGUGUCUUGAAAAUGAUUUUUCACUUUAUGGGUGGAUAUAGGUUUACAAGUGGAAAGAAAUUAACAUUCUCACUAUUUUAUGGUGUCAUGAGUAAGUCUUCUUUGAGUUUAAGCUUCCUUGUUAGAAUGUUGAUAAUCAUUUGUUUUUUAUCUAUUCAUUUGAUAAAUUUGGAAGGUUCUUCAAUCUUUAUGUUUAUUAAUUUUGUCUAAAGUUAAGCUCUUAGUAGCAUCCUUGUUCAAUAUGAAUCAAUUCUAACUCCUUGAUUGAAAGACAAGUAUGUCAUUCUAUUGUAUUUUAGCUUUGGUGAAUCAAAUUUUCAAUUUUUGAAAAGCUUGUUGGAGUAUUUCUUGUGUCUUAUCGUCAGUUUUUUUGUCUAAGUCUUUUUUCAGUAGGGUGUCGAUCGAUCUGCUGAAUUUGUGGAUCGAUCCACUGUGUGCACAGUCUUGUGACCGAGAGCCCUUGAACGAAUUGAGGAUCGAUCCACCAAGAUCGAUACCACUUGCUCCAACACUUAGAAAUUUUCGUGAAAAGUUUCCUGCACAGUUUUUUCCACUGAGAGCUCUUGAACGAAACUUGGAUCGAUCCACCAAGAUCGAUACCACUUAUCUCUUAAAAAAAAAAAAAAAAAAAAAAUUCCUGUUUUGUCCUUGGUCUUGUGUGUUUUUUAAAAGAGGAUAUGAGGGGUAAAAUUGUCAUUCCGUAAAAAAAAAAAAAAAAAUCAAAAUCCCCAAUUUUUAAAAACCCCUCUUCCAUUCUCAAUUGAGCCCUAAUUUCAAAAUCUUUCAAAAUGGGUCUUCAUCUUCUUCUUCUUUUCUUCUUCAUUGCAUAAGCUUCCACCACCAUGGUUGCUGAAAUUUAUUUCUGAUGAAGUCCUCCUCCGUCAUCAUUCUUUUCAACAUUGGAAAUCUCUACAUCAAUGUUUCAUUGGCGCCAUUUCUUUUUCGGAGUGGCUCAUUCACGGGUUUCUUAGCUUAAGCUAUCUUUUUCGGGAACCUUGGGUGUUCGGUUUGUCCAUCUUUCUCUCCACCAUUAGCUUAAUCUAGAUGUUUUCUUUGUGUGGAAUCCUUUCACAACAGUUUUUUUUUUGGAGUUUCAUUUUUGCCUUGGAUUGUUUUUGCUUUCUAGCAAUGUUAAUCCUAGGCUUUGUUUGCUCAUUGUGAGUGCCCUCUAUACAUUUUCAUGCUUGGAAUCUAUUUUCAUGGUGAUAAAGCAUUUUUUCGAAGUUUUUAAAUGAAACCAUGUGAUGAGAUUUAGGGGGAGUUUCGUAUAUCUUAUGAUGGGAGUUAGGGGGAGAUUCUUGUAUCCUAUAUUUUUUUUGGGAUGUUGAUAUGGAUACUUGGUAAUAUGUGAAUACUUGAUUUUUGAGUAUUUGACAUUUUGUUGAAAUGUGGAUGUUUGUUGAUUUGGAUGUAAGAUAUUUUGCUAAUUGAAUUGUCAUCCAUUUGUCUUUUUUCUUGGAUAGAAAGGGGGAGAUUGUGGCCCUUUGUCUCUUUCUGGGACAAAAAGGGGGAGAGACAUUGUAGUUAUUAUUUUGGUGAUUGGAUAUAUGUGGAUAUCUAUGUGUUAAUUCAUUCAAAUCUUGUGGAAGUGCCUUAGAAUAUGUACAGGUGCUACUAAUGUUUUUCUUGAGAUUUUUUUUGCAGGUAUUGUAGUACCUAGGUUGUGGUUUUGAGUGAGUGAGGGGUCUUGUAUGAGAGUUGGGUGGGGUUUACUUACUUGUACUCAUUCGUGUUGUAAAGGGUUUUGUCCCAGAAUUGCCAAAGGGGGAGAUUGUGAGUGUUUAGCUAGGUUGGCAAUUCAGGACAAAAUUCCUAAGUGUCUCCUAACUCGGCUUUCCUAUUCCUAUUCGGACUACUUGACUUUGAAGACUAAGACUUUGCUAAGAGGCCAAGGUAUGUAGUCGAGUGUGGAGUGAUUGGGUGUGAAUCAACCCGGUUUUUAAUCUUUAAAUGUGUUAGAAAGUUGGGAAAAAUGGUUUUUGGUGCAAGGCUUUUAUUCCUCUGUUUCUGGAUCGAUCCAGGUGUAGGGGUGGAUCUAUCCAACUAAUGUUUUUUUGAUCAAAUCUCAGCCAUUAGAUUAAGGGUUUCUUUUUACACUUUAAAACCCAAUCUUCUCUCAUUUUCUGAGUUGAGAGACUGCUGAAAACGUGGGGAGAGCAGCCACACUCCCAAGUGUUCUUCAUUUCUCAUUUUUGCUUUCCUAAGUUGGGGUUUUUGAUUGCAAAGAAAAUCCACUUCUCUUAAUGUUUUCAAAACUAGUUUUCAAUGGAUUUUCUUGAGCAAUAAAGGGGUUGAUUCAUUUCUUCAUUCACAUCUAAAUCUCUCAUUCUAUUUGGGUUGUGCAAAAACCCAUUUUCUUCUUGUGUUGAUUCAAGAAGAGGCCGAGAUUGAGCUUGGUGCGGACUCCAAGUGUGCUCCAACAGGAGAAGCUGAAAAUGAAGGUACUAGUCAAGUAUUCCGGGAAGGAUUGGUUGGCUUGAGCUAGGUAAAACCUUGUACUCAGUUUUUAUUCUUCAUAGUGGAGUUUUCAAUCGGUGAUAGGCCCGUGGUUUUUUAUCUCUUCGGAGGUUUUCCACGUUAAAAAUCCGGUGUUCAUUGUCUCUUUCUCUCACUCUAUAUUUUGAUUUAUUUUUGAGGAGUGUUGAAGCAUUUGCAUGUGUUUUGCAUUUAUAAAUUGUUGGGAGAGUGUUGAUGCAUACAUUAUUGCUUGUGGAUGUUUUGCUUUGUUGAAAAGUUAUUGGAAGAAAAUUUUCUUGACAUUAAGAUAGUCUAAGGUUAGGUAAUCUUUGUUGGGAGAAUUUUUAAAUUGUUCUACAACACCUAUUCACCCCCCUCUAGGUGUAGUUCAUUAUUGAGAUUCACAUUUUCACAUAAAUAUAAGCAUAUUAAUAUAUUAAAUUUUAGUAAAUAGAAGAGGUAUAAUAUUUAAAUAAAAAAAAUUAUAAUGUUUAAUUUUAUUUAUAUAUCUAUAUAUUUUAUUAUUUUAAAAUUAUUAAACAUUUAUAUUUGUUUCAAUGUUUCAUAUUAUUAAAAUAUGGAAACAACAUUAAUACAAUAUGUAACAAUAUAUUAAUCAUAGGGAUUGUGUAGUAUAGUAAUUGUCUCUUCAUUUUAAGAACCACAUGACCCUGAUUGAAUAUAAUUUACUUUCGGAUUUUAAAUAUUUAUAUUAAAAUUUUUUUUUACUUAUUAUUUAUUAUUAAAUAGAAGAACACAAGAUAUUUGGUUUUUUACUCAAUGGUAAAAAUAACUUUUUAAGACAACAAAAACAUAAUCUCAAUAUGACUUUUAUUCUAUUAAUACUUAAUAUUUAACAUAAAUAAAAUAAUUAUAAAUAAAUAACUUAAUAUUUAAUAUUAUUAAGUUGCAUUUAAAAUUAACUUAAAUUAGGUUAUAUUACUCUGCUUGAUAUCCAAGCAGUAACGAUUAACAUGAGGCUCUGAUUUCUAACAUAAUCUGAGCCACAUAAACUAAUGUCUGGAAGAUAAGAGAAGCGAGUGCAAUAUAUUUUGGCAUGAAGAUGCCCCACAAUCUUUGGAUACUGGUUUUGGAAAUGAAUAAGGGCCUUAUAUUAUGAGAAAAAUAACAAUGGACACAAUUUUUAAAAAAUAAUUUAAAUGUAAUUAAAUAUAUUUUUAUAAAUAAUAUUUUAAUUAUUUAUAAAAUAUAUUUAUUUUAAUGUAAUUAAAUAAUUUAAAAAUAAAAUUUAAAAAAUGUUAAAUGAGAGAGAGAGACGGUUAUGAAAAAUUCUUAUACUUGCCUUGCUCAAUCUAAUCCCAUCUUAUUUAAUUUUUUUAAUGGGAUAAAAAUAAUAAUUAUUUUGAAUAAACAAGACAAGGUUGAGAUAAGGACAACCUGUCCAAAAAACCUCCAAUUUUGUCAUCCUUACUAAUGAGGAAAAUUUUACAACCAAGGAUAUUCAAAUUAAAGUAAAAGAAAAAUUCUCAUAAAGAUCAACAUCAAUUUUGAGAAAUACUACUAGUCCCCGAUAUUUAGGUAUGUCCGAAGAUAUUGAUAAAAUGAGGGUCAACCACCUUUCAUAGAAUAAAUUUGAGUUGUUUUUAGUUACUUGUUUUUAUAAAUUGUUAUAAAUAAUAAUUAAAAAUACAAAAAAUAUUUUAAAAAUAUUUACAUGGUACAAAAGUGUAUAAUAUUGUACACAAUUUUUCAUAUUUAAAUUUUUGGAUAAAAUUUUAUUUGUAAACAUAAUUAAAAACUAUUUUUUAGGACGUAAAUAUUUUUUAUUUUAAAACCUAAUAUGGCCAUUCAUGUAACCUCCAGUGCCUUGCAGAGAUCAGGUGGGAUUAGCUAUAGCCGUUGGGUCAGACACAUCCAAGUCCAACAAUAAAAGGGUACAUUAAUUAAAUCAUUCUAGCAUUAAGAUUAUUUGACACUAAAUGGUUCUGUGAUUUGAGGGUUAAAACCCAAUAUGAUAAUUUGAUCCCAUUUAAGGAUCAUGAGCUUAGAUGAAAUUGUCAAAAUCCGAUCCAAGAUGUACUAUUUUUAUUAUAUUUUAUUUUUCUCAGGGCUCCAAGGCUGUUCCUAGUAGGGAUGGCAAUGGGGCGGGUCAUUUCGGGUACCCACCCCGCCCCGCCCCUAAUGGGGUGGGAUAUUAUUUUUCUAAACGGGUAUGGGACGGGUUUGGGAUUUUUUUUUAAACCCGGGGCGGGUUCGGGGCGGGUUCGGGUAUUGCCCCGCCCCGCCCCGAUUAUAUAUAAAAUUAAAAUUAAAAUUUAAUUUAAUUUAAAAUUUAAAAUUAAUUUAAUUUAAUUUUUAUUUUAUUAUUUUUAAUAUAUAGAUAAUAAUAAAUUAUUUUUAAUAAAAUAAGUUAUAAAAAAUAUAAUUAUUUAAUUAUUUAUAAAAUAUAUUUAUUUUAAUAUAAUUAAAAAAAUUUAAAAGUAAUUUUUUAAAAAAAUUAAAAUUAAAAUUAAAUAAAAAGUUAAACGGGGCGGGUAUGGGAAUGUAGCAUACCCGCCCGCCCCGCCCCGCCCCGCCCCGUUUCAUUUUUUAAAUGGGACGGGGAUGGGAAUUGGUUUAAAUAAACGGGGCGGGGUUGGGAGGGGGGCGCCCCGCCCCGAACCCGCCCUGUUGCCAUCCCUAGUUCCUAGUUCAAAGUAUUAUCUUUCCACAUUUGAUUGGUCAGCAUCUAAAUUUAUGAAUGAAAAUUUUAUACUUUCCAAAUAAAUUUUUAAAAUGAGAUAGACAUGAAAUUUUUAUACUAAUGUUUAUCCGUCAGAAUUUGAAAUUUAGUUUGGAACUCAUUUAAGUUACAUUAUUUAAAUUGAGCUACCUAUAAAUAAAUCAAGAAGUGAAUAAAAGAAAUUGAUCAUCUCUUCUUCUUCUUUUUUUUUCUAUUUUUUUUUUCAAUACCUACAAAUGGGAAUAAAAUAAAUACUGAAAAGUUCAGGAUGCUGACAAACCAAUUAAUUAACGCGUAAAGACAACAAACGUCUAUUUAAUAAUAUCUUCGACAAUAAAACAUCAUAUGACAAUCUAAACAACUAGGAUUGAUAAAUGAUCAUGGAAAGCUUUUUUUGGUAAGGCGUACAUGCACCUUCUGAAAUUUAAAACUAGUAAUGAUCAAGCAGCCAUGUUGAACGUUGGACCGAUGAAGGAGCUGGCCCUGUUGAAUGUUGGUCAUCCACGCUUAGUCAUAGAAACAGUGACAUUUACGAACUCAGUCGUCUCUCUGGACAUGCGAUCAGCAACAAUCUUUUGGUACCUGCUGAACACUUCCUCUAUUAUUCCAUCACCGAAGUGGCUUACAAGCAAAGGCUCCGCCACUGCUCUGACCAGCUUGGCCACAUUGUACCCACCAUCUUUAUGAGCAUCUGAUGGGCAGAAUUCACCGUGAUACGCGUUCCAGUUCACUUGAGAAACCUCCAGCCUAUUUAUGGUAAAUGAUCCUUCCUUUCCAACUUCACAUUUGACUUCAGUUGGGGAUGGUGUAUAAUGAGGAAGAUUGAAGGAAUCCAUUUUCUCCUCGUCUAUGAGCCCCUGCAUUUCAACAUUCUUAAUUUACAUGCAAUUUGUUAAGAAGGAAAGGUCAAUAAUAUAUGACCAUUCAUUGGCAAAUAUAUUGUAUUAAUUGUAUAUUUAUUCAGUUGCCUUUUAUACUUAGAAUAGAUUAGCAUGAUUGUAGGAAAUUAGCAUGAUUGUAGGAAAUCUCUUGUAUAAAGCUUCGUCUCCUGAUUCAAUAAAAUUAUUCAAGGCAAAUAUUAUUUUCCUUUUUUUACAUGGUAUCAGAGCGGGGAACGAUACCCUAGCUCUCUGCCCUCUUUCUUUUUGCCGUUCCUUUUUUUGUUGUUUCUCAUAAUCAUGACGGAACAGCAACCUUCG